AUAUGUAUGUAUGUGAAAGCUUACAAGUGUAUUAGAUGUGGAAGUUAUUAAAUAUUUUAAAUUGGAUUCCAUCAUCUAAUCCUAAGGUAUAAAAGACACUAUGGCCAUUCUAUCAUAAAGAUCAAGCCUACAUCAAAUAAAAAUUUCACCAAUCCAAUUUCACCGAAUUCUCAUCCACUUCCUCUGCUAGAUUCAGAUUUGUAGCUCGUGGUUUGCAUAUAUAGUUUCUGGGUAAUUUCUGGUGGAGGAAUCCGAAAUUCAUAUGACUAAUUGUCAGUUAAACAUUGAAUAUCCCCAUUCAAUGAUCCUGGCCUUAAAUGCCACCAACAAGUUAUCGUUGUAUCCGAAUAAGACAUAAAUAACUUCAUGCAAUGGCUAGGUAAAGUGUGCAUUAUACUUGAGAAGUUUCCAUCAUAUCUAGAGUGUUUUGCCUGCUUCAGUGCUGGUGAUGAAUAUCUGCCUAUGUUCAAAUUCAAAGACAAUCUUGUGCUAUUCAAAUAGGCAUAUAAAACUUUGGAGCUUUCUUCCAAACUUGAUUAUAUACCUCAAAAAAUUGGCUUUCCACAGCUAGUCUGCUAUUGAUAACGGUCCUACCUUCACUAUUGCCAUUUAUGUGCUAUAAUAGCUUUAAUCUUUCAGCUACUACAUUCUUCAAGAAAGAGCAAAUUAUCUGGAUGGCCACCAAACUUUUGGAAUCAUCGAGUUUACAUCAUUGAACUAUUAAAAGUUUGGUUUUGGCCAUUGAACUAUCUCAAGUUUAGAUUGUAGGUCAUUCCGUUAGAUUUCAUCAUUAAACAUGACAGAUAUGAGUGGUCUAAUGAUUCACGAGACAAAAGAAAAGGACAUAGUUAACGAUUAAAUCUGAUGAAAUGGCCCAGAAUCUAAAUUUUAGAUAGUUCAAUGGCUAAAAUCAGACUUUCAAUAGUUCAGUGAUUUAAAAUUCGACGUUUCCAAAAGUUCAUUGGCUAUACGGAUAAUUUGCUCUCAAGAAAGUUACUCAAAAUUUAGAUAUAACAGAUGAUAAGGCAAAAAGAAAGCAUGUGACUUGCACAGUGAUUAAACAAAUAUGGAUGUAGCAAACAGUAACAAUGACACUGACUGAAAAUCAAUGCAUCGAAAAGGAGAACUAGCGGAUACGAAAGACGCAUACUUCGCAUACUUCACAAUCAUGAAAAUGAACUUGUUAGCAAUUUCAAUUACCGGAGGACCAUCUGGGGGUGCUUGAGGAAUGAAUUUGCAAUCGCCAGAACCACCAAAGCACCAACCAUGAUAAACACACUGCAACCUGCCCCACUGAUCAAUCCUUCCUUCAGACAAAGGAGCCAACCUAUGAGGACAAGUAUCAUCAAACACCUUCCACUCAUUCUCAUUCCUAUCCCACCACACAACAAUAUCAAUUCCCAUCACUUUCUUCCCAAGUGGCCUCCUUUUGUCAAGAUCACAAACAGGCAUCACAGGAUACCGUUGUGCGUACCAAUCAAAUUUCUCAUCUUUUUCUGAUUUCUCAGUUUCUUGACCAAACGAAGCGUCUUUGGAUGAUUGAUCAGCCGCUGGCACAGUGUCAGUGGAAGAGAUGGCUGUGGAAAGCUCGAAUUUUGCUCUCUUGAACUGAUAUGAAGGGAGAUGUGAAUUGGUGGGGUGUUGAUAGCUAAACGGAUUAUGCAAGAUUGGAUUUUUAAUCUUUGUUCCAAAGGGUCUUCUUGGGAUCAAAUUAAGGUGCGAUGAUGCUGAUGAAAGGGAAGUAGCUGUCAAAGUUCCCAUUGCAGCUUCUUUAAUGGCAAUAGUUUGUGACUCCCCCAGGUUUCAAACAGAGGUUGUCUUGAUGGAUGUAUAUACAGCUGAAAGACGGAGCUGAGUGUGUGUGUGUCGUUUUUGGCUUGUGGGGAUAGUACGAACUUCCAGACAAAGACUGAAAGAGCCCCCAUCAUUGAAACUGUUAAUUUUUGGGUGCAUCAGCUGCUAAUUUUGCGAUGAUGCUGAUGAAAGGGAAGUAGCUGUCAAAGUUCCCAUUGCAGCUUCUUUAAUGGCAAUAGUUUGCGACUCCCGCACGUUUCAAACAGAGGUUGUCUUGAUGGAUGUAUUUACAGCUGAAAGACGGAGCUGAGUGUGUGUGUGUGUGUCGUUUUUGGCUUGUGGGGAUAGUACGAACUUCCAGACAAAGACUUGGCCACAUUAUUAUGUACUAGGUAUUCUGCCCUGACGCUAUGCGUCAGGUAGGUAGGACCUGGUAAUAGGAAAACAAGGGAAGGAAAAAACACUGGCCAGAGAAAAGCUAAGAAGAAGAAUGAGGAACGGGAAAAACACACCUGGUAAAGAAGGCGAAGAAAAGAAAAAGAAGCAGCUCCCAAAACUCUGAAGCGGUGCGCACUGGAUUCAGCACAGAACCAAGAACAGAAUGAGAGGAAAUUGCUGACCGCCAAAAUGUUCCCAUCCAAGAGGCCCACGCGGACAGAAGUGAAUUUCCAUCAGACCAUUGCCGUCCAAUGCCAAAAGACCAAAACACCCCUCAAGUUCACAAAAAUCACAGUAUAACCUGCCCACCAAACACUGUUCACAAGCUAUUCACGCUUUAUAUACGUACUAGUUUUUUAGCCCUGACGCCAUGCGUCAGGUAGCUGAGACUCAUUAUUUUGCUGUUAUGUUUGUGUGUUUUUUUUUCUUUGUUAGAUGCAGUAAUCAUGUGUGUGAGUGUAUGUUUUUUUCUAAUUGCACAAAUAAACAUGACUUUAAAAUCAGGUUAUCUUACACUCUUAAUAUAGCAUUAAUCAGUAAGUAAUGCCUAAAAUUAGGUAGAACUAAAAGGCAUAUGGCUAUACAUGUAAUGUGUAGCCUUGCUUAUUAGUUACGUUACUUCUCUAAGACAAGCAAUUUGACAAUUUCCAUUUUUUUGACACUUUCUAUUUGCUAGUACUUCACACUUAACAAUCCUUUGGAAGAAAGAAAUAAAGAAAGACAAUUAUAAAAUGGGUUUGUCAUUUUCUUUUGUUUUCUAGACUUGAAUGAGCAUUCAAACAUAUUUAAAAAUAUUUUCAAACCAAUGUAAAAUUGAAUUAAUAUUUUUUAUAUAUUCAGUGGCUUUUUUGUUUUACAUUAAUAGGUCUAUAUUCAUGACACAUAAUUUUUAUUCAACUCUAUCCCACCAUGACCUCGGUUUAUAUAUACUACCAUGUCUCCUAAUCAGGGUUUCAUAUUGGAUCCUAUUCUUUUUGUUGCAAUUUAGAUGAUUGUUUGAUUGAUAGAUUAAAAGUGUUCAAGAAUGGAGGGAGCAACAAUGGUUUCUUUGAACAGGACAUCAUCCAUUGAAAAUGAGCAUGGGACUCUCAAUAUUGAACAAGUUUAACUUGCAAGGUGAAUAUACAUAUUUUCUUAUUUUUCUCUCUUUCUUCCCUUUUUUAGGCUGUCUAUAUCUUUUUUUUUUUUGGAGAUUUUGAUGAUUUUGGUUUUGAUAAUUUGUAUUUAUUGAAUCAUUUUUUCAUGCUCAAAAGAAAAAAAAUUGGACCUAUUGUAAAAGUUCAAAAACUAUAAUCCAUUUCUUAAAUUGCAUUUUUUUAAAAGAAAGUUUAUCCUGUUGCCAAAAACAGAUUGAACAGAACUAAGAAUAGAAUAAGAGUAAAUUGCUGACCGCCAAAAUGUUCCCAUCCAAGAGGCCUACGCGGACAGAAGAGCAGGAGAGAAAGUGGUAAUUAGAAGAGAGCAAUGAUUGAAAUUGAGAGCAAGGAAGAGAGACAGAAGGUAAAGCAAAAAGCGUCCACCGAUUCAACGAGGCUAUCUGCACCCACGUUUCCUCAAGCCACCCAAAAAUCAUGCAACUAACAAACACCCCCAGAGUUCAUGAAAAUUACAGAGUAACCAGACCAUUUGCCCACGCGGACAGGAGCGAAUUUCCAACAAAACCACGCCACCCAUCAGCAAAAGACCAAAAUACCCCUCAAAGUCACAAAAAUAACGGCAUAACCGGCUCAUUCUGCACUGUUCAUAAGCGAUUGACGCUUUAUAUAUGUACUAGUUUUUUGCCCUGACGCUGUGCGUCAGGUAGCUGGGAUUUCUUAAUUUACUAUAAUGGGUAUUAGUCUAGAAAAUUGGAGUGUGAGAGGAGUAAUUAAUUUACUACCGGAGGCACAGCAAAAACCAGGUGGUUCCUGAUAAAAUCGUUUUGCAUGACAAUAUGGACAACUUGGAACAUCAGGCAAUACAGCAGGUUCUGUAGCUAUUGUAGUUAAUGGAUCAGUCAUAGCUCGUUUUCUAGACCGACGCUGCCUACGCAAUGGUGGUUCACCAGCAUCUAAAUUAGUUGAUGGAAUCUCAUUAGCACCAUCAGCAAUAGACGCACAGACAUUUUGUUCAUUUUCCUGCAAACCAGCCAAAGCGUACUUAAGGACCAUGAAUUCAGUGUGCCUAAGUCAGUCAAUCUGACUUAUAAUAGACAAAAACUAAUAUCUCACCCACUGGUUAGUCUAGCCGGUAAUAUAAGUAGUCUAACAUUUAUUGCAAGGGGUCUAAACAACAAUCUUAUUGCAUGAAAGAUGCUCAAAAUAAGCACAAACAUACGGUUGGAAAUUGCUCUACAUUAUUGAGCAAUACUGCAGGCUCUGUAAUUAUUGUGGUCAAUGGAUUAGUCACAGAGCGUCUUGUACGCCGACGUCGCCUAUGCAAAGAUGAUUCACCCGCAUCUGAAUUAGUUGUUGGAACCUCGCUAGCACCAUUACCAGCAGACCUAGAUACAUCUCCUUGAUUUUCCUUUAAAACACCCAAAGCAUAGUUAAAGACUGUGAGUUUAGUAUGCUUAACUAAGUCAAACUCGUUUGUCUUACCAAAGUACAUGCUUAGGCGAAACCACUGUUAACAUAAAUAAUUUAACAUUUAUUCCAAAAGAUUUAAACAACAAUUUAUAUUGCAUGAAAAAUGCUCAAAAUAAGCACAGACAUACAGCUCGAAGGUGCUCUGCAUUGUUCUCUGCAAAUGGCAAUACUGAGCCCGAACCUAAUGAAGAUUCAACGACGCCCAUAUUUGGCUGAUUCACAGCAUUUGAGUCAUGUAUAUUAAAAGCCGUGACAGCUAAUGUACACACUCCUAAUGGCGCAUCAUUCUUUGUCCCACGCCGAGCAGCAGCACGUUGCUCGCGGCUCCUUCGAUUUUUCUCAGCACGAGCCUCUUCUAAACUUCCAUAUACUCUAUUUCGACCCAUUCUCAAAGCAUAUUAUACACAGCUCAAGCGGAAACCAAACAAACGUCUAAAAUGAACCAUACAAAAGAACCACAACAACAAAAAUGAAUUUCCAGCGAAGCCAAUCAAACAGUGAAGUACUUUAAAACCAAAAGAAACUUUCUCAAGUUAUUUCCGAAGCUGCGAAAGAAAACUCAGAAGAAAAAUUAGAGCCAAAAAGAGAUUGAGCUCACGGUCUAAGUUUGCUGAAUAGUAAAGCACUUCAAAACCAAAAGAAACUUUCUCAAGUUAUAUUUGCUGAACAGCUGAGAACACAAGCAAGAAAAUAAUGAGAGCAAAUUGGUGACCGAGAAUGAGCAAAAGAGAAUAAGAGCCAUGCAGACCCACAAACCGCUUCGGACAGCAACGACCAACGACUCUAGAAAGAAUGAAGACUCUAGAAAGCUUUUCAAGACAUUUGCUGACCGCCCAACCGCCCACUAACUUAAUAGUAAUUCCUGACUACCAAAAUGAAGAGCCACGCGGACAGAGCAAGGUUACAAUGCAAGAGAGCCAGCGGACAAAAGCAAAAUACCAGCAGUGCCACUGCCACCCAUCAGCAAAGGACCAAAAUGCCCCUCAAGCUCACACAAAUCACGGCAUAACCGGCUCAUCCUGCACUAUUCAUAAGGCUUUGGACGCUUUAUAUAUGUAAGAUAAGACUAGUUUUUUAGCCCUGAAGCCAUGUCAGCUAGCUAAAACUCAUUAUUUUGUUGUUAUGUUUGUGUGUUUUUUUUUUCUUUUAUUAGAUAUAAUAGUCAUGUGUGUGAGUGUGUGUUUUUUCCUAAUUGCACAAAUAAACAUGACUUUGAAAUCAGAUUAUUUUACAUUCUUAAUAUAGCAUUAAUCAGUAAGUAAUGCCUAAAUUUAGGUAGAACUAAAAGGCAUAUGGCUAUACAUGUCUCCUAAUCAGGAUUUCAUAUUGGAUCCUAUUCUUUUUGUUACAAUUCAGAUGAUUGUUUGAUUGAUAGAUUAAGAGUGUUCAAGAAUGAAGGAAGCAAUAAUGGUUUCUUUGGACAGGACAUCAUUUAUUGAAAAUGAGUCUGGACUCUCAAUAUUGAACAACUUUAACUUGCAAGGGUGAAUAUACAUAUUUCUUAUUUUUCUUUCUUUCUUCCCUUUUUUAGGCUGUCUAUCUCUUUUUCUUUUUUUUUUGGAGAUUUUGAUGAUUUUGGUUUUGAUAAUUUGUAUGGGAGGCAACACUUUAUGUGGUGAGUACGAGGAGCAUGGAAGAAGCUCUUUGAAUUUUCACUAAGAUAAUGGCUUAGAUAUAUACAAUAUCUAAUAAUUUCUUAAGUUUAAGAUUUUUCUUUUCUACUUUUUAGGUUCUUUGGAUUUAUAAUUCUUACUUAUUUGAUGAUUCUUUCUCUUAAUUGGUUGAUGAUUUUUUUUUUUGGUAAUCUGUAUCAUAAGCUGCAAAAUUAUAGGUUAUUUUGUGUUCUUAAAUCAUGUGCUAAAAUAGGUGAGUUUCUCUUUUCUUUUUCUUUUUUAAUAAAACUGGUAUUCAAAAUCAAGGGAUAGUUGGAAACUUUAAAUAGUGAAUUCCAAAUCAACUUGCGUUUAAGGAUAUGUUAGAAUAAAAUGCUAAGAAAUAACUGGUGGAACUAUUCUACCAAAUGGGGUAAUAAACUCGUGUUUAAGGUUAGAAAAUAUGUAUUUAUUGAAUCAUUUUUUCAUGCUCAAAAGAAAAAAGUUGGGCCUACUGUAAAAGUUCAAAAACUAUAAUCCAUUUCUUAAAUUACACUUUUUUAUGAAGAAAGUUUAUCCUUUUGCCAAAAAAAAAAUGUUUACAUGGGACCCUUAUAUAUAUAUAUAUAUAUAUAUAUAUAUAUAUAUAUAUAUAUAUAUAUAUCAAAACAGAAAGACCUUCUAACCAUUUUAACUGAAGAAACAACUGGGCAGCAGCUUGCAGCAAAGUGCAAGGUUACAUCGCCCACUUACCACUGAUCUUAAUUUGUGAAGUGGUCUUAAUUUCCAUGCAAUAAACUUCGCAAGCGGAGUUAAUUUAUUUAUUUUUUGUUAGUAAGAGGAGUUAAUUUUAAUUUGAUGGUGCUAAUUUGAAUGUAAUAUAUUUUGUACAAUCGGACAGUUAAGUAGUUAACCACAAGCUAGCCUGAUUAUCUAUGAAUUUUGCUCGCAAAAGGAAACGCACACCUGAAGAAGGAAAGUAAACGCACACCAACCACUCCAAAAAGUUUCUUGCCCCACCAACAAUACCAAAUGCCCUCAAAGUUGGUGAAAAUUACUGGAUAACCAGUCCACUCACCACUGCCACCGAAUACCAAAAUUGUCCGCGGGAAAUUCCAGCAGAGCCAUUGUCACCGAAUGCCAAAAGACCAAAACGCCCCUCAAAGUCACAAAAAUAACGGCAUAACCGGCUCAUUCUGCACUAUUCAUAAUCAAUUGACGCUUUAUAUAUGUAAGAAAGAUAAGAUUUGAGAAACUGCAGGACUUAUCAAGCAUGUGAAAAUUGUACUUGGCCAAUUCCGUUGUAAUCGCUCAUAAACACCCAGUAAUUCUAUUUGUACCAUUAAAUGUCCCUAUUAACCGACACAAAUGAAAAAUAUAACUUGAAAAUUUUUGUUUCUUUUAUCUGCAUGAAACCUUGACUAUAUUGUUGAUCUGUUGUUGUUAUUGUAGACAAAUGUCCUUGCAUAUCCCCUAAUAAUAGCUCUUUUUACUAAUUGGUUUGAAAGUUCUUUUUUCUAUUUUGCGAACAUUUGGCGUGCAAAAUUUUUCUUUACCCUCCUCCUUUGUGUAGUCCGUCAACUAAUUUAACUUCUACUAUUCAAAGGAUUUCCAUGGAAGCUACAAGUAAAAUAGAUGGAUAUCAUUCACCAAAAAAUAGAAAUUAAGUCAUUGGUUUGCAACAUUGUUACUGAAGGUUUUAUGUGGAUGCAAUUGGGCUUUUUUCUAUCUCAAAUCUUACCACCUUCUAUUAUCAGAUCUCCAACAUCUUUUCCUUCGGCAAAUAGUUCUUCCUUCUCCUCAGUGUAAUGAUUGAUGUGUGAUAGUACAUUUCCAUGGCUCUUCUUUGGCACUUCUCGUCAGCAACUUUCUUGUCCUUGAAUGUUAUUUUGCCCUGGUUUUGAAGUUAUGGAGUUAUAGUGACAAAUUUUGGAUGGAAAGUAAGAGAUUGAUUUUUGAAGAGAGUUUUAGGCUUUGAAUUUUAAUGAACAGUCAUGCAAAAUCAAUUUCGGCGGGAUAUUUUUAAAACGGAGUUUUUAACGGUAGCUGAAUCUAUUAGGCUACAGUAAGUUUUUAUUUUUUAUUUUAUAUUUUUUUUCUUGUUCACUAAAUAAAACAAGAGCAUUUUAUCUCUAUCAAUGUGAAUGCAUGAGAGCCACUUAUUAGAGCUUGUGAGGAACCGUUCAGGGCAAGGACGGUCCUUCUGAAUGACCGUCCCUGCCUCAUAGCUGAUCAGAUAGAGGUGUAGGCCUCAGCAAAGCAUUUGGUUAAGAAGGUCAAGUCAAAAUCCCAACGAACUUCCGUGGCAACUAAUAGAAUAGCAUCCAAGUUUCAUGCCGAAACAUGCCAUGAAAAUAAAUGAAAUGUACAUUUUCAAAUCUCUGUACGCGAACAAGACUCGAGGUGAUGGUAGCUCUUCAAGUUUCAACACUCAUUGAUGGUAAGAGGCUCACCUUAACGCUUUCACCCUACCAUAAUUACCCAAGAAAAUGAACAAAAAAUUCACAAUAAUGUUUGUUUAUCAGUGUAAUUUUUUUGUCAGACAAAUAUUUUCGUGCAAAAAAUUCCACUAAAAUAAUUGGGCAUUUUAAGAAAAUUUUCUUGUGCUUGUUAAAAUUCUUUUAGAACAUAUAUUAGCUUAAAUAGUCUAUGUAAUCACUCCUCUAUCCGGAAAAAAGAAAAGUCUGUCCAACCUAGUAGUUGGCUCACAUGGUACCAUCCUGUCAUUUCUCUCCCUUCUUUCAACACCGCGCAUGCUAAAAGCGUACCGUACGACCCUGCCGCUAAUACAAACAAAUCACCUUGGUUCCUUCUUUCAACACCGCACAUGCUAAAAGCGUACCGUACGACCCUGCCGCUAAUACAAACAAUACAGUUUGUAUUGUUUGUAUUAGCGGCAGGGUCGUACGGUACGCUUUUAGCAUGCUGUAUUGUUUGUAUUAGCGGCAGGGUCGUACGGUACGCUUUUAGCAUGCACGGUGUUGAAAGAAGGUCCUCGCACAUUGUUUGUAUUAGCGGUAGGGUCGUGUAGUACGCUUUUAGCAUGCGCGGUGUUGAAAGAAGGGAGGUUGGUCCGCGCAUAUUGUUUGUAUUAGUGAUAGGGUCGUGCAGUACGCUUUUAGCAUGCGUGGUGUUGAAAAAAGGAAGAGAAGUAACAGGACGGUACCAUGUGAUCCGCACACAUUGAUAGGACGGUACCAUGUGAUCCGCACACAUUGAUUGUAUUAGCUGGUCCGCGCACAUUAUUUCUUGGCUUCAGCAAACCCAUGUACUCAGUAUUUUUUUUUUUCCUUGGUUUGCUAGUAGACUGCACCAAAUCACGAUAUUAGUCUAAUUUUUUUUGUUCAACUAAACCCCUAUCCAAUCAUACUUUUAUUUAAAGUAAAAUGACAUUUUCCUCCUUGCGGAUCAUUCAUAUUUUUUUCCCUUGGUUUGCUAUUAGACUGCCUCAAAUAAAUAAAUGUUUCUUAUUUUAACGAAUGUGUCACAGGCUUUAUGAUUGUAUUGCAAUUGAUAUAAAUUUUUCCUCAACCUGAUUUGUUUACGCUCAAUUGCUUUACAAAUCUCCCACUUUAAUGUCAAACUUGUCCUAAUACUUUGGAUGUCCCCUUCUGUUUGUUAGUGCACCAAACCGAUUUUGUGACUCUAUACAUGUACAACAUUAAUCUGAAGUAGCAUUAUUUUGCCUGUGCCUUGGCAUGGUUUAUUUUUUUUAAAUUUAUUAUGAAUUCCUGCAAGCAUGAAUAAUUUAAAUAAAAAAUUAAUGAUGAUCUUACAAGUUCAUUCAUAUUAAUUUUAUAUAAUUAAUGUAAUAAUUAUACUUAACUGUCAUACUAAUUUUUAAAAACUUCUUCAGAUACUUUUAUUAUAAUCUAUUAAUAUUCAUCAAAUAUUAUGACGCAUAUCAAAAAAUCAAUAGAUAUUCUACCCUUUUGUGUAUGGCUAUUUUUUAGACGAUUACAAUUUUUAUAAUAACCAUAAACAUAGUUACAUAUUCCUACUUAAUUAAGUACAAAAAAUUUAGCAAUUUAUUUACGCAUCAACAAAUAUUCAAUUUCCAGCAAUAUUGAUAAAUCUACCAGUUAAUAGUUAAAGUUUUUUAACACUAAAUUAAUCCAUAUGGAUAAAAAACAUUAUACAAAUUUAUCGUAUUGUUAAAAGAGAGAAGAACCAUAAAAACAAAUAAUUCAAAUUUAUCUAAAGAGAUAGAUAAAUUUGUUAGGACGAGAAAAACUAAUUAUAAAAGAAUCGGAUACAAAAAUAGGUAAAACUCAAGUAUCCAAAUAACCGGUUAAUUCCCCAUCAAUUUCCACCUUCUAAGUCCUCUUUCAAGAAUCUUCUAUUAUCGCAACUCCAUUUAAGUUAAACUUGUGAUCAUAUCAUAAGCACAUAAUUCAAUUGUAAAAUUGAAAUCCACAAGAACACGCUCAUUUCCCCCUUCCCAAAACAUCCAAAUUUAGUCAAAAUUUAUAAUUAUGUUGUGAACUAAAUGUCGAUUUCACUUCUAACUCUAGUUUUUUUUUUAAAAAAAAAAAACUAUGGAGCUUUUAUUAUCAUGAACACUGACCAGGAGUACAGUGCAGGGAGGAGGACAUAAACCUUACCUCCGAAACGAAAACCGGAAGUUACAAAAUAUUGCUGAUCUAAUGCUAGUAACCCUCUCGUGUGACAUGGUAAUUGAGAAACCCUAGAGAAUAUCGUGAAUGAACCACACGCAUUACCGAAAAACGCCAGUGAAUCAACUACAGAAUUCCCCUCCCGAUAGCAGUGAAUAAACUGAUAAUGCUCUGGAACAGCAUCUCGAAUUGCUCGAACGAUAGGACGAAUGACAGCUGGAACUCCCCAUCCACCCCUUAAACAACUAAUCAUGACUAGGCAAUCAGACUCAAUAGGUAAGUGCAAUAUCCCCUGUUGACGCCCCAACUGAAGACCCAAAAGGAGUGCGCGCGCCCAGGCACGGAUUUAAGGGGGGGCUGGUGGGGGCUUAAGCCCCCCCCCAAGCCGCCGGAAAACCCCCUAUAUAUAGGGGAUUCCAAAUGCUUGCUUCUAAAAUGCAGUAGGUAACUAGGUAGGUAGGUAGGUACUACCUUUCUCUUCCUAUGUGUCUCUUAGGAUACUGGUAUUAUUGUCUGAAAUUUUCAAUAGUUAUUUAUGUUUUCACCUGCUGGUGAUGUAAUAACUUGGAUUUUCCUAAAAUGUUUUGAGCAGGUCUGAACUCUGUAGUUAUUCAUCAUAUAUUCUGGACUUUGUUAGAGCCUGUGAGACUCGGAAACAUAGAGCCUGGGAAACAUAGCCUUUUUUUUUAUUUCAGAUGUUUGGUUGUUGGCAAAGUAUUUUUUGUGCAUCGCUGUCAUGAACUAUAUGGUGGAGUGGGCUUUCUUUUGUUGAUCAAGAAGCUUGCCAACAAUAGUUGUUGGUGCUGUUUUAAAUGUAUGUUCUGGAACAAAGAAUGCUGUAAAUGUAUUUCCUGGAAUUUAGAAAAGUUCUUGAUUUAACGCUUAUGACAUCCCUUGCACUUCAAGAAGAAUUAAAUUUGCAAUUACUAUCAAAGUUUUCCUGCUAUUUCGCUUUUUGACCGCCUUAGUUUUUUAUUUUAUUUCGAAUUCUGAUCAUGAAAUCAAUAAGCAGGGUGAGUGAUAGAUUAUUGAUAGUUUAGAGUAUUUUUUUGGAGCAUUUUGAGAUUUCCAAGAACUUAUCAAAUUCAUAUGAAAGGGGCAAUUUUUAAACUAUUUUAGUAUGCGAUGGGCAAUUCUUAAACUAUUUUUUUGAGCGGUUUAUGCCUCCGAGUACUAUACAUAUCUUGAUAGGCCUGCUGUUUUCGUUGUUUCUUUUGUAGAUUUGUAGAUUUGGGUAAGUUACAUACCCAAAAAUUCAGAACAAAUUUUUGGGUAUGUAUAAUUAUAUGUUUUUAUUAUUUUUAUAAUUAUUGAUUCUAAAUUUUACUUAUUAAAUAUAUUUAUUUCGUCACAAAAAAAAUUUUUUAAUACACUUCAGCCCCCCCAAAAAUAAAUUUCUGGCUCCGUCCCUGCGCGCGCCUCUGCUUGUAAUGCAUCUACGGGACCAAAAAAAAUCAGCAAACACAAGAAUGAACGUCCCACAGGAAUCCCUAAUCACUCCACCACCUCCCCCACCUCGAAUUGUAGAACAACCAUUUGUGUUUAACUUUAAGAAACCAUUGGUGGAACAUACCCAAAGCACCAAAGUUGAUGAUAAAGACCUUUGAACCGAAGAUAGAGAAUCAAGGACUCCCACCCAUUGAACUGGCAAACCCAUAAUAUCCAGGAAGUGUACCCAAAUCAAUAAUCGCACCUCAUUAAUGAUUAAUUCCUGAACCUGAUUAACGGACAUACACGGACCCUCAAAUCGAGCCGUGUUUCUAGCCCGCCAUAAGACCCAUGCAAUAAGCAAAGGUAGUGUCUUCAACAGCCAACGUAAUGCCCUCCCUUUAGCAGACAUGGGACAUUAGACCUUACCUCCUAAUAGAAAAUUGAAAAGUACAAAUAUUUUGCCUGUGUAAUGGUAAUAAGCCUGUAGUGAUAUGCGGCAAUACGGCGUUAAUUAUUUGUAAUCAGUCGGUCCGCUAUCUUUGAUCAAUUUGGUUGCUUUCCUCUCUUUGUUGUGAUUAUUUGUUCCCUUGUUUCUUGAAUGACGGGAACAAAUAUAGGGAAGCGUUGAACAGUGACCAAGCAAAGCUACCAAAUAAAAUAGUGCCGGGAUAUGAUUGGCAUAUAAAUAUAUACACCUCAAAAUAUAGAACUGAAUCGAAUUAGAACUAGAAAACGGGAUGAACGAUGCAGCCAAAGUUGGUUGUCAUUUUCCUUUUGUUUAUCAUAUUUUUUGGUACAUUUUAUCGUUAAGGACAACAGUUUCCUGUGACUCUUGGGCCAGCCCACUUUUCCAACAACCCUUUGAGAUUUGUUCCACAGCCGAAGGCCGCAGCAAUUAAGAUCUGUCAUUCAGAAAAUGGAGGCCUCAGCAAAGCAUUGAUAAAGAAAGGUGCACUUCUACGGGGACCGAAACUAAUUGCUCUUAGGUACCAUUUUGCUAUUUUUUAAAGUUUUUAUACAGAAUUUUUUGUUUGGAUUGCUAAUUUUUCAAGUUUUCAUUCAAAAAUGUGUCGUACGAAUUUGAUAUAUGUGAGGUAAAAAAGUGAUUAAAAAAAAUUUGUUCAUGAAAAACGUCAAAAAUUCUCCUUAGUAAAUAGUAAUCCAAGCAUGGCCAAGCAAUUUGAUCUAUGUGAGGUUAAAAUAUAAUUGAGAAAUGUGUAUACAAAAAAUAUAUAAAAAACUAUAAUCAAAACAAGUAGUCUUCUCCCCCUUUAAGAAACGCAAUGAAAAUAUUUGCUCGAUAAAUAAACUUAUCCCUUCGUAAACCGCUGAUACCGAGGGAAGGAUGAAUUGUGUGGUAUAAAAGAAGAGAGUGUAAGUAAAAAUUCUUGGAUAUGGUUCUUCCAAUUUAUACUAGAAAAAAAGGUAUGAAAAGAAACAACUUAUACUAGCUAAGAAUAUUUUCUGGUUACUUCUCGUGUUAUACAUUAACAGUACUGAAAUAUUUGUUGGAAGCGAAAGGAAAGUAAUGCAACCUUUCCAAUUUGUAAUUUCAAUUAGAGUAACGUGUAAAAUUUAUUAAAGUUUAUCAGCAUGAGAGAAUUUAGUGCCCGUUCAGCGCCUGUGAAAAUAGACAAAUGAAGUUAUGGGUUUCUGAUUGAAUGCUGAGCCCUUCAACUUUUUUGGUUGUGUUUGGAUCCAUCUCAAUGGUUGUUCCAUCCACUAAGGACAGCCAUUGAUAUCCAUCCAAGAUGAAAUUCUGAAAAGCAAAAUGAGAACUAUAAAUCUAAUGCUGUUUGUCAACGUUUACUUCAAUGGGCAAUCUUGGAAAAUGAACUUGACACAUAAUUUAGACUUAAUUACUCAUCCUCGAGAAUUAGAAUUAAAAUGCACAUCUUAUUCUGCUCGGUUUCCGCAAGUCCAUCGGACUAACUAUGUCACAAGCCCAUUAACACAAAAGCCAAAAAAAAAAAAAUUGUUCCAAAAUAAUAAAGUUUCAGAAUUUUAAAUGGCAAAUUAACAACUAAAAAAUGUUUAGUGGGCUAAUUAAAAUUUUUGAAUAAUUUAGUUACUACAAGUGUACUUUACCCUACUCUGAAAUAUGCAUUUGCUUCAAUCUUCCCAGAAUAAUGGUACGCUAAACCUAAUUGCUAAUGAGUGUGAAAUUUCAUUUGCAAAGACCACAAAUGUUAGAAACUCCAGUUCUACCACAACUUCUAUUAAGAGUGUUUGGAUAGCAAAUUAUCCCAAAUAAUAUUUCGCUUGUAUCAUAAAUAUAUUUUUCAAUAUAUCUUUUUAUAUUCCCAACCAUCCUUUUGUUUCACAUACAUCAUAUUAUAAAAAGGUGCUACAUUAAUUAUUCCAAAUAAUAUUUCAAAUAAUGAUUGAAUCGCAAUGAUAAACUCACUUUGGUAGCGCAUUAAUCAGACUUUGUCACGCCUUAUUUUGCACAAAAUUUUCUUGGGUUGCCAUUUUGCAAGAGCUUUUAAGAAUUAUAUUAUCUGAUGCUUAUUAAGUGUAUGUCUCAGUCCAGCUUCCUUCAUCAUAUUUCUGCUACUUAUGCUAGUUGGUUCUAUGGGUUGAAAUGGUUGCCAUUUUCUAUCCAAUUUCACCGCAUUACAUGUAGUUGGUAGUGUAUACAUUUCUCUCUGAUUGCCAUCUAAUUCAUCUUUCAUGCGUAUUGGGAUCAGCAAUUCUUGGCAUUAAAUUUUUAUUAUUCGACUUCUUCAGGACCAGCCGCCAUAUGUAUAGCUGGAAUUGAAUGUUUUAUUGCUUUGGACGUGCUAAAAUUGCCAAUGUGUAAAGGCGUCUUGGAGGGAGAGUUUAGUUUGGUUGCUGAUUUGCUAACAAAGGAAAAUAAUGAGUUUAUAUAAAAGAAAUGAAGCUUUAUACCUAUGUAUGUCUGAGCAUAGGAAAUCGCUUUCAGGUUUAAGCAAUGGAAUCAUUUCUUCUUCUUUCAGAUUGUCCAGGAUCCAAUUUUACAUUUCACUGGGUGAACACCAAUGGCUAUCAAAUUUACUGGAUUGGUUUACUGGGCCUUGGGCCAGAAUCAAAUUUAUAGAGCAUUUUUUUUGUCAGUCGGUCUGAAUUGGCAGUUGGGCUUCUUUGACAAAUAUGCUCAUGUGUCCUUCGGCCAAGAAAUCGUAGAAGUUGGGGCGGGUUCGGGGCAGGAGUAGGGGUGGCGAGGUAUCAGGGCAGGGGCAGGGGAGCUUUCUGGAAAACGGGUGAGGGAUGGAGAGGGCUUCCCCGCCUCAAAUCCACCCUAUUAUAAUCAUUUAGAAGGCCAAAUGAUUUCGUUUUGAUUAAACACUAAGUUUAAAGUAAUUUGAAAUCACAAGCCUGAUUACUGAGCCAAGAAACAAAACAAAACAUAGUUUUGGCUGAUGAAAAUACUCGAAGUAAAAUGGUCUAGUCAAUUAAUUUCAUAUAUACAAUUCAAAUAAGGUUUUUCGGCCCCAACUCUUGAGAAAACCAAAGAAAAUAAGAUGUCCAUUUUAAUUCUAAUUCUCGAGGAUCAAUAAUUAAGACCAAAUUAUAUUUCAAGUUCAUUUUCCAAGGAUAAACCAAUGAAAUUAACGUUUCCAAAGAGCAAUUAUAGUUCUCAUUUUGCUUUUAACAAUUUCAUCUUGGAAAAUUAAUAAUUGUCCUUUGCAGAUGCAACAACCAUUGAGAUAUUGUCCGCAAUCAAAAAAGUUGAAAGCCCCAGCAUUCAAUCACAAAACAUGAAACCCUAGUAACAACAAUGGUUGAGAAAGUUAAAGUGAAAAUGCUAAUGCAAAAGCAUCCAAAUUUGUCAAACAAGCACAGCUCAAGACUUUACAUUUUCUCUUACAACUAAAAUGGGGAAUUAGAGUAAAGGAUGGAGAACCCAUUUGUAGACAAGAAAGGAUAGCUUUUGGUUAGACUUUUAUUUACCAUUAAAAAUUCAGCUAUUAUAGGAUUGCCACAUUUUCUAAGUAUAAAUUUUAACUCUUUCUCCCACAAACUCAUCAUUUUUCAAUUGCAAAGUAUCGCUAAUAAUGGUUUUUGGUUUUUUUUUUGAAGGAAGUAUUGUAGUAAAGUUAAAGAAGACAUUAUUAUCUAAUUAGUUUCAAAUUUUGCACUUAUUAUAACCGGGGGAAAAAAUUCAAUGCUAGGAUAAAUAUAUGGUUGACAUAUGGAAAUUCUCUUUUCCUCUUUAGCAAUGCAAUUUUUUGUAUUUGUUUUUUAUUUUCGAUUUAUUUACCUACAAAAAACAAUAACAUCAUAUCAUUCGAUAAAGAAUUUAAUAUUUACAGAAGUAAUAGAAGAUGUAGUAGUAUUAGUAUAUGUUAAUUCAAACCAUAUGAGCUUGAACUAUUUGAGAUAUGCGCCUAGCGGAAAAUUCCUAUAACUUUACAUACUUAAAUUCAAAUACCUAUAGAUUUCUUCUCAUCAUUAAAAGAAUAAGGAAACCAAAGUGAUAAAAAUAUUUUUCAACAUACAUAGCAAAAGAACUUAUCUAUAUGCAUGAAUGAUCGUAUAAACUUAAGGUCAUUCUGUGGAUCAAGCGGUUAUUAAUAUAUAGUAGUUUAUAUACAAGUUUUUGCCUCCAUGAAUAUUUGUUGUAACAACAUUCUAGACCAAGUAGUAUACAUUGUUUAUGUUAUUUAUUGUCCUUUUGAUUUGAAAGACAUCGAUAAAGAACUGUUUUUGUAGUUUUAAGAAUGCCCAAGUGAAUGGUUAGUAUUUGUCACUGACUUUUAGUUUAACAUGUUAGCGCAAAAAAUGUAUUAAGACGAGAACAAGAAGCCUACAUCUAUUUAUAGUUGCAUGAAUUAGAUCUAGCAAAAUUAAAAUUUGUAAGGUUUGUGACAUAUAAAUGUCAAAAAUAUGAAGUUAAUUCUCCCUCCAUCCCAUUAAAAGUGUCAUACUUUUCAUUUUGGAAUAUUUCAAAACAUUUGUCAUGUUGAUAAAGUCUAAACACGUUUUAAUUUCUCGUUUUAAUAUAGCCCUUUUUUUCUAAUCAAAAUAAUGAUUAUGUUAUUAGUCUAAUCCUCAUGGAUCUGUUACUAACAAAUACAAAGCAACACCAGUUGGAAGUGAUAUGCAACACAUGGCUGUUUAAAAAUUCUGGUGAUAUUUUAGGGAAGAAAAAGUGUUGGCAUGUUCACAAAACGCAAGAAAAUUGAGGAAAACAACUCUUAAAACUAUCAGAACUCUUAAAUGCAGGUGCUGUGGGGAAAUGACAGAAAAGGUAGAGCACAUGCUUUUCUUUUGCAGUCAUGCAGAGUACAUCUGGAAGGCAGCUCCAAUUGAUUGGGAUGGGUUAAAGGAUUUCAGGCACAAUUUUUGGCAUUGGUGGAAGUAAAGGGAAUACUAGAAGGGAGGAAUCACAUUGUAUUGACAGUGAAUAUCCUCUGGCAGAUAUGGAAGUCCAGAAACCAAGUUCAGUUUAAUGGAGUUAGGAACUGUCCAGAAAGAACUGCAAAUAAAGUUGUACAUGAGUGGGCUGAAUAUAACGGAGUGAGAGUUGGAGAGGACAAAACAGAGGAAAAUGGGAAAAAACAAGUGGCAGAAUCGAGUAGAUGGUAUCCACCCCCACAGGGGGUUAUCAAGUUAAACUCUGAUGCAGCUUUGGAGCAAAAGGAAAGGAGAAUAGGCUGGGGGGGUAGUGGCCAGAAGGGAGGAUGGAAAGAUAGUUGGAGCUUGGGCAGGAGGUGAAAGGAGGGACGGAAACCCAACAGUGGAGGAAGCCUUAGCAAUCAAAAAAGCUGUAUCAAGGCAAAGCUCUUCGGGCAUUCAUGCUCCGUAAAUGGGGCAAUAAAAUGGUGGUGUUAAUUAUUAAUUGAGCCAUUCUACGAAGAGUAAAGCUAAAAAAAAAAAAGACUUUGAAUUGCAUUAAGAAAGAAGGGUCAAUCAUGAUAAAUUGCAAACAUAUAUUGUGAGAUAAGAAGUAGAAAUUGGUUCUACUGGUGAAGCAAAUGAAGGUUUGAAUUCAGAAUUUCAAGUUGCAUACCCUUGAGAGUGCUACCGUAGCAUCUUAAGUUAUUAAUUUUAGCUCCACCUGAGUUUUUCUAUGCAAAUAUAUGAAUUUGGAGCUUCCUAACUAAACCCAAUUAAACCAAAAAAUAUUCAACAAACAAUAUCCUCAAAAGGGAGACAUAAAUUGCCUUGAAAUGAGUUGUUAUAACAUAAGGAAUAAUAAGAAAAAAAUACAUACAAUUCAUUACUUUGAUUGAGUAUCCUAGCUCACAGGUGGCUCUAAGAUCAGGAAUUGCAUAAUACUAAAUAAAAACUUGGAAAGAGGCUGUUUUGAGUGAAUUAACAUGGAAUAGUGGGGUUGUGAUAUUGUAGUGCUUUAAUUAUACAAAAGAUCAUACUUAUUUAACAUCCGAUGCUUAUACAUAACUGCAUGAUGAUCAUUAUGGUAAUAAACAAAGAGAUAAUCACUCGAACUAGUUAAAUGGUUAAGAGAGGAUUUUUACAGUCUUUCCUACUACUAUCAGGUUCGUGACUCUUAGAGAUGAUUCUUAGAGGAGGGAAGAGCCAAAAAAAAAAAAAAAAAAGAAGUAGAUGUUUGAUUCUUAGAGGAGGGAAAAGUCAAAAAAAAAAAAAAAAGAAGAUGAUAAACAAGAGAGGCCCAAUGCGGUGCAGUGGACCAAAUGUCUAAAUUCACAAGAAAGGCCCCAAGUAGAUGUUUGAUGACUUGAUCCGUUCUUGCAUCGUUAUAGUUAGAUUCAUAGAAGUUUAGAAUCAUGAAUGUUUUCUAACACAAAUUUGUUUUGCGUUUUUUUUUGAGAUAAAACCAACUUUCUUGUUUUUGAGAUUUCUUGUUUAGUUUACUUUUCUUUUUUACAAAUGAACAUUUAUGUAGUAUCUUCCUAAUCCAAUUGAUUCUCUAUUUAAUAUCAAACCGCAACAUUGUUGUUACACAAAUAUCCUCAAUGACAUUAGAAAAGGCAUUCAAAUUUGGAGUAAUAGUAUAGUCUUGAUAUGAGUUGUUAAAAUUCCUUUAAGUUUGAUGUACUUGAAAACUUCCAAAUAUAUAUGAAUAAAUUUUACAUAUACUGACAGUGUAUACAUUAUCACCAUUGAAUUCAUGACAUAUGUGCAGAAAUUGAAUUUCAAAUUCAAAUUUUGCAUAAUUAUCAUUCAUUCAACACUGACAGUAUAGGAAAUAUUAAUCCAUCUAAUAUAUGUUCUCAUUUUAUCUCUCAAGAACUAGAAAAUGGGCUGAACGACGUAGCCAAAGUAGAUUGUCAUUUUCUUUUUACUUAUUAAAUUUUUUGGUACAUUUUUAUAGUUAAGGACAACACUUUCGUGUGCCUCUUGGGUCAGACCAGUAUUCCAACCCAGCCAUUAAGAUCUGUCAAUCAGAAACAGACGUAGGCCUCAGCAAAGCAUUGAUAAAGAAAGGUGCAUUUCUGCGGGGAUAGAAACUAAUUGCUCUUGGGUUGUUAAAUUCCUUUGGGUUUGAUGUGCUUGAAAACUUCCAAAUAUGAUAUAUGUUCUCAUUUUAUUUCUCAAGAACUAGAAAAUGGGCUGAACAAUGUAGCCAAAGUAGAUUGUCAUUUUCCUUUUUUUUUUUUUUUUUGGGAACAUUUUGGCAAUUAAUACAAUAGCAUCCAAGUUUCAUGGCAGCUUUCAUGCCCACCGGCGGGUCCAUGAAAAUAAAUGAAAUGUACAUUUUCAAAUCUCUGCACCUGAACAAGACUCAAGGCGAUGGUAGCUCUUAAAAUUUCAACCAUUCAUUGAUAGUAAGAGGCACGCCUUCACCUACCACAAUGAACGCUUUCACCCUACCAUAAUUACCCAAGAAACAUGAACAACAAAUUCACAAUUAUGUUUGUUUGUCAGUGUAAAUUUUUUUGUCAGACAAAUAUUUUCGUGCAAAAUUUUCCACUAAAAUAUUUACCGGAAAAAAGAAGAGUCUGUUCAAUCUAGUAGCUGGCUCACAUGGUACCGCCCUGUCAUUUCUCUCCCUUCUUCCAACACCGCUAAAAGCGUGCUGCUAAUACAAACAAUGUGCUAAAAGCGUACUGCACGACCCUACCGCUAAUACAAACAAGUGCAUGGACCAGCCAAUCACUUUCUCAUUAUUUCUUGGCUUCACCAAACCCAGGUACUCAGUACUUUUUUUUUCCUUGAUUUGCUAUUAGACUGCACCAAAUUACGAUAUUAGUCUAAUUUUUUUGUUCAACUAAACCCCUAUCCAAUCAUACUUUUAUUUAAAGUAAAAUGACAUUUUUCCUCCUUACGGAUCAUUCAUAUUUUUUUUCCCUUGAUUUGCUAUUAGACUGCCCCAAAUUAAUAAAUAUUUCUCAUUUUAACGAAUGUGUCACAGGCUUUAUGAUUGUAUUGCAAUUGAUAUAAAUUUUUCCUCAACCUCAAUUGCUCUACAAAUCUCCCACUUUAAUGUAAAACUUGUCCUAAUACUUUAAAUGUUCCCUUCUAUUUGCUAGUGCAACAAACCGAUUUGUGACUCUAUACAUGUACAACAUUAAUCUGAACUAGCAUUAUUUUGCCUGUGCCUUGGCAUGGUUUAUUUUUUAAAAAUUUAUUAUGAAUUCGUGCAAGCAUGAAUAAUUUAAAUAAAAAAUUAAUGAUGAUCUUACAAGUUCAUCCAUAUUAAUUUUAUAAAAUUAAUGUAAUAAUUAUACUUAACUGUCAUAUUAAUUUUUAAAAACUUCGUUAGAUACUUUUAUUAUAAUAUAAUGAUAUUCAUCAAAUAUUAUAACACAUCAAAAAAUCAAUAGAUAUUCUAUCCUUUUGUGUAUGGAUAUUUUUUAGAUGAUUACAAUUUUUAUAAUAACCAUAGACAUAGUUACAUAUUCCUACUUAAUUAAGUACAAAAAAAUUUAGCAAUUUAUUUAUGCAUCAACAAAUAUUCAAUUUCUAGCAAUAUUGAUAAAUCUAUCAGUUAAUAGUUAAAGUUUUUAAACACUAAGUUAGUCCAUAUGGAUAAAAAAAAUUAUACAAAUUUAUCGUAUUGUUAGAAGAGAGAAGAACCAUAAGAAUAAAUAAUUCAAAUAUAUGUAAAAACUAUAAGAAAAACUAAUUAUAAAAUAAUCGGAUACAAAAAUAGGUAAAACUCAAGUAUCCAAAUAACUAGUUAAUUCCCCAUCAAUUUCCACUCAUUUUCAAUUUCCACCUUUCGAAGUCUUCUUUCGAGAAUCUUCUAUUAUUGCAACUCCAUUUAAGUUAAACUUGUGAUCAUAUCAUAGGCAAAUAAUUCAAUUGUAAAAAUUGAAAUCCACAAGAACGCGCUCAUUUCCUCCUUCCCAAAACAUCCAAAUUCAGUCAAAGUUUAUAAUUAUAUUAUGAACUAAAGGUUGAUUUUGCUUCUAACUCCAGUUGAAAUUGUGACAACUUGUGACAAAUUGAAACUGUUUUUGGCUCCUUGCAAUCAAAUUGAAAUAAAUUAGUAAAGGGUCAAUUUAGCACUAAUCUCCAAUGUUAUUAGGGAUAAGUCGCACUUUGCCCACUUGAGUUUAUUUUAUCAUCACUAAACAGAAACACACCUCCUCUUUUAAGACUAGCUAUUUCGUUUCUUGGUUCUAAAUAGUGGCGCAUAAUGAUAAUUUUCUCAGUGUCUCAAAAAUCAAGCUUGUGAUCUCAAGUUAAUCGAACCUUUAUUUUUUGAAGUAGAUAAUAAUCAUUAAAUUAUUGAAACUUCUACUCCCUCUUUCCAUUGUUAAUGUUGUUUGCAUAGUUAUUAUUGCAAUGAUUAACAAAUAAUUAAUUUUUUCCCACCGUACAAAUUUAGGUCAUCCAACUCGAGGAGAAAAAUAAAAAAAUUUGUUGAUAUAUCUAAUUAAAAAUAAACAAUUUCAGUGACAUUAUCCUAAUUUAUUUCUCAUGAAAAAAAAGGAAAACCAAAAGAAGUAACUAGAAAUAUUGAUAUAAAUAUAUAUAUAUAUAUAUAUAUAUAUAUAUAUAUAUAUAUUUAGUAUGACAAGGUUGGGUUACGUUUGGUGCAACGUUUAUCAUUAUUGGUCUGGGUAUGAUGCGGGUGACUAUUCAUAUUGGUCUGUGUUAAAUAUGAAUUAUUGUUUGUGGUCCACGGCAUGUAACUAUAUGUCUUAUUAUUGUUUAGCGAUGUUGCGCUUUCAUUGUCCUAGACUCCUGGUCCCAUGUUUUAAGACAAAGUGGUCCACUCCUGGAUUGUACGCAUCGUUGAGUUAAGAAUGAAUUAUUAUUCUUUGGGGUCUACGGAAUUAUUAUUUGGGGUCUUGGGCAUGUGACUAUUAUUUGGGGUCCUCCAUUUUAACUUUUAAGGCAAAAUGGUCCUACAUUGUAUGUAUAUCUCACGUGUUUGUAACACGUAGAAUUAGCUUCGAAAAAAGCCCAUCAUGGUGGGGUAGUCCGUAGUUGUAGGGGAAAAUAUCAAUAAAUAAGUCAAAACCAAUUUGUUUUUCAUCCGAAUACACAAUUUCCAAAACUCAAAACCACUAGUUAUAUCAUCAUCAGCAGCAGCAGCCAUUUUUUUUCUUGCUUAAAAUUGGAAUUAAGAUUAAGUUUUCUGAGAUCAGAGGAAGGGAGGGAGGUUUUAGCAGCAAAUAAGUAAAAUCUGUGUGGAAGCCGAGAAGAAAGAGUAAAAAAUUGGAUCAUGAAAGGAGUUUGGUCAAUUGUGGCGGCCUUUAGUUUUUUAAAAAUUCCAUUAUUUUCGUUGUAGGAAUUAAAAAAAAACAAACGAAAGUGAUUUCAAAUUAUAUCAGUAGGUAGUGCUUGGUCAACAAGCCUAAUAAGUGUGAUUAAUCUCUCUAGUUUAAUUUAAUCAUCAUUCACAUCAAGUCAUGAUCACUUAUUGGCGCUUUUGGGUUGAUUGGACAGACUAAAUCUCUUUUCUGUUUUCUUAUAUUAAUCUGUUAUCUACCCAACAAUGCAUCAUCUAGAUGAGUAAUUAAAUAGAACAUUUUUGUUUGCCUCUAACAAUUUUAGUCAAACAGAUAAACUUUCUGAGAUCAAUUCUUACUUAUCCUUGAAUAUCAGCAUCUAAUAGCCUGCUUGUGAUGACUUCCCAAUUUAAAAGGAGUGCUUAUUGGCACACUUAACUGCCUCAAGGGGUACAAGCGUAGUUCUUGGAAGUCUUCUUACCAGAAUAUUUUUCUAACUAAUACACCAGUGGCUAAGCAAAUGCGGAGCUAAUUUUGGUCAUCCUGCUACUUUGCCUGGUUCCCAUGUGUGAGUGUUGGUUUUGGUAUGAGGCUUUUUUGUAUGUAAACCAAAUUUCUUCCAUGAAAAUUUUAUAUAAAUUUUUUGUAUGUAACAAACAAAAUUUAUUCAUUUCAAUUGUUUCCUAAUUGCACACACAUUGGGUGUUACUGUGUCCUUAACAUUUGUAAAUUUCUGUUGCUUAUAAAAAAAAUAGAGAAGUUUUGGAGCUUGAAUUACUCAGUUAAGAAUAGUUUGGUGGGCAUACUCAAAAAUAAAGGGCUCUAUAUGAAUUAGCUAUUUUGGGAUGCUUUUCAAAAACUUUACCGUAACGAUAUACAUGAAAAACUGUAGGAGUUUUGGAGUUCGAGAUUUGCUGUGUUACUGAAUACAAGCAUCAGCGUUGGAGGUAUGGCCACGUAAAGUUCCGGUGGAGGGAGGUCUUGGCGGUCAACAACGCUGCGGAGGUGGAGGGAGGUCUUGGCCGCCAACAACUUUGGUCUCUACCUUAGGCAAGAGAAUACAGAGGGAGAUGGUGGAGCUGAACAUGAACCCACCUCCUUAUUGCUCCGCAAUGUUUCGAAACUCAAACCGUUAAUUGAAUCGAUGAAGUGAUCGAAUCGAGGUUCAACCGGUCAGACUGAUUCAAGCUCGAUUCGAUGAUUAUAUAUACAUACACACACACUUAUGCACAGAAUAAGAUUAUCCCAUGGAUCAGUUUAAGACAUCACUUGAUAAAAAGUUAAAUAUUUUUAAACACAAAUCAAAUUUUAAAAUUGCAAAUUCAAACAAAUAAAUUCAUUUCAAUUUUACCUACUAGGAAAAAUUCUUAAAUCCUACAUAAACCACAACCGUAUUAUGAAAUUAAACAAAAUGCAUUGGAACUUCUGAAAUUAAACAAAAUCUAAUAGAACUACAAAAGAAAACAGUGAUUUUUGAGUUUGAUGGUGAAAAAUAGAGAGAGUUUGGUUACUCGUUUAGAAAUUAGGGUUGAAAACAAAAGAUUCGAUAGAUAAGUUUUAUGUUGAAAACUUUAGGUUCAUUUGAAAAAAAAGAUUCAAAAAUGAAAUAACCGCGGUUCACAGUUCAAUCCGGUUGAACGAUCCGACCGAUUUUUUUUACAAUUUUGAUUGAUUUUUAUAAUAAGUUAACACUAGUAAUGAACUAGACCGAAAACUUGACCGAUUCAUGGUCAAACUGGCUGGUCUAGCCCAAUUUUCAAAACAUUGUCGCUAGCCCAAAAGGCGACAAUCUCUACGACUGGGUUGCUACUCUUAUUGGUCCCCAUACUAUGCUUCCAUUUUCUUCACUUUUUUUGCCCUCUUCGUUUUUAUGCUCAACUCAUUUGCAUUCAUAUUUGCCGUGUGAUUUUGGUUUUUCUAUGGAUUUUGGUGCGAUUAAGUAUUCUGGGCCGAUCCAAGACUUCAUUUUUUUUGCGGGUUUUUAAUAUUCUGGCAAAUACUUGAGGGUUCUUUGAAUUUCUUUAAGAAAGUUGGGAACUUUACUUGCUAUGGUGAAAUUGUGCUCAAAACCUAAUUAUUACCCUAUUACGAGGACUUUGACAAUCCAUUAUUCUUCCUAGUUAUUUUUUUGAGGAUUGCAAGGACUUAAUUUGAAAAAUGUCAUUGAAUUGUAGUAGUACUAGAUUCUACAAUUAGAGAGGGAGGAAUUUCGCAAGCCAACGUGUACUUUUUUUUUUUCCCUUUUGAGGGAACAACCUAUAGUUCAAUAAGGUGUGAAAAAAGGGACCUUUUUUUUUCCUUGAAAUUGAAUGGACUAAGUACAGUUUACCAACUAGUGUUUCGCGGAAUUUCUACUUUGCUUGUCAUCCUUGUGUUUCGGACCAAUACCUGAUGGAGUCUAUAGAGUUGGAUAAGGAUUGAGCUUAAAUGGAGCUCAGAGUUUCCAUGAAUGCUUUAUCAUCCUUGUAAUUCAAUAGGUUCUAAUAUUCAUUAAGAUACCAAAAAACUGCAUAACCGAGGAGCUAUAGGCCUUCAUGGCUUUUAUGUGCUUUGUUUCACACAAUUUCAAUCCCCUCCUUUGUUAAGCAGAAGCGUUAAUUGGCAAAGGCUGAAUUACGCUAGGACAGAAUUGGCUGGUUUUCAUUUAACUCUAUGGGCUCUAUUAACUACUGGAGCCAGCAAAGAGUAGAAAAAGAAAUAUAUGGGGACAGUGUGUUUGAAUGUAAAGAUUGGAGGUGCACAGUUGAAAAGCUUAUAAGAGUGCGAAGUGAAAUGACUCAAUUUUGAAAUGUCUAUUACUCAGUAGUGGAAGCAUAACUCAAGUGUUGCCAAAGACAAAAUAAAAUCAUGUGUAUUAUCCAUAAGCUGCGUAGUCUGUAGUUGACCUUUUUUUUUGGGGGUUGUAGGGGUUGGGGUGGGGAGGGGAUGGGGGCGGGGGAGGGACAUAUUUGGGUCAAACCACAACUCCAACAAACCAUUGAAAUAUUUUCCACAACCAAAGGCCACGGCCAGCUUUCAAUCAGAAAAAGAUGAAAUACCUAGCUAAGGAUUGAUCAAUAAAGCCAAGUGAAAUUGCCAAGCAAACUUCUCCAUGGCAAUUAAUGGCAUCAAAGUUUGUCAAAAUGUACUACUGCAGCACUUUUACCAGUGGCUGGAGAGCAACCAAAAACAUCCACUGUAAAUUUCUAGCUAUUCCGAACUAGGCAAAAAAGCAAAAUAUAUUGCUAGCACGGAAAUAGAGAACUCCCGGGGUCUUUGGGUAUUCAAUUAUUUUAAAUAAUAUUUUAGUUAUAUCAUAAACACAUUUUUUAAUCUACUUUUUAUAUUUUUAAUUUUUUUAUAUCAUAUACAUCAAAUUAUAAAAAAUGUUAUAAUAAUUAUUUCAAAUAAUACUAUAUCCAAUUAGACUCACUAGCAUGAUGCUCUGCAGAAAGCAAACAAAAUAAGGAGCACUGAAAUAAUGUUUCAAAUAAGUAUAAGCAAGAGAGUACGGAGCAAGUAAACAUGGCUGGUCAUGCGCCCGCGCCAAGAAAGCCAUAUGAUCCGUACUUGAACACGCUGGAGAGAUCACCCUAACUUUAGUUAUGGAGGAAAUAAGCAAUCAAAUUUUGCACCGAAUAGACGGCAAGGGUCUCAACAAGAAUACCAACCUCGGCAGCCAGCACCUCCUCCAAGCUCAGGCCCGUCUUUAGAAAAAAUGAUGAAACAAUUAAUUGCUAGUCAACAAAAGACGGAAUCUAACUUACAAAGUCAAAUAGGUCAGAUGCAAGCAAUGCAAAGUCAGAUGAGUCAAAUGGCAAUAGCAAUCAAUUGCUUGGAAUCCCAAGUUUACGGAAAAUUAUCGUCUCAACCUGAACUGAACCCGAAGAACGUAAGUGCAAUGACCCUAAGAAACGGGAAGGAAAUUUAGGGACCCGAACUCGUGACUCAAAAGGAUAAGGAUGAAGAAAAGAUCGAGAAAGGGCUUGAAGAGGAGGACAGAAACAGCAAAAAUCCGGUAGUACUCCCUGACCCAAUCAUUGAGGUUAAAACUAAUCCGCCUCCCUUUCCUAACAGGUUAGAGAAACCGAAAAAGUAGGACAAGGAGAAAGAGAUCUUGGAGGUAUUCCGCAAGGUAGAAAUCAACAUUUCCCUGCUAGAUGCAAUCAACAAAUGCCAAAGUAUGCAAAGUUUUUGAAGGAUUUAUACGUCAAUCGAAGAAGGCUGAGGGGAGACGAAAAAGUUAUUGUGGCGGGAAACGUGUCAGUGGUUCUGCAAAGGAAUCUCCCACCGAAGUGCGGGGAUCCAAGUAUGUUUACGAUCCCCUGUAGGAUAGGUAAUAUUUUGAUUAGAAAUGCUAUACUGGACUUAGGAGUAUCGAUCAAUGUAAUGCCUAAAUCUAUUUAUGCUUCUCUGAACCUAGAUCCGUUAAAAGAAAUUGGGAUAAUAAUUUAAUUAGCUGACCGAACAAAUGCAUACCCUGAUGGGUUGGUUGAGAAUGUGUUAGUUAAAAUUAAUGAAUUGGUAUUUCCAACUGAUUUUUAUAUAUUUGACAUGGAUGAUAAUCAUUCCCCCGAGCCCUCGCUUUUAUUGUUAGGUAGACCCUUUUUGAGCAUAACCCAGACUAAAAUUGAUGUUAAUAAUGGAACCUUGUCUAUGGAAUUCGAUGUGAAAAUUAUUCAUUUCAAUAUCUUCGAGACAAUGAAAUAUCCCUCAAACUCUAACUUUUAUUCUAUUUUUUCUGUGAGUGUUAUUGACCCUGCGGUGCAGGAAGUGUUUGAAAUUGUUGGUAGAGAUGAGUUGGAGGUUGUUUUAACCAAGUACCUUGAGUUGGAAACAACUCCUGAGGUAGAGUUGAGUGAAGAGUUGAAGUGUACGAUUGGGGCGUUGCAAUCGCUGUCAAUUACGACGACAAGGUAUGAGUUUGUACCUAUUUUCAUACCCAAAUCUCACCAAGAUAUACUACCGUCUACGGUACAGGCACAUAUGUUAGAAUUGAAUCUUCUGCCGAAACACUUGAAAUAUGCAUAUUUGGAUGAGAAAAAAAACACUCCCUGUAAUUAUCUCAACAGGACUGUCGGAAACCCAGGAGGACAUGUUAAUUCGAGUUCUUAAACAGUAUAAGGAGGCUAUAGGAUGGACCAUCGCCAAAUUAAGGGAAUCAGCCCCUCUAUAUGUAUGCACCGAAUAAAGCUUGAAGAAGAUGACAAACCUGUACGGCAAGUUCAAAGAGGCUCAAUCCCCUCAUGAUGGAAGUGGUAAAGAAAGAGAUAUUACACUUGCUAGAUGUGGGGAUCAUAUACGCAAUAUCAGAUAGCCCGUGGUGAGCCCAAUACAGGUAGUUCCAAAGAAAAUAGGAGUGACAGUGGAGGUCAACCAGAAGGGUGAGCUCAUGCCAGUACGCAAACCACCGGGUGGCGACAGUAUAUCGACUACCGGAAAUUAAACUCUGUCACGAAAAAGGACCAUUUUCCCCUUUCUUUUAUUGACCAAAUGAUUGAGUGACUAGCUUCUCGAGUUUACUAUUUUUUUUGGAUGAAUUUUUAGGGUAUUUUCAAAUUGCAAUCGCACCGGAGGAUCAGGAGAAGACCACCUUCACGUGCCCGUUUGGAACCUUUGCAUAUAGACGGAUGCCAUUCGGGUUGUGUAAUGCUCCUGCGACAUUUCAGAGAUGUAUGGUGAGCAUUUUUUCAGAAUAUAUUGAGAAAAUUAUUGAAAUUUUCGUGGACGAUUUUGUUUUUAGAAAAUGAAUAAAGGAAAUGUGGGUCUAAAUGGGACUUGAAAAUGCGACGAUUUGACCCAAAAUAAUAGUUUAAAAAGGAUUUUUGAAUAAAAAAUCAGAAUCGCCACUUGGUAUUGAGUUAGGUGUACCAAAUCACCUAAAAAUGAAUUUUUCAAAGAAAAAAGUAGAAAAAUCCCUUUUAAACGACUCCAAAUCUACGUAAAUCAAAGAAAAAGGUUCGGGAGUCACAUUUGAAGAAAGGGAAGGCAAGGAUAAAAAUCCGAGGCACCCUUUCGACCUAACCAAGGCUAGUUGCGCGAUUUAGUCAAAGAUUUUCUUAUUUUAACUUAAAGAUUUAUCACAUCUGGAUGUACUAUAUGAAUGCAAACCCUAGACCUAGGAGGGUGUCGGGGGGUCGAAAUGUAUCUUCAAAACUUACUUGGUACCAAGUACAUUAAUUGUGACGCCCAAUAAAGACUUUUCGAAGAAGUCACGAAUAAUACAAAAAUAUGAUACUCUAAGAAAAGGAAAGGAAAAUAAUAAAAAAUAAUUAUAAUUAUACAAAUAUACAUGUUCUAAAGGGAUGCAUCAUGUCGGGUACGGGGAACUAAUGUUCGUGACUCAAUUUUUCCUUUUAAUAGAGUGAAUACGAGCGUGCUAAGGUUAAAAAGCCAAACUCGUUCAUAUCUCAUAUUCAAAGGGUUGUUUUCCUAAUCUAAUCAAGCAAAUGUACUAUCCUAUCUCUAAUUUUUCCUAUAUGAAAUGCAAAUCUAAUGUCAUGUCUUAUGCAUAGGAUUAUAUAAAGGGAAAUACGGGAUAAGGGGCAUAUAUAUAAGGAAAAUAUAGGAUAGGGGAUAUACAUAUGAGGGGGAACAUGGGAUAAGGGAUAAAAGGAAAGUGUCAUACAAAAAUGAUAAAAACCCUAAAAAUAGAAAAAUAUGCAUGAGAUAAAGUGAUUUUAUUAUACAAUCAUGAUCUAACGGGCGAAGGGCUCCUAAGGGUCUAGCGUUGGACUAGCAAUGUCUAUGAACUCUCACUAGCAUUGGACUAGUGAGAAAAGUCGGAACAAAGGGUUACAACUAGUGUUGGACUAGUGUGGAUUCGGGAAAUGGAUCACAACUAGCGUUGGACUAGUGUGAUAUCACGUCAUACAUUAAUUAUAACUAAUUUAAUCAUGUAAAUUUAAUAAAAACAUGUAAACACAUAAUAUCACAUAAACACAUAACACAUAAGCAUGAUAUCUAGAUGCAAAAUCCUAGGAAAGCGGUAAACACUUAACACAUAGGCAUGCAAAAACACACAAGACAAAUAAAACAAAUAAAACCCUAAUUAUUACAUUAGGGAGGCCCUACUACAAUUUAAGGGGGGGAAGGAAUAAAUAAAUAAAAUAAUAACCUAACUAUUACAACUUUGGCAUUUAAUUGCCUUCCCAAAUAAUCAAAAUUGAACUAAAAUAAAUAUACAAAAUUAAAACAAAUAAAACGAAUAAAUAAAUAAAAUGAAAACAUUCAAAAAGCAUGCAAUUAAACACAUAAAGUCACAUAGGGCACAUAUGAUCAAAUAAGGUCAAAAUAAGGGAUAGAGUGUACCUCCCUUGAGUUUGUGCCAUAAUGAAACGAAAUUACUUAUUUACCCUCCAAAAAACAAAGAAAAUGUCAAGGCAUCACUUUAAUUAACAAAUAAUCACAUGGAAUGAAAAUAACACAAAAUUGAAUCAACUAAGUCAUGUAAAUAACCUACAUUCAAGAAAUUAAAACAAAUGAGGACUUAAUUACAAGAAUUAAUAAAGUUUGGGGGUUCAAUUAUAAUUAUCACAAAUAUUUGGGGUUAAAAAUUAAAUAAAAAUAAAGUUUAGGAACCUAUUUGCAAUUAAAUUAAGGACCCAAUAGAAAGAAAUUAAAAGAUUUUAGGGCCAUAGUGAAAAUAAUCAAAAGUUAGGGGCUAGAAUGAAAAAUCGUCACCAGACUUCUGGACUUAACAGGCCAUUGGGCCCUUUACUUUAUUUGUUUGGGUCAAAAACCCUCCUAGCCCAACUGAAAUCCAAGCAAAAUAGACGGGCUAGCUUAUCUUAAGUCCAAGCAGAACCCAACUAAAAAUAUAUGGGCUUUAUCCCUCAAACCCAUGUCAACAACCCAGGAAACAAUUCAUCGAUCCAUUAGUCAAACCCAACCAACAAUUCCAACUCAAACCUCAUUUUAUUUUAUGAAAAACCCAUCAAGAGAAAAACCCAACUAAAAAAUAUCAAGCUCUGAUUAUGCAUUAAAUCCCAGAAUUAAUCUAUCCAAAAAGUCACAUAAAAUAUGCAAACAGACGAUUAAACUUAAAAGGGCUAAAUUAGUUCAAUUUUUCCAGAUUUUAGGCUACUGUGAAGCUAGGCAAAAAUUAAGGGGUUAAAUUGUAAUUUUUCAGAAAUUUGCAUGCAAAGCCGACGAAGACUUCAUCUUCUUCGUUGGGUUGCUUUCUGCUGCAAUAUUUCUACCGCAACUUUGCGGCCAUUUUCUCAAGGUUUCAAGCCCAAAUGCCUGAGACUUAUAUAUCCAAAUUAUAGACAAAAAUCCAUCCCAAUAUCAUGCAAUGAAUUCUGACAAGAUAGAUUGCAAAACAAACGGACAGAUUGCAGGCUACGGAAAAAGAAAAACAGCAAGAAAACUGAAAAAACAAGGCCCAGGAACACGAAAGCAAAUGAAAAUGAAAUGAGUUGGGACCAGGCACGGAUUUAAGGGGGGGCUGGUGGGGGCUUAAGCCCCCCCCCCAAGCCGCCGGAAAACCCCCUAUAUAUAGGGGAUUCCAAAUGCUUGCUUCUAAAAUGCAGUAGGUAACUAGGUAGGUAGGUAGGUACUACCUUUCUCUUCCUAUGUGUCUCUUAGGAUACUGGUAUUAUUGUCUGAAAUUUUCAAUAGUUAUUUAUGUUUUCACCUGCUGGUGAUGUAAUAACUUGGAUUUUCCUAAAAUGUUUUGAGCAGGUCUGAACUCUGUAGUUAUUCAUCAUAUAUUCUGGACUUUGUUAGAGCCUGUGAGACUCGGAAACAUAGAGCCUGGGAAACAUAGCCUUUUUUUUUAUUUCAGAUGUUUGGUUGUUGGCAAAGUAUUUUUUGUGCAUCGCUGUCAUGAACUAUAUGGUGGAGUGGGCUUUCUUUUGUUGAUCAAGAAGCUUGCCAACAAUAGUUGUUGGUGCUGUUUUAAAUGUAUGUUCUGGAACAAAGAAUGCUGUAAAUGUAUUUCCUGGAAUUUAGAAAAGUUCUUGAUUUAACGCUUAUGACAUCCCUUGCACUUCAAGAAGAAUUAAAUUUGCAAUUACUAUCAAAGUUUUCCUGCUAUUUCGCUUUUUGACCGCCUUAGUUUUUUAUUUUAUUUCGAAUUCUGAUCAUGAAAUCAAUAAGCAGGGUGAGUGAUAGAUUAUUGAUAGUUUAGAGUAUUUUUUUGGAGCAUUUUGAGAUUUCCAAGAACUUAUCAAAUUCAUAUGAAAGGGGCAAUUUUUAAACUAUUUUAGUAUGCGAUGGGCAAUUCUUAAACUAUUUUUUUGAGCGGUUUAUGCCUCCGAGUACUAUACAUAUCUUGAUAGGCCUGCUGUUUUCGUUGUUUCUUUUGUAGAUUUGUAGAUUUGGGUAAGUUACAUACCCAAAAAUUCAGAACAAAUUUUUGGGUAUGUAUAAUUAUAUGUUUUUAUUAUUUUUAUAAUUAUUGAUUCUAAAUUUUACUUAUUAAAUAUAUUUAUUUCGUCACAAAAAAAAUUUUUUAAUACACUUCAGCCCCCCCAAAAAUAAAUUUCUGGCUCCGUCCCUGGUUGGGACAUUGAUUUUGAAUGAUACCUGAGGAAGCCGCCCUCAGCCGUAGCUACCUAGCUUGGUUUCUCUCCUUUUCCUCCGUUUCUUUCCUAGCCGCCGACUCCUUUGCUUCUUUCCUUCUUUUUCCUCCACCAGAAUCUUCCCUUUUGCUCAAGUUUCUUCCUUUCUCUUCCAGUUUUUCCUCCGCUGCCCGAAACUUCCUCUUGCUUGCUUCCCCCAUUUCCAUGUUUUUCCAGUUUCUUUCUCAGCCCAAAAACUUGUCCCCUGGCUUUCUUUUUUCUUUUCUGUGUUUUUCUCAAUCUCCUCCAGAUCCCGAAGCUCCCUCUCGUUUUUUUCCUCUUGUUCCAGCUCUCCACCUUUUCUCCUAGCCACCAAGAAUCCUCCUUUCUUUCUUGACUUUUUUUUUUCUCAACCGAAAACCCUUGCUUUUCCUUUCUUGUUGCUCUCUCUUUUUGCCGAAGACUCCCUCUCUUCUCUCUAGUUUUCUCUCAGUUUCCUUCCCUCCAGCCGCCACCCAGAUUUUCAGUCUAUCUCUCCCUCUAGCUCCCUCUCGGUCUCUCUCUCUCUUUUACUCUAUCUCUCAACCUCAGCUGCCACUUUCCCUUCUUGCCUCAACCGCCACACCUUUUCUCUUCUCCAAAAUUUCCUCUGCCCUCACACAGUCACACCCUCUCCCCUUUCUCUCUUGGCCGAAAGCCUUUUUUCUAUUUCUGUCCUCUCCGCCGUCACCAGAGUCCCCCUUUUGCUAGCUGCGUUUUCAAGCAUUUAAAGGAACCCAAAAUCUAAACCUACGAUGGAAGGCUGAGAUCUCAAACCCCAAAAUGGGUUUAUGUGGCCUGCUCUUGCCCCUUUGAUCCCGUUCAUGAAUGGAGUGAGCUGGACUUGUACUGAGAAUCCUUUGGAGGAACGAAUGAAAUGGGAAGAAAAAGCCAGCUGCAAUUUUUCUGUACUGCACGUAUCUGGUUUCUGAUAUGAAGCGGGGGAAGGGCUUAGAUCGUGUGUGGCUCCCACAUGCGUGAGCUUGCUUUCUCCUUUUCUUUUUUUUUUUUUAACAAAUAAUGAAGUAAUUUUAACAACAAAAAUGAAAAUAAAACAAGAUUAACCAAAUCAAAUGAAAUGCUAAAAAAAUUUUGAUUUUGAUUGAUGACUUUUCCUAAUUUUCACUUAAUUUAGGUAAACCAACAAUAACUUUCAUAAAUUGAAUCUAAAAGAAAUAAAGCAUAUUUUUGUGAACAAUUUUCUUUUUUCGAUAAAUUUUUAUGCUAAAAAUGUCUUAAAAAUAAAAAUUAAGAGACUAAUAAGCAAAAAUGAAUAAUAAUUACCAUUUAAUCCAUAAAAAUGAAAAUAACAAUAAAUAAAGCUAAAUUAAAAAUUUGGUAUCUCAAAUGCUAAAAAAAUGUCUAAAAACAAAAUCAUGAGAUUAAUAAAUAAAAAUAGAUAAUAAUUAUCAAUAAAAAUAAAAUAAAAUAAAAUAAAGAUAAAUUAAAAUUUGAUGUCUACACUGUGAUCGAUAUCAAAGGGUAGGUAAUAUAGUCCGUAGAAACCAUAUUUUCCAAGUCCCGGUGAUUUUUGUAGAAAUUUUUAAUAUUUGGGGUAUAGACUUUAUGGGGUCUUUUCCUACAUCGUUUGGUUUUAUAUAUGGAGCAAAUUAUCUGGUUGGCCAUUAAACUUUUGCAAUCGUUGAGUUUUGGUCAUUCAACUAUUAAAAAUCUGGUUUUGGCCACUAAAAUGUAUAAAGUUAAGAUUCGAGGCCAUUCUGUUAGGUUUAGUCGUUAAGUUCACUGAUCUGUCUGUCAUCGCAAUUUCCAAGACAAAAGAAAGGGUUAAUUUAGGAAGUUCAAUAUGCGUCUUCUUCUUCUUAUUGUAUAAACCUAAAGAAGGCAGAGUACCAGAGAAACUACAAGAGAGAAGAAAAUGGAAGAAGUCUAGCUUGGAUUAAAGGAAGUAGGACCAAGCUCAAAGCUACCAAGGGCCGUGCCAACAAGUUCCAUUUUCCCAUAGGGGGUUUUCUGGAAUGAACCCUAAAUUGCUAAUCCUUUGGGAGAGUAGUGAAGAUCCUUGGAUUGAGGCCAGCGUAAUUUGGGGCGUGGAGGUUGGGAGUUCUUAGGAAUGGGUUGUUGCUCCUCUCUGUAAUUACGCUGCUGCCGAUGAUUUCAUUUCAAUGCAAACAAACAACCCUGUACAUCUCUUGAGGUUUCUGAAAUUAUCCCUUUUAUCUUUUAAUACUACUCUGUACAGCUUCAAUAGUAGAUCAGGAAUAUCUUAUCAAAGCAACCGAAGGACCUGUGCUUAACUUCGACCAUCCAUAGCCAUCUCCUCCCUCGAGUUUGCCUUUCAUUCUGGUUACCUCCCUCUCCUCUCCUUUCCUCUCCAAAUUUCAGCACCACCACCCGUUGCAUAUGAUAUGAAAGCCUUCUCGUCUUCUUUGGCCUUUUAUUGUUUCCUUCUCCUUCUCUUGAAUCUCUGCCACCCACCCGUUGCAUAUGAUAUGAAAGCCUUCUCGUCUUCUUUGGCCUUUUUAUUUUUCCUUCUCUUGAAUCUCUGCCACCCAUUUGCUGAGUCUUUGAGACAUGGAGAGAUUCCAUCGAUUGAGGCAGUGUAAUUUGGGGAAGGAGGUUGGGAGUUUUUGGGGGCAGGUUGUUGCCCCUCUCUGCCAUCCAGAAGAUGCAUGUUGAACUUCCUAAAUUGACCCUUUUUUUGUCUUGAAAAUCAUGCCGACAGACAGAUUGGAGAAUUUAACGACUAAAUCUAACAGAAUGACCUUGAGUCUUAACUUUAUACAUUUUAGUGGCCAAAACCAGACUUUUAAUAGUUGAGUGACCAAAACUCGACGAUUGAAAAAGUUAGUAACCAACCGGAUAAUUUGCUCUUAUAUAUAUAUAGUUGAUAGUUGAUUAUGUUUCCAAAUAGGUGGAGGCUAAAGCCAUCCGGACUAAUGAUUCGAAGGUGAUUGCAGGUUUUAUUAAAUCCAAUAUUUUAUGUAUUUUGGAAUGCCAAGAGCUAUUGUUAGUGACAAGGGGACGCACUUCUGCAAUAAGACCAUAGCUGCGCUAUUUCGAAGGUAUGUUGUACUCUACAAGAUCUCAACAUCGUACCACCCUCAAACCAAUGGUCAAGCGGAGGUCUCGAACAGGGAGAUUAAGUUGAUACUGAAAAAAAUGGUUCGCCCCAAUAGAAAAGAUUGGAAUCAAAGGUUGGAAGAUGCACUUUGGGUCUAUCGGACUGUGUAUAAGACCCUUAGAAGAAUGUCACCCUAUAGACUGAUAUUCGGGAAGCCGUGUCACCUCCCAGUGGAAUUUGAACACAAGGUCUUUUGACCGAUAAAGCAGUGUAAUAUGAAUUUAGAGGAGGCCGGUGCCCAUCGGAAGUUGGACUUGCAAGAAUUGGAGAAGAUCCGAAACGACGCGUAUGAGAACGCAGUAAUUGAUAAGGAGAAAAGUAAGGCGUUCCAUGACCAGCAAAUCUCUAAAACGACAUUUGAAAUUGGUCAGAAGGUUCUCUUAUACCAAUCCAGGUUUAAGCUAUUUCCAGAUAAAUUGUGUUCCCGUUGGAUCUGUCCUUUUAUUGUUACUCACGUUUUUUCCUACGGUGCAAUAGAAAUCCAGAGUACUAAGACAGGCAACAAAUUUGUGGUGAAUGGACAUCGUUUUAAACACUAUUACGAGAGCUUUCCAAGUGGAGAAAUAGAGAUGAUCCAUUUGGACACCCCAAAUUGCUCCAAUUGACGACACCUAGCAUGUCUAGCUAAAGACGUUAAAGAAAGACGCUUAUUGGAAGACAACCCAAUUUCUUUUAGUUGUUUGUUCAGUUUUAGUUGGUCGCUUCAGUGUGUUUUCUUAAGAUUUUCCCAAAUUCUUGGUUUAAUUUUUAGUUUUGAUAAUUGGUAGGUGUUCCUCAGACAUGAUGCGCCCAUGUCAAUAUGGCGCGUGAUAAUGUGCAACUCUUAAAUCUUUCGUCAGAAGGGUUUCUACCCUCAUGACGCGCCUGCGUCGAGUUGCCUGGAGAGUUCUUCCUUUGAUCCUGAAGCGGACUUACUGACUUGACGCGCCCACGUCAACAGGGCGCGUGGUAAUGAUCAAUUCUUGCGCUCUCCAUCAGAAGGGUUUCCACCCUUAUGAUGCGUCCACAUCAUCCAGGCACGUGGUAACUUGGAACUCAACGGACAUUUAUCAGAAGGGUUCUUGCCUUCUUGACGUGUCCACGUUAUGUUCGAGUGAAAGGUAUCUAAAAAAAAAAUCUCCGUUUAAUCUUCAAUUUUGGUUUUCGAAUUUCAAAAUUUUAACAUUUGAAUUCAAAAAACAAAAAUCGCAAGCUACCUCUUUUUUUUCUUCAUUUCCUUUUCCCCUAUUUCCCUUGGUUCCCUCUCUUCGCGUCCACCUAGCCGCAGCCGCCAUCUUCAAAACACGUGCACAUCCACCGCUGCCUCUCCGCGCUCCACUGCCUUCCCUUUCUCUUUCUCCAGCACGUCUCUCUCUCUCUCUCACACACGUGACCUUAGCCGCGUGCCUCUUUCUUCUUCGCACAGUCCACCGUACGUCGACGCCACUCGGGCCAAAUGCAAGCCGGCGCUGCCAUCCACAACCGCCGUCCGCCGUCCGCCGUCGAUCUCUCCCUCGCCGCGCACCGCCAUCGUCCCAUCAGUUGUCACCCUCACACACACACACACACUCUCUCUCUCCCUCUAGCACCCAUGGCUACCCGUUGCUUCACCAAGUCCGCCGGCCAUCGUCGACGCACGCCGCUGUCCUGCUCCAUCCUGAUGAACGCCGCUGCCAUUUCCAUUAUCUCUAUUCGGACAACGGUGAAGGUAUUUGUACUCACCACUUCUCAUUUUUGGUGCUGUUUGGAUCAUAGUGGCACUAGGUCCUAUCGCUUGUUUUCUGGGUCUUUCGAAAAUUUGGAUUAGCCGUUUGAGAUUUUUCAUUCACUGUAUGGUGCACUAGUGGUACUGGUUGAGUUAGUUUAGACUAGAGGUUGUUAAGUUUGUUUCGUUGGGUACUUGUUUGAUAGCUCAAAGUUUGUGACUGAGUUGUUAUUGCUGAAUUGCUAUUGCUAGAAAUUGCCGAAUUCUUGGGGGUCAUCUGCCUGUUGAUUUGACCUGUUGCAUUUUAGGGAAUUUGCUGGUAUUUAGGGUUGCUAGAAGUGUGCGUUUCAUUGUUCAAUUGAGGGAUAAUAGUGUCUAUUGGGUUGAUUGCUGCAUUGGAAAUAGCUGCUACUUCUGGUCUCCCUACUUUAUAUACUUGGUAGACACUCUGUUUCUUGCUAAUUGAGUUGACAAUUGGGAGACACCUGUGGCUAUUGAUUUGCUAUUAAUUUCCAUUUGCUGGUUGCUAUAUUUGUUGGACAUUCUGUCUCUUGUUGAUUGGGCUGACUGCUAGCGACAAUGGUGAGGCCAAAGUCUACUUCUAACUCUAGAACCUCUCAAUCUCGGCCUACCUCACCCCAACCCACCAUUCCUGUGAAUGAACCUACCAACCAACCCUCCUCCUCGAGUGUACGAACAUGUUUAGGUAGGGGUAGAGGUGUUCAUGUGGCUACACCCUCCCACUUUGGGAGGCAUUUAAACUUCACUAGGAUUGCCGAUCAGCAGCGAUAUGCUAAGUGUUGUGAGUGACGUAUCAUACCCUGCAAAUAUUGUGACAAAAUUACUAUGAUUGCACUGGGAAUAAGAGAAGAGGUUGAGCGGAUGUUUACCGCCAUUGGUUGGAGACCUCAUCUAGAUAUUUUUUGUCCCGCUUUUGUCAAAUUAGUUCGCGAGUUUUACUCCACUGCUGAGUUCGACUUGCCUACGAGAUAUACUGUAGAUGCCCCAAAUGUGAUUCACUUCCGCCUCAUGGGUCAAGAGUUCAAUUUCUCUAUCACUCAUUUUAAUUUAGCUUUUAGAUUCAUUACUCCGGAGUAUGCUGAGACUAGAAAGUACGCUGAGAGUGCUUGUGAUUAUAUAGAGCCAUUUUUCUCUUACUACCCCGAUAUUUGGAAGGACAUGUCUAUCGACGGGGACCGUUAUGACCCAUCUCGAUCUAGGAGUUCUUACCUUAAGGAUCCGAGUGCCCGUUUUGUUCAACGAUUCUUGGCUUAUAGUUACUCGGGUCACAAAGAUAGCUCGGGUAUACUUUUUCGACCCGAAUUCUUCUUUAUCUGGUGCAUGAAGAACAAUAUCAAGGUGAAUUUGGGGUGUUGGUUGGCAUCACAAUUCAAGACCAUUUUAGCCAAAAAGAACAAACCUUUGAUACUCGUGUCGUAUAUCACGCACCUAGCAAUCCAAUUGGGGGUUCUUAAUCUGCACGACCACGAUCUCCAUCUGGCUUUUGACAUGGAGUUUUUGGAUGAGGACUAUCUUGAGAAAAUGGGAGUUAUAGAGCGGGACGAUGAUACGAUUCGGUUUACACUCCGAGGACUCAUUCGGGCACCAGGUCGACUGGUGGCUAUCAAACUACCAAAAAUAAAAUUUAUAUCAAGACCUACUCCCAAAACUGAAUGAUUAUAGUGGUAAGUAGGGUCGUCUCCUCAGGGAACUGGUAGAUUUAUUACACAAAUAAUUUGGAGGUUUUAAGAGGGAAGACAAAAUCACAAAUAGAGGAGGUAAGAUUACUGAACUUAAAACUCACAAGCAGUGCAGUAACUAAAGAAUAUAAUUAACAAUUAAUUGACACAACCUAGUCAAAGAGAUAAUCUCGGCACCGGCUCACGUGAUUGAUCAUAGAUAAUAGGAAUAAUUCACACGUUCGCAAAUAAAUUGGUUCUAACAAUUUAGCAACCGCCAAACUACUAAUCUCUCCUUAAUUAUAUGGUAGUCCAGAGACGCUCUUACACUACCCCCUCCCCCCCGUGUAAAAUAGAUAACCCCAGAGACGCUUGAAAGAUUUAAUCUAUUCACAACUUUAGGAAUUAGAGAGACUCAAUUCUAGUUAACAAACACGCAUGCGGGUUCAUUUAAACUAUAUUAACUAUUCCUACGACACAUCAAACCACUUGCGAGGCGAUGAAAUUGUGCCAUUUGCCACUAAUCUUAAGACAAUUAAGUGAUGCGCACUCUUGUCCUAAUUGGCAGUAUACUAUUCAGAUAAUUGAACAACUGACCACAUUGAUCCAAAAAAUCCAAAAAUAAUAGGCUAUUAAAACAAACAAUAAUUAAAUAUCCACGAACGCGGAAUUUAAAAUAGAGCAAAACAAUUAAAACGAUCUCACAAUUGACAGUGAACCGAGCAUUGAUUAUUCCUCAAUUAGAUAAAGAAAUUUAGCCUGUCUUCAUGCCAUUGACGCAAUCCAAAGCUUUAAUGGAAUUUUUGUUGAUGAAAAGAAAGUAGAGCGACUAAUGUUUGACUCACCUUAAAAAAAUCCUAAUCUAUUGUUGUCCACUUUUAAAGUGUUUGUGCUGUCUCUCUCUUUGCCAACCGAGAGUUUGUUUCCAUAAAGGAUAGGUUCCUUAUUUUCCUCCUUGAGUUGUUGCCAAAGGUAUCUUCUGAAGAUAUUUCCUAAUCCCACACAACUUCAAAACAUGUCUUACAAGGAUAGCGGCAAGCUCCUAGGGAUAAGUCUCGCGGUCCGUCUUUUGGAUAUUACUCUGCGAUCUCUGGCGUUGGCACGUUCUAGAAUGAAUAGUUUUCUGAAAAUUUGCCUUUUUUCACCACUUUUGCCAUCAAUCAUCUGCAACUGACACAAAUACCAAUUAUGAAUAGAAACCCAUUACUUUGCAUAAUAAAUGGCCAAAAUUGAAACGAAAUACCAUUCAAUAAAAUGCACAAUUGUCUCACUAUCAAAUCCCCCCAUACCAAGACAAUGCUUGUCCUCAAGCAUCUCAAAACUCAUAGAUACAAGUACAGCUACACACACAUAACAGUUCAACAUGCGAGCUCAAGUGUCCCAUCCUCCUAACAAUGUCAUCAAAUUCAGAAAUUUUAAAACUUAACCCUCUCUUAUAGAAUGGUAUAGACUGCUCACCACUCCGACAUGAAAUACAAAGGGGUCACUCUCACCAUACGAUAAAAUGAUGCUACCAUAUGCUUGCUAAUAUAUCAUAUCGCCACUACUGAAACCGAAUUUAAUGGAAAAAUCAAAGGGUCUUGAUGCGGGUUGUAAUGAGGCUCAGGCACGGAUUGGAUCAAAUAGGUAAUUUAGGCUCAUUAUGUCAAAAAAAUUAUCAUUGACCCACUGCAUGAAUUUCAAUUUUCUUCUUCAUUCCAAUGAUCUUUCCAAAGCAUUCCCAUAAAUUUUUCCAAAAAUUAGCAAGUGAAAGCACAACCAAGGGAUUCACUCCACUAUCUCAACAUUACUCAUGUUGACAAUAGUACAUUGUAACUCUCUUUUUUUUUUCUUUCUUGGUGUGCUACUUUUCUUCCCUUUCUCCCUAUUCUUUCUCUUUUUGUUCCUCUUUUUUUUUUCUUUUUUUUUUCAAAUACGCACAACUACAUGGGAAUAUAGACACACUCGCUAACUUCAAUCAUCCCCUUUCAACACAAUUCGAAAUUAUCAUGCAAUGAAAUCAAGGUAUUCCUUUGACACGGGAUAAAAACAAAGAGGGUUCAAACACAAUGGCGUUAAGGGUGACAAAAUGAGCUGUUAAACAAAGAAAAAAUCUAGGCUCAAUCAUGGUCAAUUAGGGGAGAUCUGAUAGGGUUGAAUAGAGGAACUCCCGAACAUUUGGCGAUCUCAGAUGUGUCGAUAUCAAUGGUGACUCAUUAUUUUUAUUUCGAUGAAUCCUUUCUUCGGACAGAAGAAGAUUAUGUAAACACUUACUCGAAAUCUCACUUAUCAGAUUCCAUUGUGGAAGACACAAAUUUUUCUGAAGAAUUCGCCAUGUUGGCGAUGGACUGAAUUUUAUUUCUAGAGGGGGUUAUGAGACUCAUGUUUUUUCUAAUGAUCAAUUGGCUGUUGCAAAUUGUGAAAGUUAUUUUGCCUCAAAUCAUUCAACCGACAUAUACCCCACAUUUUAAGAUGACCUGAGUGCUCCAAUCGACACUUUUGGAGAUUUUUCACCUCAAUAUCAAAUGUGGUAUGACCCUUACUCAAACAGGUAUGAUCAAGGAUAGUGGGAUAACUCCAACUUUAAUUAUACGCCAGAGCCAAUUGAUUUUCAACAUCAAUAUGAACAUCAACAUCCAUUAUUCAUGUCAGGUAUGUCUCGUGAAAAAAUGGUUGAAUUAAUAGUUACUAACACAUAUCAAUUUUAACAGAACUUCCUUCACCAUCAUUUUCCCUACUAAACCAAUUUCCCCCCCAUUGUGCAGUGCCUAUGUCAUUGAGCAUAUGGUUUAAAUCCUCACUGUCAGUAUCCCCUUAUUCAUCACUGCCCAGAUUACUAUCCUCUCUAAUUUCCUGUCGAAAUUGUUCACCAUGGUGUAUCCAUCUGGUGUAACUUUUUCUAAUUUCAAAUGUAAAUAAGUGGUUUUCCACCACACUUUUUAUAUGGUUACAGAAGUUAUUGCAUUGUUUACAAGGGCAAGCUAUCGUAAGAUGUUUUGCCUUUCCAGAAUAUGCGAAAUUUAAGAAAACAGCCACCUCAAGUUUAUAAGACUCGUCUUGUCUAUUAUCAAGUUUCAUCCAAUUUUUGUCCAUUUCCUAGAGUUACAAAUCCAGAACAUAAGUCACAAAUUUUUAUCUACACAUUACAACCACAAAAAAGCAUAGAUAAGCUAGUUAUGAAGCAAUAGAUUUACACUGGAAAGCUGUAAAUCUCUUAAAGCAAUCUAUUAAAGCAAAAACAAGUCAGUUCUUCAAGAGACAAUUACACACUUUCCAGGACACAAGUAAAAAACAAUCUAUUAAAGCAUAAUUUAAACAAGUUACCUGACACGUAAUGAGAAAUUAGAAGAACAGCGGUAAAAACGGGCCUAAUUGUCUCUUUAGUCCAGUGUAAAGCAGCUGUAACAAAGGCAAUAAAAAAACUGAGAAUCAUUUUUGAACAAAAGCUCCAAUGAAAAAGCUGAUUAGUGAAGAAAUAUAUAGAAAAUAGAUACCCAAACAUAAUGCACCAAGUGUGGCAACCCGUUUAAUGGGAGUAGAUAUGUACCAUCAGAAACAAAACCUUUUUUCAAUUCUUUUUUGAAAAUCUCAUAAGAGUUUCAAUUCCUCACUCUCUCAGUCAGCAAGGCAAAGUUUCCAGCAACACUACUUCAAAAUUUUUCCCAAAGUUUCAUAUUCUACUUGUUUAAACACUAAACACUCAACAUAUUAUCUGACUAGCCUGAACUAUAGCAGAUAACCCACCAUUUAAGCAAGUAAUUCCACCAUGAACCUCAAAAUAAUUCUGUCAUAUGCUAACUAUAACUUUCAGCCAUAUGACAGUUUAAAAAUACGGUUCUUUCUUCACAUUUUCUUCAGUUUUAACUCCAACACAACACGCAAGGAAUGAUUAUCUUAUCUCAGAGUAUUUUAAGCUGCAAGAUAAUAUUUUCAGCCAGAGAUUCGAAGUUAAUGUUAAACAAAGUUUUGUUUCUCUCUCUCGGCCAUAUUAGAAAGGCUUUAGCAGCCAACAGCUUUUAAAACAAGAAAAUUCUCCAAUAAUCUCUUCAUUUUAUACCCAAUCUCACAUGCAUGUUCAUUUCCCUUUCUAGGAUGAAGUUGGAAAAAUUUCAGCAGGUACGGUCUCAACCCAAAUAGUAGUAUUGAAAGCAAAGGCACAGAAUUUCUAAAAUUUCCUCCAUAAUUUCCUCCCUUCCAAGAUUCAGCUCAACAUUCAGCUCACAACCCCUCCCCAAUCCAAGAUUCAGCUCAACAUGCAGCUCACAACCCUCCCUUCCACUUCGUUUCACUCUCACAACUCAACAUUCAGCGCACACGACCUACGUUAGACAGAACUGUUCGAAAAUAGAUGAAAAACAUUUAGAUUUUUUACCUCAAAUUAUGCCGUCACAACCUUAGGUCUUCUUUUCCUUCUGAUUCAGUCUUCAAACUCUGGCUUUUCCCCAAAAUUCAUGGUCAAAUGCCGUGACGACCUAGGGAUAUUUGUUAUCUCCCACUCUACUAAAACUGCCCUAUCAGUUUGGGUUGCUCAAUUUAGGGAUGCAAAUGGUGGCUCAACUUAGGGAUAUUUGCUAUCUGCUACCUACUAAAGCUGCAAUUUCAGUUUGGGUAGCUCAAUUUAGUGAUUAUCUUAGUAAUUUUAGCAAGAUACCAGUGGAGAGAAGGAGAAGAAGAUGGUGUCCGAAGGCAAAGAAAGAGGGAAAUGAGUUUUGUCUGAAAUUUGGUUAAGUGUUGUUGAGUGCUUUUCUUCCAAAUCAACUUCAAACGACGUCGUUUCUGCUUAAUUUAGAACCCCGCCUCUACUCCUUUAAUUUUCAGAUUCCUGCUUCCACUAUUGCAGAUUAAAAAAGAACACCUUGCCUCUCUAAAUUGUUGAACCUUUUUUUUUAUAGAAAUAACGCCUUCGAUCUCUUUUUCUUUUCCCAAUGUUUGCGCAAUUAACAUUGUUUAUUAUUUUGAGCUUUUUUAGUUCACAAGUUGUAUUAAAACUUUGGAAUAUAAAAAUUUAGUAUUUUUGAAUUUUUUCUUUUUUUACUAACAUUUGCUACACAUAUAUUAGCUAUUUUUUGGGGUAUUUUUGAAAAACUUUGCAGUAGCAGAAUUUUUAGAGUAUAUUUUGAAAUAUUUUUAGAAAAUAUUUUGGAAUAUUUAAGAAUAGAAGAGUUUCUAAAAUAUUUUUUGAGAUAUUUUUUAAAAUUUUACAAAAAUUUAAAUUAAUUUUUAGAUUAUCUUUUAGUGUACUUUUUAAAAAUUUUUAUUAUAUUAGAAAAACUAAUUUUUUAAAAACACUCCAAAAACUCUUGAUCCAAAUAGUUAUAACAGAUGCAACCAAACAAGUGAACAGCUCAGCAAAGGUCGAAAAAUUGAUUCAAGGCAUCUCAACAUUAGGAUCUCUACCAAAAAUAAUGUUCAAAAACUAAAACACUUAUUAAAAAUAUGUUUAUGAUUCAAAAAAAGAUCUUUUAAUGCAAAUAUUUUUUGUAUCAAUUUAAUAAUUUUAUCAAUUAUGCACGAAUUGUGGUCUGAUAAGACCAAACAAUCUGUUUAGUUGAUCAAAUAACCAAAAUGAUUUACUAAUACAUGCAUGAAACACUAAAUCUAUUUGAUACAAGUAUUGAUUCAUAAACUAUAGUUCCAAUUUGAUUAUUGUACAUUGUAAUACAUAACAAACUCCAGUCAUGCAAUUGUCAAGAUUUUUACUUAAUUUCAUAUUAAAUUUUAUUAUUCUCUACCAUUAUUUUCACACUAUGUUAAUCAGUAAUUUUCCAUAUGUUUUCAAGAGAACUAAAUAAUGAAUUCAUGAUAUUUUUUAACUUUAUAACUAGGUAUUAGUUACGUUUGGAAUAAUUAAAAAAUAGGUAAACAUUGUUUUUACAAUACCUUCCUCAUUUUGCUAAUGAUGAACACAACCUAAAGUGUAAAAGCGUAGGGUGCCAUAAUAGAAUUAAUAAAACCUUUCUUUAUCACAUACGAGGCUAAAUUGCAAAAGAUAAGGUGUCAUGGUAGAGUUAAUGAGAUUAGUUUAUCAAAUACGGACCUAAAAUAUAAAAGUUCAGCGAAAUAACAUAAUUAAUUAAAUUUACUUACAGCAUAUGGGCCAUAUACAAAAAAUUAGGGUGGCAUAUCGAGCUAAAAUGUAAUAGUUAUGGUGUCAUAUAGUAGAAUUAUUAAAAUUUAUUUACAACACAUGGGCCAUAUUGAAAAAUUAAGGUUGUAUAUGGGGCUAAAAUGUAAAAGUUAGGGUGUCAUAGUGGAAUGAAUAAAAUUUAUUUACAACACAUGGGCCAUAUUGAAAAAAUUAAGGCGGUAUGUGGGGUCAAAAUGUAAAAGUUAGGGUGUCAUAGUAGAAUUAAUAAAAUUUAUUUAUAACACAUGGGCCAUAUUGAAAAUAUUAAGGUGGUAUAUAUGGGAUCAAAAAGCAAAAGUUAGGGUGUCCUACUAGAAUUAAUAAAAUUUAUUUACAACAUAUGGGCCAUAUUGAAAAUAUUAGGGUGACAUAGUAGAAUUAGUGAAAGUGGGAUGAGAAUAAACGCUUUGUACAGUGACGACUAUUCGUUGUCACUAAUUUAGAACGUAUCACCAUUUUGUGACGAUAUUAAAACGUUGUCACUGAAGUUGGUCCUACAGUGACAACGUCUUUUCCAGUCAUCACAAUGGUGAUCUCCCGCCAAACUGCACAGUUUCGCGCCAUCCAUACCGUGACGACUUAUUCCUUGUUGUCACUGUUGACGGAUGAACCCACGAUCAAUAAUGACGAUUUUUUUUUCGUCACUAAAGUCUUCAAUUGUGACAAGUUUCUGUAUUGUCACAGUGAAUGUUGUCACAAAAGGUCAAAUUUCUUGUAGUGUUUGGUUAUGCUUAAAUAUUUGUUGUUAUAAAGUUUAUUCUAAAGAAAAAUGAUAAUGAAUAUAUAAAAUAAUAAGAAUUUUAUUGUAUUAUCAUGUGCAAGAAAAAGAAAAAUGAUGCAAAAUUUAUAAAAAAAAUACCCAAUUAUUGAUUAGAUUGGAUUCGUCUUGAACUUAUAUUAGUUAUGGGGUCUAGACUUGCAGUUGAGAUGAGAUAAUGAAUUGAUGGGUUAGAAAUAGGGUUGUUGGUGUUGAAUGUUAAAUAUAGAUAUUGAAUUUUAAACUAACUUUAGAUAGUAAAUGUUUUCCAGACAGUUGGAAUGGGCCCCAAAUCUUCGAUUCUGAUUUCGAUUAUAAUUUUUGGUGAACCUGUACAUGAACCUUCAGUUAUAGUUAUGGCCCUGGUUUCGAUUUCAAAAUCUGAUUCCGAUUUCAGUUUAAUUGAACCUAAACCGUGGCUACACCUAUUUCUAGGUGAUAAGCUUCUUCUGCUGUCACAUUUCCUCGUCAGUCCAGCAGUCAUAAAUUUUAGGGUUAAUAACAAUUUGCACCUUCGAACUAUCACCGAAUGGUAGUGUGCGCCCUAAACUUUUAAUUGCAGCAAUCUAGUGCCUUCAACUAUCCAUUUUUGGCACAUUUUAAAAUCAUGUUAACUCAGGAGACAAAAAGAAACGAUGUGACCGGUUUACCCAAAAUUUGUUUCUGAACUUCCAAAACUACCCCAUAGCAGCCAAAUCUAUAGGAAACCCUAUAGUUUAUCCCGCCUCAACUUAUUCGUAUUUAUGGUUUUCUGUCGUACUCGCUUAUUUCUCUUGGAUGCUCAAAUACUACUUUUUUUUAUCAAAAAACAAAAAAAAGGCAUUAUUAUUUAAAUGUUAGAUCUUACUGUGUUUGAAUAGCUUGAUCGGUUGGCAAGACAAAUGCUGAGAAAGAGUAGUGUUGAAAUCAAGACAAAGGCAAGACAAAGGUAAUACAAUUUUUUGAUUUCAUGCAUGGUGUCUGCAUGAAGCUACCGCUUUGGAUUAAGCGAUUUUGCUGUGAAUCUAGACAUAUGUGUUGGGAAUAUGAUUUUUUGAUUUCAUGCAUUGGUUAUAGGUUUACCAAUGGUCCAAUGAAAAAAAAAGUUAUUGUUCUUGUAGAUAAUGUUUCCUUUGUGCAUGUGUCCCGUGAGCAUAAUAUUUUAUGAUUUGAUCAUGUAAUCAAGGACUUGGAACCAUAAACAAGUAUAUUAAUUAUAGUUUUCAUAGCUACUGUUUUCAGUUGUGUGUGUCUUUGCAUGCAGAAAACAUGGUUGAUACUCAAUUUGUACUCAAAAUCCAUCAUGGAGGCAUGUUGGUGAGGAGAGCAAUAACAAAAUAUGUAGGGGGAACUAUAGCAUUCACCCACAUAGACCCUGAUAGGUGUAGUAUUCUUGAUGUGCAAGAAGAAGCUGAAAGAAUAGGUUAUAAAUCUGGAGAAUACAACAUGUACUUUUUAGUCCCAGAUAGUGACUUGGAUGGUGGACUCAAGCCCUUAGCUGGGAACAUUGAUGUGAUGGACAUGUGUGCCAUGUAUAAUGGUAGGAAAACAAUUUUGAUUUACAUAGAAAAGUUGCAUCUCGAUGUUCCUAUGACUGAUAUUGAGGUUGUGAAUGACGUUGAAACUGAUAUGGGCCUUAUCAAUUAAGGGUUAAUUGAUAAUGACAGUUCUGAAUAUGUUAGUGAAGACACUAGGAGUAUUUCAAUUGAAGAUAUGUUGUAUUUUAAUGAUGGAGACAUUUAUGAUGAUGAAUUCACCAACAUAACAAAGUCAAAGAAAGAAGAGUGUAGUGCUGCACCUUUCAGCAUAGAGCAGCAAAUUGCCAUCAACACUAAUGACUAUGAUAGUUGUGAGACUAGUUUGGACAAUAUAGAUGCUCCAUUGAAUUCUGAUGAUGAAAGUUUUGAAAGGAAAUUUCCAGUCUUUGAUGCAAAGAAAGAUAUGUCAAAUCUUGUUCUAAAGUUAGGGAUGAAAUUCACAGAUGGUAAACUAUUUAGGGCGGCACUCAGAGAAAACUCAAUUAGAAAUGGUUAUGAAUUCAAGUUCAAGAAAAAUGAUAGCAAUAAGGUUACCGUGGUGUGUGUUGAAGAGGAAUGCCCCUGGAGAAUCCAUGCAUCUAAGUUACAAGACAGCAGCACUUUUCAAAUUAAGAAUAUGACUGAACACAUUGUGCAUCCUAGAAAGUUUAAAAUGAAUGCUGUGACUUCUACUUGGCUAGCUGAAAAAUACAUCGACAGGUUCAUUGAUUAUCCAAAAAUGGAUGUUACAGCUCUUAUGAAGGCUGUAAAAAGGGAUUUUAGUGUAUUUGUAUCCUUAGACCAAGCGUACAAAGCAAAGUGGAAAGCCGAGAAGAGAAUUGAUGGAGAUCAUGAGAAUCAAUAUUUGAAGGUUAGAUCUUAUUGUGGGAUGGUAAUGAGGCAGAACAAUGGAAGUGUGGCUAAAGUUGAGGUUCAAAGAACAAUACCUACUGCACCUGCACAUUUUCAGAGAAUGUUCAUUACGUUUGAUGCACAAAAAAGGGGAUUUUUGGCUGGGUGUAGGCCUGUCAUAAGCUUGGAUGCAUGUCACUUGAAAGGGCCAUUUGGAGGUCAAUUGAUUGCUGCAGUGAGUAGAGAUGCAAACAACCAAAUGUAUCCACUUGCCAUGGCUGUAGUAGAAGCUGAAUGCAAAGAUUCUUGGAUUUUUGGCUGGGUGUAGGCCUGUCAUAGGCUUGGAUGCAUGUCACUUGAAAGGGCCAUUUGGAGGUCAAUUGAUUGCUGCAGUGAGUAGAGAUGCAAACAACCAAAUGUAUCCACUUGCCAUGGCUGUAGUAGAAGCUGAAUGCAAAGAUUCUUGGAUGUGGUUCCUCAAAUUGAUGAUUGAUAUACUUGGAAGACCAGAAGAUAUGGGGUGGGUAUUUAUAUCAGAUAGGCAAAAGGUAAUUCUACUCAUUCAAUUUUUUUAAAAAAUGUUUUUUUCUUUCAUAUGCUACUCUUGGUUUUCUUAAUUAUGUGAAUGUUUAAUUUUUUUAGGGACUUGUUGAGACUUUCAAUGAAAUCAUGCCCAGAGCAGAACAUAGGUUCUGCAUUAGACACUUGUAUGCAAAUUUUAAACUAUUGUAUAAAGGAAAUGACUUGAACGAACUACUCUGGCUUGCUACAUCAGCAUAUACUAUGAAGGAAUUCAAGCAGCAUAUGAAUGCUUUGAAAAGUAUAAACCAAGCUGCCUAUGACUGGCUGAUGAAGAUUCCUCUAAACACAUGGGCUAGAUCUCACUUCUCAUGUAGGUCUAAGUGUGAUUUAUUAAGCAACAAUGUAUGUGAGUCUUUCAACCAAUUUAUUAAAGGAUCAAGGGACAAGCCUAUACUGACUAUGAUGGAAAUGAUCAGGAGGCAACUGAUGAAAAGAUUUCAAGAGAAAAGAGAGGCACUGACUACAUUUACGGGUGACAUUUGUCCUAGGAUUAUGGAGAAAAUUGAGGAGGCGAGACUCGGAGCGACUACAUGUGAUGUUACACUUGCUGGUGAAGAGAUCUUUGAGGUUGUAAUUGGAGUUAAAAAUGCCAUUGUUGACAUUGGGAAGAGAUCUUGUAGCUGCAGAAAAUAUGAUCUAAUUGGAAUACCAUGUGUUCAUGCAGUUGCAGUUCUUAUGCAUAUGAACGUUAAUAUUCUAGAAUAUGUUCAUCCCUGGUAUAGCAAACACGCAUAUGGACUGACAUAUCAGCACAUGAUCACACCUAUUCCUGAUGAAAACACGUGGGUUGAAGAUGAAUAUGAUCCUAUUUUGCCGCCCUUUAAGAGAACCAAACCUGGUAGGCCAAAAAAGUUAAGAAAGAAAGCACCAAAUGAGCUGAAAAGUGCUACUUCAAUUAGUAGACACUAUGAACGAGCAAAAUGUGGUAACUGUGGUGCAUAUGGACACAAUAAGAGAAGAUGCAAAGAACCUCCUAAACAGGUUAAGUCUUUUAAUACGCCUACUUUAUUUUGUCAUAGUAUGUUCUGAUCAUAUUUUAAUUUCAAACUAUUUGUCUUUUGCUUGGUUAGGAUGCUAACAAAGGGAAGAAAUCAGAUACUGCUAGCAAUAGGAAGGACAAGGAUAAGGGAAAAAUCAUAGAAAUUGGAGUUGAAACAAUUGACAUUCCUGUCACCUAUGCUAGAGGUAGAGGUGCAACUAGAGGAGUACAUAGAGAUAGAGGUGUUGGCAGAGGAAGGGGAAGAAUUUGUGGAGGAGGUAAUCCUCUUGGUCCUGAUGGAUUGUCAUUCAUUGGUGAGUCCCUUAUAAGUAGGAAAAGAGGAAGCUCAUAUGGUGUGGGAAGGAAUUAUUCAAGACCUGGAAACAAAAAAACCAACCAAUAUGCUUCUGCUUGUCUAAGUCAGCCAAGGACCCGACAACCAACCCAGAAUGUUGCAACUCAAGGGUCCCAACUAGGUGCAAAUCAGUCCAACUCUGCAGCUCCAAUGUACCCUCAACCGGUCCAACUAUUUCGACCCCCUCAUCCAGUUUCAAAUACUCAGGUAUUUGGUUACUUCAAUAUAUCAUGUUAAAGGCCAAUAUGGAAAUAAUAAUUAUUUGUUACAUUCACUUGAACUGUACAGGUCAUUAUAAGGCAAACAAGGUUUGGGAAAGCAAUGUUCAAGCAAACUCCAGUUUUUGGUGGCAAUUCAGGACAAAGAACUGUAGUUGGAGCAAGUUCUAGUCAAGUGUCCAGUAACAUUACACCUUCAGACAAAGGGCCAUUUCAAUCCAACUCAGAAUAUGCUGGUUUCUAAGCACCUCCAUCGACUGUUCUAAAGACUUUUUGUAGUUACAAUUUGGUGUCUUUUGUUUAGGACUUCAGUUUUGUGUGGGAACUUAUUAUCCUUAUGUAUGUUGUCUACUUUGCUAGCUUUACUGCUAAAACUAUGCUGGAUUAGUAUGCUUUUGAUUUAGUAUUUAGCUGUUGGAUUGCUUUAAAUAAUGAUUGAUUUGUUAUCCAAAACAAAUAUGCUAUAAAUAAAAUCAGCGUGAUUGCACCUCUCACAAUUCCCUAUUUUAGUACACCGUGAUCAUGUCAGAAGUGUUCAAAAAACAAGUUCCGAUGCUGCUGCCAUUAAUUCAUCAAGGUUUGAAGCUCCAAAAUUUUUUUCGUGUACUAGUUCAGAACAUUUGUCCUUGAUGCUUCUUCUUAGUUGUCACUGAAAAGAUAUAGAGCUUUUUGGGGUUGCAAAAGAUGGAAACGUGGGGAGUGCGUGCUGCCUAGUGGACCAUAUGAGUAGAGCAAACAACGAUUUUGGACGUCAAUGUUUAACCACCAUUUGUCAAGCUGGCCUAGUUUGGAGGAGAGGGCCCUUCCCAAGUCAUACAGCAAAAACGGGACAGGGAUAAUUCCUUUUCCAAUGCAUCUUUUGUCAUUCUCAAUAAUUCCUUCUAAAAUACUCCAGACUUCCAGCUUUGAUCAAUUAUAUGGACAUCAUCCCUUUUCAUAUUGGGUGAUGAUUUCUGUGAUCAUCUCCAAGCUUUCUUUUUUCCUUGAUCAAGCUUAAUUACUCCCUUUCUGAAGUUCAAGAAAUUGAAGCAUCUGGGGCAUAACAAUUGGGUUUCAGCUGAUUAGGGGAAUCUUUCAAGAAUCUAAGGCAAACCCUUUUGAUAUAUUGUUCUCAAAAUUUCUCUUAGUUGGAUAAGCUAUGAGAAUAGCUAUAGCUAUAGCUUUUUAAAGUAUAUACUAUUCUUUUGAUCUUGAAGAGGUAUGAGCUAUAGCUUUUUCAGUAUGUACUACUCUCAAGUUACUGGAGGUUUUUACAGUUAUAGAUUUUUUGUUUUUCCUUGAUUUGUUGUGGGAUUUGCAAUUAUAUGCUCAGAAAAGAACAUAGCUUUUGUUGCUGAAGUUUGAAACCCCAAAGGGUAUGAUUACAUUGCUUUUUUCAUGUACAAAAGGGGAUUUUUAUAGCUGAAGUUUGAAGCCUAAAAGAGAAUUUGUGGUGUUGUUUUGUCAUGUUGCCUGAUCAGUGUGGAUCUAGCUUGCUUCUGCAUCUACCAGAUGAUGUUCUAAUCAUAGUCACCAAGUCCCCCACUCCCAAGGAUUUAGGUAAUCUUGGCCUUUGCUGUCGAGGGCUGUGUGAAUUAGUGGCCUCUGAGAAGGUCUGGCUUGCACAGUGUGAUAAACUGGGGGUAGUUCCUUAUAAGGAUCUUAGUGAGUGGAGGAAAGGAGGCGAUUUGCCGGUUUAUUGUUGGUGUCUUUCCUCUGCUUGGAAUAUGGGUUCACCAAAAUCCUGAGCUUGGCAAUGUAGUUUAUGUCAUGCCUGGUUUUGUGUCGGUUGUUGGGUGCCGAAUUAUAGCUCAAGAAAUUGGACCUUUAGGGAUUGAAGAUGGCCCAAUUCUAUGGGCGCCCGCAUUUGAGAUUCUUUGUGAUUUUGAGGGCUCAGCUGAAUUUUUCUUGCAUGGAAGGGAGAGAGACCAUGAUUACGUCUAUCCUGGUUCACUCAAGGCAGUUGAUAGGGCUUGUAAUAUAAUAUACAUAAUAUAAUAUAUUAUACAUAAUAUAUAUUUAUACAUUAUUACAUAUUAUGUAUAUUAUAUAUUAUACAUAACAUUAUCAUACAUUAUUAUACACAAUAAUGUACAUAAUAAUGAAAGUACAUUAAUAAUGUAUAUAUUAUAAUGCAAUGUACAUAAUAUAUUAUGUAUUCAAUAUUUGUGCUUCUCCCUGUACCAACCCGUUGCCAUCCCUUGUUGUGCUCAUCCCCAUAUCUCAACUUUACCAGUCUUAUCCCCAUAUAUCAACUUUACCAGUUUUAUUCCCAUAUCUCAACUUCCCUAGUUGUGCUUAUUCCCAUACCUCAACUUUACCAGUCUUAUCCCCAUAUCUCAACUUCCGAUUUUUAUCAAUCGUGUCAAGUUCCCAUUGACUCUGCGCUUUCUUUCAGACCAAUUGAUAGACUUUUCUACGCACGUGGGUAGCUACCUAGCAUACGCAUCUAUGAAAUUUUCGCUAUUUAAGCCCGAAAUUUCGCACAAUUAAUCAUUAACAGAUACCUUCUUUAGCAGUCCCAAUUCGAUUUAUGUACGAGUCCUGCGUAUGAAUGGAGCUCCAAGAAGUCCUGCAUAUGAAUGGAGGCGAAGGCGAUACAAGCUACGCCAAGAACUCAUCCUACAAUGUCUGUCUGUCUCUCUAUCUCUCUCUUUAAAACACACACACACACACACAGAGUAGUAGUAAAUCAUGCUAUGAUACGUCGAUCUCUAACUUAGUAUGUCUUUUUUCCCCCUUUAACAUUUGUAUUUUGGAGUGGUAUGUGUUGCAGCUGUUUCUCAUCAGGGUGAAACCUAUCCUUGAACAAUGCAUACAAGAAUUGUUGCGGGCCAACUUGCCCAACAUCAACAAGUGCAUUAAAGUUGCGGAUUUGGGAUGCGCUUCUGGACCAAACACACUUUUAACAGUUCGGGACAUUGUACAAAGUAUUGACAAAGUUGGCCAGGAAAAGAAGAAUGAAUUAGAACGUCCCACCAUUCAGAUUUUUCUGAAUGAUCUUUUCCAAAAUGAUUUCAAUUCGGUUUUCAAGUCGCUGCCAAGCUUCUACCGCAAACUCGAGAAAGAAAAUGGACGCAAAAUAGGAUCAUGCCUGAUAGGCGCAAUGCCUGGCUCUUUCUACGGCAGACUCUUCCCCGAGGAGUCCAUGCAUUUUUUACACUCUUGUUACUGUUUGCAUUGGUUAUCUCAGGUCUUUGAGUUAAUCCCUUCUAUCUUUUUUACUUUUUCUUGUAGCAAAAAUAAGUUCACGAUUUUUAUUCAACACAUUAGUAACUAUGCAUGGAAAUUUCUUUAAUAAUUCUCAAGAUAUCCACAGGAAGCCAAGAAAGAGAUUUCUGAAGAAACUAAUAACAUAUUUUAUUUAAUUCGUGGCUCAUGAUUUAUAUUCCCACAUGCAACACUAACAAAAUGAUCCAACUAUAUAAGUUACCAGCUCUAGACGUGCAGGUUCCCAGCGGUUUGGUGACUGAAUUGGGGAUCAGUGCGAACAAAGGGUGCAUUUACUCUUCCAAAGCAAGUCGUCCGCCCGUCCAGAAGGCAUAUUUGGAUCAAUUUACGAAAGAUUUUACCACAUUUCUUAGGAUUCAUUCGGAAGAGUUGAUUUCACGUGGCCGAAUGCUCCUUACUUUCAUUUGCAAAGAAGAUGAAUUCGGCAACCCGAAUUCCAUGGACUUACUUGAGAUGUCAAUAAACGACUUGGUUAUUGAGGUUAUCAUUUCUCUGUCUAUUUGAUGAUCAGAUGCUCGAUCAUUGCUUGUUAUCUGAAAUAAACUAGAUAGCUAGCUAGCUUAUUCAGGGUUCCUACCUUAGCUGCAAAAUGGAUGCAAUUUUAUCCUCUGUAACCUUGAUAGAAUAAACUUUGUGUAGACCAAGUUCACCGUAAAUCAGAUGGUAGUAACCUUUAAUUGGAAGUUAGGUCACACAACUCCAAUACAGUUAAGAUAAUUCUUUCAAGUUAGAAAUAUAGGGGGAUUUAAUUUGUCAUCUAUCUUUUUUUCCCCCCCAUUUUGGUUAAAAAGGUAUUGGAAAAAAUAAUAAUAUGAACUAAAAGCACAAGUAAUAAUAAUAUAUUCAUAUUGAAAUUAAGGAAAAAAACUGUUCGUUUUUUUUUCCUAGAGUUGACGUUUUAGCAAAUUGGCUGAUUUCCAAGUCUUGUACGUCCAGUAAUUCGAAUUGACUUGCUGAUUGGCAUAUGUAUGUAUACAGGGGCAUCUGGAGGAAGAAAAAUUGGACAGUUUCAAUGUUCCAGUCUAUGCAGCUUCAGCAGAAGAAGUAAAGCGCAUAGUUGAGGAGGAAGGUUCUUUUGAAAUUUUAUACCUGGAGACUUUUAAGGCCCCUUAUGAUGCUGGCUUCUCUAUUGAUGAUGAUUACCAAGGAAGAUCCCAUUCCCCAGUAUCCUGCGAUGAACAUGCUAGAGCAGCGCAUGUGGCAUCUGUCGUUAGAUCAGUUUACGAACCCAUCCUCGCAGGUCAUUUUGGAGAAGCUAUUUUACCUGACUUAUCCCACAGGAUUGAGAAGAAUGCAGCAAAGGUUCUCCGCUCGGGCAAAGGCUUCUAUGAUAGUCUUAUCAUUUCUCUCGCCAAAAAGCCAGAGAAGUCAGACAUGUAAAAGUUUGCUUUAAGUUGGUUGUCGUGUUGUGGUUUGUUUUUAGAUAUGGGGAAAGGAUUUAACGCGGUUCGGGGUCUAUGGGGUAUUGUAUUUUUUAUAUUAUUUGGUGUAUAAUUAUAUUAUAUUAUUAUCUUAUAUUUGUAGUAAAAGUGGCGUAUAAGAAUAAAAUUUUUGACAUAUAUUUAGUACAAUAUUUGUAUAUAUAUAUUUGUACACAAAAUAUUUGAACACGCACAACAACCGGGUAGAACCGCACAAAAGACAACUGCACUAAAUAGUUGUCCGAUGGGAAGUCUGGGAAUGAUGAUUUUUUGUAUAAAUUACCUUUUACCCAUUGUAGCUUGGUGAUUUAUCACAUAACUUUGUGUAUAUUAAAAAACUAUAUAUAAUCCCUCAUGAUUUAGGUUCAUCUUAUCCCCAUAUAUUUAUGUUCAUCUUAAAUUGAUAAUUUUAUUGAAUAAUUUCAAUGAUUAUAAAUCUUUAUUUCAAUUGAAACUUAAUUGACAACUAGUUGAAAUGUCAAAAAAAAAUAUUAUUCAAUCAACUCAAUGACAUAUAGUUGUUUAUAUUAUAAUAGAAUAUUUAAUUAACUGUUUUAAUUUAUCAAAUAUAAAUAUUGGACAAUAGAUGAUGAAUAAAUUUUUAAGAGGACUUUUAUUAUGAUUUUAAAAUGUAUUACAUUUUUUCAUCCGGUUUUCUCAGUGGUGUCGGGACAUCCUUCGUUGUGCAUCCCCACAGAGCACAGUUGGCCUCCUUGCAUUGCUUCUGCCUACUAUUGGCAGAAAAGUGAACUUUCCACCGUAGACGUAACCAUCUCACCCCCAUACCUCAACUUCUGAUUUAUUGUCCAACAACAUCAAAUCAAACAUAUUAUAAUCUUUCAUAUUAUAAAUAGAGAUACCGAAUCGUAUCUCUCAUUCAACUCGCAACAUCAAUCAAGAAUUUCCUACUCAUUGGUGCAAAUCUAGUAAAAUUUUCAACUUUAAGCAUCAAUCUAUCAAUGGCUGCUAAUUCCAACUUUUGCUUCGUUCUAUCGUUGAUGAUGGCAUUAAUCUUUUUGAAGCAUUCAUGUAAGCGAGGCGGCUCGGCACCUUUUGCAAACUUCCCAACCAGCAAUUCCUUCCGUACCUCUUCAAUACCAUCAUUGCCCUUCCAUUCCAAAUUUGCCUACAGGGGCAUUGCCAAACUUGCCAAGCAACCAGCAGCCACCUCUGCCCACCAUGCCUGCAGUUCCUAAGGUGACCGUGCCACCAUUGCCUUCUGCUUCAUUGCCAACCUUUCCAAAUAUUCCCAGUAUCCCUAUCUCCAUUCCUUCAAUCCCUUUCUUCUCACCACCUCCAUCAAACUAGUAGUUUGACUUGAGAUUUCGAUAUUCCAGGAUGUGGCAUCCUUUUCUUCCUCAAAUUCAUCAUUGUGUUGUGAUACUAGAAUUAUGUUUCUUUCGUAAUGUUCGUGUUUCAAAUUUAUCACUUAAAAAUUCUCUGGAUUGUAAUUUCUGCAUUUAGUAUUCACUGAAAUGUACUUGUAUAUUUACAGUAUUGUUGUUGUAUUGGAGAUUGCUACUAUUUUAGCAAGUUAUGGUCUUAAAUCUGGACUUGUAAGCCCAUACAAACACAUGCAACGUUUGCAAUUUCAAUCCUGAGCGUUAAGAAAUGGCCGGGCAAAUACUUAGAAUGUAGAGAGCUUCAUUAGAUCCUCCAACUUCCUUUUUAUUGAUUUGUACCCUACUACGAUUUUGGAGAAAAAGAACUGUACAAAUUUUUGUUUCAAAUCACGUAAAGGAAUAUGAAAGAGGGAAAAGAAGAAAAUUACUCCCUAAUUAUGUUUUGGAGAAAUAGGAAACUAUGGCCAUAGAUUCAGAUUAAAAAUGGAAGACAUGGAUAGAAACACUAUUUCAAACAGACAAAAAAUUGUAGUUUAAAUUGGCUUGAGCAAUUUAGAAUUCAAUGUAGGAAACAAAUGGGGUAUAUGAUGGAAUGAAAUGUAGUAUAUGUACACAUUUUGUUUGAUUCCAAUUUGACUUUGAUCGAAGCAGAAUCAUCAAAUCAAGGAGUAAUUUUAAAAAAUUAAUUUCAGAUCUUCAUUCUUUUUUGUUCUAUUUCCCUUUUGUUCCUUUAGAAUUUUCUUCCAAUAUAUUUUGAGAUAACAGGGCAACAAUAAUCCUCCAUUCUAUAAAAUGCUAUUUUGCAGUAAUUAAUCAAUUCCUUAGGGCAAAGCUCUGGAUUAGUACAUACAGGAUUUAAAAAGAAUUCCUCUUAAAUUGGGAAAUUAAGCUCGAAUUCCUUUUAAAUUGGGAAAUUAAGCUCUUAUAGCUUAAGCUUUGUUCCAUAUUUACAAGAUCAAUGAUAGGGUGUUAAUUGUUGGUUAUUUUAUUAUUAAUUUCCCCUUUGUCCUUGUCAAAUAUUAUUUUAAUUAGCAAUAUUUACUUAUAUUUGGUAUUGGACUCAAUUUCAGGGAAUGGAACAGCAAAACACAAAAUAGAAGGGACUUUCUGAAGUAAAUUACUUCACACGUGGGAGUCCUUUACAAAGCUCCAUCAGCGUGGGCCACAAGAGGGGACCAAAGCUGAUUUCCUUUCCUUUCUGGGCUGAUGAAGAGGUGGCUGGUACGGGAAGUUCUAAUAGCAAAAGGAAACAAGAGACAAUUCGGCUAGGGCCCAUCUUUUGUACUUCAUUGGCUCAAGUCAGUAGGGGACCACUGGAGAGAGGAUGAGUCACUUCUUUUGGCUUUAAAAAAAAGAGAAAAAAAAACGUACAGAAGAAGGGGGACGGGUCUAGUUUUUUAGCUUUUAGCAUAGUUUUUAGUUUUCUUUCUUCUAGCUGACCUUUAACGCAUUCCAGGGAAGAAUAUCUUUUAUUUCUUGCUUUCUAGUAAAAAACGCAAUGCCUUUGCAAUCAAUUAAUUUGCGUAGAGAUUUACUUAUGCGGCGUGGCUAAGCCUUUCAUCUAGUCGAAUGCCAACUUGAAGGCGCGGUUCCAAAUAUAUGUGAGAUCGAAUUAAUUUUAUUUAUUUCUUUUAUUCAUUGGUAUUUGUACGUUUCCUGAUUUAAUUGCUUAUGCUUGUUAUGUUAUUUGAAUGUCAAUGACCCGAUAUUCGAAUUAACCUAAUGAUCUAAUGCCAAAUUAAUUGAUUGAAUCCGUAAUUGUUUAAUCGAUUAAUACCAGUGGCGACUAGCGUGAUUGGUUUCAUGUUAGGGAAACGUAUGAUCUAACUUAAACAAACCUUCGUAAUGUGUUUGUUGGUUAGGAUUGGAUUUUUCUAAUUAUUAAUGCAAUCGAGUAAUUAAAUCCUAUGGUCGUAACUAGGGUUAUUUCUUGGUUAGAGAAAUAGUUAACGGCCGUACCUUAACUAUCAAGAAAUUAAGAAAAGGCUGGUUGUUCAUCGCUUGUAUGACAACUAUAACCAAUCUAGUAAUGAGUAAUUGAAUUAUCUUUGCAUCGAUGAUCAGUUGAAUGAACUGUGUCUGAAACGUUGCACCUUUGGCUAGAGUCGUAUUGGUUCUUGAUUAAUUCUUGUUUAUUUCUAUUAAUUGUCUCAUUAGUUAGUUAAUUAGUAAUCUUAUAUUUUCCAAAAAUCCCCCAUGCACUGAACUCUAGAAGAGACGAAUUAUUCCCAGUCCCUGUGGAUUCGACCCUACUCACCGCUAUAUAUAAAAUUUGUAUUUUUCUUGAGUAGGUAAUUAUUAUUGCACAGGUUCGGCACUUGUCAAUCAAAAACAAUUUUGACUAUCUUUUAGGAUAUCUCUCACUCACAUUUCUAGGUUAGUUAUAUUACUAUUUUUCCUACAUAAACAUCAUGUUUUAGUUCUUUUUUGUUUCCUUAACAUUCAAUAACUAUUAGUUGAAUAAAAAAUUAAUACAACAUGUUCAAAAAAGCAUUAUACAAUAGAAAAUUAAAAAAUACAAUAGAAAAUUCAUAAAAAAAUCUCAUUUUUUAUGCAUUUUGAUUUUUUGAGUUUAUUAAAUUUUGCGUAUUACUUAGUUAAUAGUUAUUGGAUGUUAAGAAAACAAAAAAGAACUAAAACAUAAUGUUUAUGUAGGAUAAAUAGCAAUAAAAUAAAAAUGGGACAGAGAGUGACACAAGACGUGGAACAGAAGAUCUGUUGUGCUUAGGAAUGGCAAUAGGGCAGGGGUGGGGCGGUGGACACCUCCCCCAACCUCGCCCCGUUGCAUUUUAAUUCCCCCAGUCCCCCGCCCUGCCCCGCUUCCCCCGCGGGGGCACCCGUGGGGUUAAAAUACUUUUAUUAUAUAACUUAAUUAUAAUUAAAUUUGAGCAAAUAAUCAAGUACUAAAAUAUCAACGCAUCACCAAAUUAUUAUUCAUUGUAACUUUACAAUUGAAACUCAUAAAAAUAAUUAAACAAAGAUUAUUUGAAUACAAUCUAAUAUAAUAAAACAAAUAUAACUAAAAUAAUCAAGUUUUCACUUUUGAUAUAACUACAAUUACUAAAUUAUUAUUUUGUUUUUUUAGAAAAAGUGUUAUUGUGUUUUUAGAAAAAGUGUUUUAUAACUACAAUUACUAAAUUAUUAUUGUGUUUUUUUAGAAAGAGUGUUAUUGUAUUAAGUGUAGUUAGGAAUUUAAUAUAAAUAUAUUAAUAAAUUUAGUAUAAAUAAUUAAUAAUUUUUAUUAAUAGACAUGUAUAAUUAGUAGUAUAAUUGAUAUUGGGUCCUUUUGGAUUAGCUGUUUUUGAGACUGUUUUUCAAAAACAAUACUGUAGCAUUUCGUUUUUGAAAUACAAGUCCUUUUGGAUUAGUUAUUUUUGGAGUUAUUUUCAAAAACAAUAUGAAAAACUUUUACUGUAGAUUUUUUUGGAUUAUUUUUAGAGGUAUUUUUAAAACAUAUUUUUUGAGUAUUUUUAUAAUUUAAAAAUUUUUAUAUUUAUAUACAUUUAUAAAUAUUUAUAAAUAAAUAUAUUUAUAUAAAAAUGUAUAAAAAUAUUAUAAAUGUAUUAUAUUAUAUAUAAUAUAUAAUACAUAAUAUAAAUAUAUUUAUAUAUCUAUAAAUGUAUAUUAUUAUAAAUGAAUAUUAUAUAAAUGUAUAAAUUAUAAUUUAUAAUUUAUAAUUUUUAUAUAAAUAUACAUUUAUGCAUUUAUAAUACAUUUAUUAAUAUUUAUAAAAAAAUAUAUUUAUAUAUAUUAUAAAAAAAUAUAUAAAUGUAUUAUAUUAUAUAUAAUACAUAAUAUAAAUAUAUUUAUAAAUGUAUAAGUGUAUAUUAUUAUAAAUGUAUAAAUUAUAAAUGAAUACUAUAUAAAUGUAUAAAUUAAUAUAUUAUAAAUAUAUAUUAAUAUUAUGUAUAAAUGUAUUAAUAUAAUUAAUAUAAAUGUAUUAAUGUAUUAAUAUUAAGUAUAAAUGUAAAAUUAAUAUUAUGUAUAUUAAUAUAAAUGUAUAAAUGUAUAAAUGUAUUAUAUUAUAUAUAAUACAUAAUAUAAAUGUAUACUAUAAAUAUACAUAAAUAUAUAUACAAUGUAUAAAUGUACAUUUAUAUAAAUUUAUAAUAUAUAUAAUAUAUAUAAUAAAUUACAUAAUAUAUAAUUUAUAUAAUAUAUAAUAUUUAUAUUAAUCUAUCAAAAUAUAUUUUAAUUAAAAUAAAAUAUUUAUAAUACAAAUAAAUAAAUAUUUAAUAUAUAUAAUAUAAUUAAUAUUAAUUAAAAAUAUUAUAAUAUUAUAAAUAUGGUGUUUGUAUAAUAUUUAAAUUUGUAAUAUUUAUUGUAUAUUUCAUUAUAUAAAUAUUUAUUAAAUAUAUAAUAUAUAAAUAUAUAAUAUCAAAUUUUCAAUUUGUAUAAUAUACAUAAUAUUGUGUAUAUAUAUAAUAUAAUAUACAUAAUAUAAUAUAAUAUACAUAAUAUACAUUUAUACAUUAUUACAUAUUAUGUAUAUUAUAUAUUAUACAUAACAUUAUUAUACAUUAUUAUACACAAUAAUGUACAUAAUAAUGAAAGUACAUUAAUAAUGUAUAUAUUAUAAUGCAAUGUACAUAAUAUAUUAUGUAUUCAAUAUUUAUACAUUUAUGUAUACAAUAUUACAUAUUAUGUAUAUUAUAUUAUAUUGUGUAUAAUAUACAAUAUUAUGUAUAAUAUUAAUGUAUAUAAAUAUUUAUAUAAUAUAUAAAUAUAUAAUUUUUAAUUUGUAUAUUUCAAUUUAUAUUAAUAUAAUAUACAUAAUUGAAAUAUACAAAUUGAAAUAUACAUAUUAAAUAUAUAUAUUUGGAGUUGUUUUUGAUAUAAUGUUUGGAUAUGGUAUUUUUAGAAUUGUUUUUGAAAUACACAUUUACUGUAGUAUUUGGAAUGUGAAAAACAGUUUUUCAAAAAUAGAGACAAAAACAAAGAAUCCAAAUAGACUCAUAUCAUUAUAUAUAUAUAUAAUUAUGUACAUAUAUAUAUAUAUAUAUUUCAAACAGGUGGCGGGGCGGGGGGUGGGGCGGGAGAGUAUACCCCCGCCCCGUUUCUAAACGGGGGUAAAAAAUUCCCUCCGCCCCCGCCCCAAUGACCCCCCUCGGGACACAUGCUCGCGAGUGUACCAACCCGUUGCCAUCCCUAGUUGUGCUUCUCCCUGUACCAACCCGUUGCCAUCCCUUGUUGUGCUCAUCCCCAUAUCUCAACUUUACCAGUCUUAUCCCCAUAUAUCAACUUUACCAGUCUUAUUCCCAUAUCUCAACUUUCCUAGUUGUGCUUAUCCCCAUACCUCAACUUUACCAGUCUUAUCCUCGUAUCUCAACUUCUGAUUUUUAUCAUUCGUGUCAAGUUCCCAUUGACUCUGCGCUUUCUUUCAGACCAAUUGAUAGACUUUUCUACGCACGUGGGUAGCUAGCUAGCAUACGCAUCUAUGAAAUUUUCGCUAUUUAAGCCCGAAAUUUCGCACAAUUAAUCAUUAACAGAUACCUUCUUUAGCAGUCCCAAUUCGAUUUAUGUACGAGUCCUGCGUAUGAAUGGAGCUCCAAGAAGUCCUGCAUAUGAAUGGAGGCGAAGGCGAUACAAGCUACGCCAAGAACUCAUUCUACAAUGUCUGUCUGUCUCUCUAUCUCUCUCUUUAACACACACACACACACACACAGAGUAGUAGUAAAUCAUGCUAUGAUACGUCGAUCUCUAACUUAGUAUGUCUUUUUUCCCCCUUUAACAUUUGUAUUUUGGAGUGGUAUGUGUUGCAGCUGUUUCUCAUCAGGGUGAAACCUAUCCUUGAACAAUGCAUACAAGAAUUGUUGCGGGCCAACUUGCCCAACAUCAACAAGUGCAUUAAAGUUGCGGAUUUGGGAUGCGCUUCUGGACCAAACACACUUUUAACAGUUCGGGACAUUGUACAAAGUAUUGACAAAGUUGGCCAGGAAAAGAAGAAUGAAUUAGAACGUCCCACCAUUCAGAUUUUUCUGAAUGAUCUUUUCCAAAAUGAUUUCAAUUCGGUUUUCAAGUCGCUGCCAAGCUUCUACCGCAAACUUGAGAAAGAAAAUGGACGCAAAAUAGGAUCAUGCCUGAUAGGCGCAAUGCCUGGCUCUUUCUACGGCAGACUCUUCCCCGAGGAGUCCAUGCAUUUUUUACACUCUUGUUACUGUUUGCAUUGGUUAUCUCAGGUCUUUGAGUUAAUCCCUUCUAUCUUUUUUACUUUUUCUUGUAGCAAAAAUAAGUUCACGAUUUUUAUUCAACACAUUAGUAACUAUGCAUGGAAAUUUCUUUAAUAAUUCUCAAGAUAUCCACAGGAAUCCAAGAAAGAGAUUUCUGAAGAAACUAAUAACAUAUUUUAUUUAAUUCGUGGCUCAUGAUUUAUAUUCCCACAUGCAACACUAACAAAAUGAUCCAACUAUAUAAGUUACCAGCUCUAGACGUGCAGGUUCCCAGCGGUUUGGUGACUGAAUUGGGGAUCAGUGCGAACAAAGGGUGCAUUUACUCUUCCAAAGCAAGUCGUCCGCCCGUCCAGAAGGCAUAUUUGGAUCAAUUUACGAAAGAUUUUACCACAUUUCUUAGGAUUCAUUCGGAAGAGUUGAUUUCACGUGGCCGAAUGCUCCUUACUUUCAUUUGCAAAGAAGAUGAAUUCGGCAACCCGAAUUCCAUGGACUUACUUGAGAUGUCAAUAAACGACUUGGUUAUUGAGGUUAUCAUUUCUCUGUCUAUUUGAUGAUCAGAUGCUCGAUCAUUGCUUGUUAUCUGAAAUAAACUAGAUAGCUAGCUAGCUUAUUCAGGGUUCCUACCUUAGCUGCAAAAUGGAUGCAAUUUUAUCCUCUGUAACCUUGAUAGAAUAAACUUUGUGUAGACCAAGUUCACCGUAAAUCAGAUGGUAGUAACCUUUAAUUGGAAGUUAGGUCACACAACUCCAAUACAGUUAAGAUAAUUCUUUCAAGUUAGAAAUAUAGGGGGAUUUAAUUUGUCAUCUAUCUUUUUUUCCCCCCCAUUUUGGUUAAAAAGGUAUUGGAAAAAAUAAUAAUAUGAACUAAAAGCACAAGUAAUAAUAAUAUAUUCAUAUUGAAAGUAAGGAAAAAAACUGUUCGUUUUUUUUUUCCCUAGAGUUGACGUUUUAGCAAAUUGGCUGAUUUCCAAGUCUUGUACGUGCAGUAAUUCGAAUUGACUUGCUGAUUGGCAUAUGUAUACAGGGACAUCUGGAGGAAGAAAAAUUGGACAGUUUCAAUGUUCCAAUCUAUGCACCUUCAACAGAAGAAGUAAAGUGCAUAGUUGAGGAGGAAGGUUCUUUUGAAAUUUUAUACCUGGAGACUUUUAAGGUCCCUUAUGAUGCUGGCUUCUCUAUUGAUGAUGAUUACCAAGGAAGAUCCCAUUCCCCAGUAUCCUGCGAUGAACAUGCUAGAGCAGCGCAUGUGGCAUCUGUCGUUAGAUCAAUUUUCGAACCCAUCGUCGCAAGUCAUUUUGGAGAAGCUAUCAUGCCUGACUUAUCCCACAGGAUUGCGAAGAAUGCAGCAAAGGUUCUUCGCUCCGGCAAAGGCUUCUAUGAUAGUCUUAUCAUUUCUCUCGCCAAAAAGCCAGAGAAGUCAGACAUGUAAAAGUUUGUUUUUAGUUGGUUUUUGUGUUGUGGUUUGUUUUUAGAUAUGGGGAAAGGAUUUAAUGCGGUUCGGGGUCUAUCGGGUAUUGUACUUUUUUAUAUUUUUUGGUGUCUAAUUAUAUUAUAUUAUUAGUUUGUAUUUGUAAUAAAAGUGGCGUACAAGAUACAACUGCACUAAAUACUUGUCCGAUAUCAUGUGUAUGACUGUAUGGGAAGUCUGGGAAUUGGGUUUGUUUGGAUAGUAUAUUAUUUGAAAUAUUAUUGGAAUAAUUACUGUAGCACUUUUUAUGAUGUAAUGUAUGUGAGAUAGAAAUGUGGUUGGGAAUAUAAAAAGGUGGGUUGGAAAAUGUGUCUAUGAUUCAAGCGAAAUAUUAUUUGGGAUGAUUUUUUGUGUAAAUUACCUAUUACCCCUUGUAGCUUGGUGAUUUACCACAUAACUCUGUAUACUUUAAAAAACUAUAUAUAACCCCUCAUGAUUUAGGUAAAGUGUCACCAUUAGUUCUUCUGUUAAAACACGAAUGGUCAGUAGUAGAAGUCAAAAUCAAAUUAAUAAAUUGAUAAAUUCACCCUUGCACUACUUUUUUUUUUCUUUCUUUCACUCUUGUGAUAUCAAUUUAGAAACAUAUAUAGCUUUGUUAUUUAUUUAUUUUUCAUUGAAACCACGGGAAAACCAUGAGACAUAGAAAUUGAAAGAAAAGCAUUCAGUUUUUAAAGCUUUAAGUUGAGGAUUCCAACGUCGGUGGAGUUGAGAUGAUAUGGACUUGAAAAUUUAAGUACCAAAAUAAUUUUACCAUAGUAAAAAAUUGAAAUUCAAGAUGAUGUUGGAAAGUAUGUCUUUUUUUUUUUUGGGAAAAUGGCCAUUUUCAUCCCUAAAUUUUUUUUGUCCGUCAAUUUAGUCCCUAACUUUUAUUUUUAGCCAAUUUAAUACAUGAAUUUAAUUUUCGGAUUCAAUUAAGUCCUUCUACGGCGGCGCCGCCACCUAAAAGUAAUUUAGCUCCUAAUUUAACAAUAAACAAGGGCAUUUUGGGAACUUUGAAUUAUCUCCUCUCCACUACCAACCUCCACCACCAACCACCCGCCUCCUCCUUCAUGAUCGGCGAUUUUGGAUAUACCAGCAACACCAGUAAUCCACCGGCGGAGGGAUUACUAUGGCUCUGCAGCCUAAAAUUUGAAAGAUUGGAGAAGAAGCCAAUGUUUCCCAGCAAGAACAGAGCAAUAACAACCACGCAUGUCAAAAUUAUCCACGUCCACUGCUGCAUUUUUCUUUUACCUCUGUUCCUAAGUGGCGGAGGGAUAGAUUUUGUCUUGCUUUGCUUCACCACAACUGAUGGUUUUUGAGAUCUUUUGGUAACGGUAGGAAAACAGUACUUAACCUCAGAUUCCUUUAUUGUUCCAGGUACAAUUUCAGAUUUUGGAGUGUAUUCCCCAAUAUCGUUUCCAUCGGGAACUUCUGCUCCACCGGCCUUCUUUCUCUUCUUCUUCCUCAACCUCUUCUCCCUUUCCUAGACAAAUCAAACGGACGUCAUUGAUGGAAAGCCAAGUGAAGAAACGCACACUUACUCAGGCACAUGAAUUGGAAAUUCAAAAUUUCUUACCUUGUCUAUGAGCUCGGUUUCUUUCUGUGCUCGUAAUUCAGCCCUCAUUUGCGCUUUCUCUGCGAUCCUCUUUUUCCUUUCCAGUGCCUCCAGAGCUUUAGCUUUCUCCUCUAGUCGCCGUUGCUCCCUCAACUUGGCUGUUGCCUCUGCCUUCGUUAACUCUUCAGCCUUCCUUGAGAUGCUCUGAUUUUGUCUUAUUGUGUCAGUGAGUUUGGAAGAGGGAAUUCCUAUUUCUACUCUAAACAUGCAUGCCUAAGGUGGCUAGGCUUCUAUUUCAAACAUGGGAUUCCACUCUUGGAGACUUGAGGCUUUUGUGAUUUUUACCGCCAUGGAAGAACUUUGGUACUAUAGUUGUUAUGGUUGACAAUUUGCAGAAUGGGUGGGGCCCGCAUUUUUCAUUGUUUGGGCUUUUGAAUAAUUGGGUUGGUGAAAUUAUGGGAUCGAUGCAAAUUUCGCAGGUGGAAGGUUGGUUUUCUUGGGGUAGUUGAGGCGGUGGUUGUGGCUGUGGUAGUGGUGAGAGGGGCAGCUGCUAGGGUGGCAGUGGUGGUGGUGGUUCAUCUUCGUUGGUGGGGUCUUGAGAUUGCAGGGGCCUCGCUGGGGUUGCCAAAUUAUUGCCAAAGUGUGGAUUACUGGUGUUGCUGACAUUUCAAAAUCGCCGAUCGUAAAGGAGGAGGCGGGUGGUUGGUGGUGAAGGCUGGCAGUGGAGAGGAGAUAAUUCAAAAUUGCCAAAAUAUCAUUGUUUAAUAUUAAAUUAGGAGCUAAAUUACUUUUAGGUGGCGGCGCCGCCGUAGAAGGACUUAAUUGGAUCCGAAAAUUGAAUUCAUGUAUUAAAUUGGCUAAAAAUAAAAGUUAGGGACUAAAUUGACGGACAAAAAAAGUUUAAGGACGAAAAUGGCCAUUUUCCCUUUUUUUUUUAACGUGUGCAACAUGUUCAAAAUGUGGUACAUUUUGUUUGGUUAAUAAAUUUAACUAAAAAUAAUAACCAUUAUGUUGACAUAAACUAAAAAGAACAACAUAUAAAAACUUAACAAGUGGUAACAUAAAUAAGCAUUAUAUACACACACAUAUAUAUAUAAAUAAGCAUUAUACACACACACACACACACAAACACACACACACAUAUAUAUAUAUAUAUAUAUAUAUAUAUAUAUAUAUAUAUAUAUAUUACCCACCGAGCUUCUACAAAUACGCAAGGGUACCUCAAAUACUAGUAGUCUUGUCUCCGUAUCUCAACUAUACUAGCCUUAUGAUCUUAUCCCCCUAUAUUUAUGUUCAUCUUAAAUUGAUAAUUUUAUUGAAUAAUUUCAAUGAUUAUAAAAUCUUUAUUUCAAUUGAAACUUAAUUGACAACUAAUUGAAAUGCCAAAAAAAAAAAAUUAUUCAAUCAACUCAAUGACAUAUAGUUGUUUAUAUUAUAAUAGAAUAUUUAAUUAACUGUUUUAAUUUAUCAAAUAUAAAUAUUGGACAAUAGAUGAUGAAUAAAUUUUUAAGAGGACUUUUAUUAUGAUUUUAAAAUGUAUUACAUUUUUUCAUCCACGCACAACCGGCUUUCUCAGUGGUGUCGGGACAUCCUUCGUUGUGCAUCCCCACAGAGCACAGUUGGCCUCCUUGCAUUGCUUCUGCCUACUAUUGGCAGAAAAGUGAACUUUUCACCGUAGACGUAACCAUCUUAUCCCCAUACCUCAACUUCUGAUUUAUUGUCCGACAACAUCUAAUCAAACAUAUUAUAAACUUUCAAGUAUUCCCUAUAAAUAGAGAUACCGAAUCGUAUCUCUCAUUCAACUCGCAACAUCAAUCAAGAAUUUCCUACUCAUUGGUGCAAAUCUAGUAAAAUUUUCAACUUUAAGCAUCAAUCUAUCAAUGGCUGCUAAUUCCAACUUUUGCUUCGUUCUAUCGUUGAUGAUGGCAUUAAUCUUUUUGAAGCAUUCAUGUAAGCGAGGCGGAUCGGCACCUUUUGCAAACUUCCCAACCAGCAAUUCCUUCCGUACCUCUUCAAUACCAUCAUUGCCCUUCCAUUCCAAAUUUGCCUACAGGGGCAUUGCCAAACUUGCCAAGCAACCAGCAGCCACCUCUGCCCACCAUGCCUGCAGUUCCUAAGGUGACCGUGCCACCAUUGCCUUCUGCUUCAUUGCCAACCUUUCCAAAUAUUCCCAGUAUCCCUAUCUCCAUUCCUUCAAUCCCUUUCUUCUCACCACCUCCAUCAAACUAGUAGUUUGACUUGAGAUUUCGAUAUUCCAGGAUGUGGCAUCCUUUUCUUCCUCAAAUUCAUCAUUGUGUUGUGAUACUAGAAUUAUGUUUCUUUCGUAAUGUUCGUGUUUCAAAUUUAUCACUUAAAAAUUCUCUGGAUUGUAAUUUCUGCAUUUAGUAUUCACUGAAAUGUACUUGUAUAUUUACAGUAUUGUUGUUGUAUUGGAGAUUGCUACUAUUUUAGCAAGUUAUGGUCUUAAAUCUGGACUUGUAAGCCCAUACAAACACAUGCAACGUUUGCAAUUUCAAUCCUGAGCGUUAAGAAAUGGCCGGGCAAAUACUUAGAAUGUAGAGAGCUUCAUUAGAUCCUCCAACUUCCUUUUUAUUGAUUUGUACCCUACUACGAUUUUGGAGAAAAAGAACUGUACAAAUUUUUGUUUCAAAUCACGUAAAGGAAUAUGAAAGAGGGAAAAGAAGAAAAUUACUCCCUAAUUAUGUUUUGGAGAAAUAGGAAACUAUGGCCAUAGAUUCAGAUUAAAAAUGGAAGACAUGGAUAGAAACACUAUUUCAAACAGACAAAAAAUUGUAGUUUAAAUUGGCUUGAGCAAUUUAGAAUUCAAUGUAGGAAACAAAUGGGGUAUAUGAUGGAAUGAAAUGUAGUAUAUGUACACAUUUUGUUUGAUUCCAAUUUGACUUUGAUCGAAGCAGAAUCAUCAAAUCAAGGAGUAAUUUUAAAAAAUUAAUUUCAGAUCUUCAUUCUUUUUUGUUCUAUUUCCCUUUUGUUCCUUUAGAAUUUUCUUCCAAUAUAUUUUGAGAUAACAGGGCAACAAUAAUCCUCCAUUCUAUAAAAUGCUAUUUUGCAGUAAUUAAUCAAUUCCUUAGGGCAAAGCUCUGGAUUAGUACAUACAGGAUUUAAAAAGAAUUCCUCUUAAAUUGGGAAAUUAAGCUCGAAUUCCUUUUAAAUUGGGAAAUUAAGCUCUUAUAGCUUAAGCUUUGUUCCAUAUUUACAAGAUCAAUGAUAGGGUGUUAAUUGUUGGUUAUUUUAUUAUUAAUUUCCCCUUUGUCCUUGUCAAAUAUUAUUUUAAUUAGCAAUAUUUACUUAUAUUUGGUAUUGGACUCAAUUUCAGGGAAUGGAACAGCAAAACACAAAAUAGAAGGGACUUUCUGAAGUAAAUUACUUCACACGUGGGAGUCCUUUACAAAGCUCCAUCAGCGUGGGCCACAAGAGGGGACCAAAGCUGAUUUCCUUUCCUUUCUGGGCUGAUGAAGAGGUGGCUGGUACGGGAAGUUCUAAUAGCAAAAGGAAACAAGAGACAAUUCGGCUAGGGCCCAUCUUUUGUACUUCAUUGGCUCAAGUCAGUAGGGGACCACUGGAGAGAGGAUGAGUCACUUCUUUUGGCUUUAAAAAAAAGAGAAAAAAAAACGUACAGAAGAAGGGGGACGGGUCUAGUUUUUUAGCUUUUAGCAUAGUUUUUAGUUUUCUUUCUUCUAGCUGACCUUUAACGCAUUCCAGGGAAGAAUAUCUUUUAUUUCUUGCUUUCUAGUAAAAAACGCAAUGCCUUUGCAAUCAAUUAAUUUGCGUAGAGAUUUACUUAUGCGGCGUGGCUAAGCCUUUCAUCUAGUCGAAUGCCAACUUGAAGGCGCGGUUCCAAAUAUAUGUGAGAUCGAAUUAAUUUUAUUUAUUUCUUUUAUUCAUUGGUAUUUGUACGUUUCCUGAUUUAAUUGCUUAUGCUUGUUAUGUUAUUUGAAUGUCAAUGACCCGAUAUUCGAAUUAACCUAAUGAUCUAAUGCCAAAUUAAUUGAUUGAAUCCGUAAUUGUUUAAUCGAUUAAUACCAGUGGCGACUAGCGUGAUUGGUUUCAUGUUAGGGAAACGUAUGAUCUAACUUAAACAAACCUUCGUAAUGUGUUUGUUGGUUAGGAUUGGAUUUUUCUAAUUAUUAAUGCAAUCGAGUAAUUAAAUCCUAUGGUCGUAACUAGGGUUAUUUCUUGGUUAGAGAAAUAGUUAACGGCCGUACCUUAACUAUCAAAAAAUUAAGAAAAGGCUGGUUGUUCAUCGCUUGUAUGACAACUAUAACCAAUCUAGUAAUGAGUAAUUGAAUUAUCUUUGCAUCGAUGAUCAGUUGAAUGAACUGUGUCUGAAACGUUGCACCUUUGGCUAGAGUCGUAUUGGUUCUUGAUUAAUUCUUGUUUAUUUCUAUUAAUUGUCUCAUUAGUUAGUUAAUUAGUAAUCUUAUAUUUUCCAAAAAUCCCCCAUGCACUGAACUCUAGAAAAGACGAAUUAUCCCCAGUCCCUGUGGAUUCGACCCUACUCACCGCUAUAUAUAAAAUUUGUAUUUUUCUUGAGUAGGUAAUUAUUAUUGCACAUGUUCGGUACUUGUCAAUCAAAAACAAUUUUGACUAUCUUUUAGGAUAUCUCUCACUCACAUUUCUAGGUUAGUUUUUCCUUCUUUCUUUUUUUUUCUUUUGUGAGAAUGAUAUUUGUAAAGUAGGUCUAAAUUGUCAUCAUCCUAAAUGGACUUAUAACAUAAUAAGGAACAAAUUGAAAAGGAUAAAGGAUACUUUUACCCCAAUGAUGUAGUAUUAGUCCGUUUUCAAAAUGAAUAGUAUAUAUACGGUGAGUGUAUCGAAAAUUAACUCUUAAUUAUAUCCAGUAGUGAGUAGACAAUCAAAGAUUUUUUCACAUAAAUGUAAGCCUUUUUAUCUUUUCUUAAUUUUUCUAAAGUUACUGCAUUUGUAGCUCCAUUAUAUAUCACAAUUUUGCCAAAUCCUUUUCCGUUUAAAACUCAGAAAUCUAAACCUUUUCUUUUCAGAACUAGGAAAUCUCGACACCUAUGUAACUCCAUGCAAAGCACUAGAAUGUCAUUCGUAUUCAUCAAACUUCCUACAAAAAAAGUCUCUGUUACCAGCCUCCAAGAAGCCUUUCAGCAACUCAACUAGAGUUCGAGAAGAAUAAAGAAAUUUGUUAGAGAAAUCAGCAUGGCAGCAGCAGUAGUUUAUGGUUUGUUCGAUACAACAACUAGAGGCCCUUUCUACAACAGUGUUCUCGUGAGGGCACAAGAAGUAUACAUGCAAGCUACUCCUCUACCGGUUAAUUUCCUUUCACCCUGGGAGGAUGAAGAUCAUCCUGAGAACUUCAUUCCAGGCCCAGAGGACCAGCAUCAACCUCAAAACAAUCUAGAAUCUUGCGAGGAGGAGGAUCAUCCUGAAAAUAUUCCACCACCACAGGAGAGAAUUCAACACAGUGGCCACGGUAAUAUUCUUCAAGCACAUGAAUCUGAUGAUGAUGACGAUGAUGAUGAUUAUGAGUUUGAUGAUUUACAUGGACAACUGGUCCAACUUAAUAAUAGGGAGAUUGUCAGGCUUGGGGAUGCAUUUGCUGUAAUCUCUGAAGAUUUGGAAGUUUUGGGCCAACGAAGUAAUCUGUACCAAGAAAUAAUCUCAGAGCAUCUGCAAACUAGAAAGUACCAAAAACUUGCUAAGCAAGAUGAAGAUCAAGAUGAGGUGGAUGAACUAUGCGUAAUAUGCCAAGAUGGAUUUGAAAGCGAAGACAUGUUGGGAACUCUAGGAUGCCAACACGAGUUCCAUGCGGAUUGUAUCACCAGAUGGUUGCAAGUGAAGAAUGUCUGCCCAAUCUGCGAGUGCAUGGCAGUUCACCAUCAAGGAAACUAAGACGUUUUUGGCACAUCAUCCCAAACAAAGAAGCUUUAUUAUCCACUUUGUUCUGCCAAGGAAGAUGGCUUUUGAUCAUCUCUUGAUCACAACAAGUCUAUCUGUUUCUGAUGAAGUCUAGGUCUUGACGGCAUGGUUUCAUCACUACCUAAGUACAUAGUUACUGCAAUUGAAAUCAUUAUGAUCAAAAGCUUGUCAAGCUCCUGCAAAAACCAACUGUACAUAGAUGAUGAAUGUAUUUUUCUUCUCCAGUGGUAGGCUAGAGAUUUUAGUCUUCAAUCUGUAACCAAACCGAUAUUUUCAUGAUUUGAAUAAAAUCUCGUAUUUGUAAGAUUCUAAAUUGGAACAGUUUUCAUGAUUGUGGUUUUGCUGAAAAUUACUAUUUUAGCUUGUGAUGGCAAUCUUAGUUUUAGCAUGUUCUUAACCUAGACUUUUGGGACCUUUUAGAGUUGCAUUGAUCCUGUUAACGUAGACGGAAUCUCUUGGUGAUACAUCUACAAGUUCUUGAGACGGGCUACAUAACGCCUUACACCUGUUUCACUCAUUCAUUCUUCUGAAUUGGGUUCUCUCUGUGUGUACAAUUAUACUUCUAACAUUUACUGUAUGUGUUUCGUAAGUGUAGCUCACGAUUGUGUUCCAGAUAUAGAGAAAUUUUACCGUGAUGGUUGUAUUUGUUGGCUCGCCUGUUUCAUCGCAUUGUAUGAAACUAGAUAUGCACUCUCACGCCUAAGGGAUGCCUGGGCACACGUUUGGAAUGUUGUAUUAGCAGUUGCUCUGCUAUAUAUGCACAAGUGAAAGAGUGUUGCAGACAAUAAAAUCAAUCUGCCAGCAAAUUAAUAGAUUUUUCCCAAGAAAGAAGGAUUAGUAGGUAAUGGCAGCCUUUCAGUUGAAACUAAGAAUAGGAAAUAUUCAUGUUGUCCUAAAGAUGGAUCAUCCUCAGUAAGAACCACAUAAUACCUGACUUUGCUUACAAUCUUUCAUCUAACUCUUAAUCAAUCAUCUUUUUCCAUGUGGAUGAAGAGUAGUUAUAUACAGGUAUUUAAAAAAGAUGGCAAAUAAUUGCUCAAUUUCCAGAAUGCAUGAUCCAGAUAAGCUAAAGUCACACGCAUAACUUCCUGCUAGGAGCUUCAGUACAUCAUUCAGCAGUUACACCACCCUAUAUAUAUAUGCUACCAGUUUGAAUAUCUUUUAAGCAUGAUAAUCAGCUCAGACCCAGUCAGUAGUGUUGCUUAUUCCUCAAAGUAACUUCAAACACAUUAAUUGUUAACUAAAUCCUUUUUUUUAACAAUGUAACAACUGCAUGAAUAGUCUUGGCCCACUUUUCUUCAAACUAUAUUGUAAAUAUACUAGAAUGAACAAAAUGAGAUAAAGCUGAGCAUGCGUAUGAAUUCCUCUUAAUAUAAAACUUCAAUGAUACACUUUGUUGGUUUCAAUUGUAUGACAUAUCUUUAUGAGAAGUCCACGUUUUGCAUAAAUUAAUUGAUGAGGAAAUCACCGUCAGAAUUCAAGAAACUGUGAAACAGAACACCAAUUUCAAGUAGAGAGAUGAUUUCAGCCCUAAAACGGAAAAACCCAAAACCAUGUGGAAACACCUUUAUAGCUGGUCAUUAAUCCUGGACCAUCUGCAUUUUCAUUUUCCGAAAAUUCCUCUAAACAAAGAUAAGAUCCAAAGAUAUUUGUUUUUCUGAGCAGGAUUCCAUGUGGAAAAGGAUAUUAGAUACAAUGAUUUCAGUAAUUAUCAACGUACAAUUCUGUAUCAUACCACAAGUGUUUUUACAGUGUUUGCAAGAGAUGGGGCCAAAUGUAGCAUUUUUAUUGGGUGAACCAGAUUGCUAAUGUUUCAGAGUUUCAUCAGAUUUCAAUCAAGCCCUCAAAUGAUAAAGUCCUUACUUUUAAAUUGAUCUCAAUUCACAUCUCCAAAAGGGGUGAAACGAUACUAACAAUAGCACAAAGGGCAUAAAUUAAACUCGUUACUAACAUCAAAAGACUGGGCAAAAAAUUCUGAGUGUGCAAGUAGUAAAGCCUCAUCCUAAGACAAAACCAUUAAAAUGAAACUAAAAAAGAAGGGCUAAACUAGAAGGAUCUAGCAGUUUAAGGGCGAGCAUAUAAUCGAGUGAAAUUUUAAAAGCUUCAAGAGUAGUUUACCCCAGUGUUUAUUUCUUUGUCUAUCAUUCUUCUUUGCCUAUCAUUCCAAGUCUAACCCGAGUUAAACUGAAGAUUUUGUAACUCCAUAUUAGUUAUAAAUGCAGAAAUAGUUCAAGUAAAUUUUGCAAUGUGUGUGCAACUAUUAUUAAGAACAGCAGUAUGACUCGUUAUUGCUUGACAACCUAACUAUAAAUAUUUAUUACAGAGUUGCAUUAAUGCAGAAGUGUCCUUGGUAUAGAUUUGUCAUUUUGUUUCAAUUGAAAUUCAGAACCAUGUUAAGGUACUCCAUUCCAUCCCUCAAAGGCUGAAGUAUGAAUGAUCUAGAAAAGAAGAAAAGUAUGUAAUGUCUAUACUUACAAGGUGCAAGAGAUUCAUAUCUACUCUUAAUUGACAGAGCACCAUGAUCAAAAUUGAACAGCCUCUGUAGGUGAUGAGUGGCAUGAGUUUGUGAAUUUGCUACGGUGCAUUGGAUAGUAAUACUGAGGAACAUAUCCCUCUCCAUGCAGCUCCCGAAGAAGAUGUCUCAAUAGCCGAUAGAUCUCAGAUGACUGAGAAUGAUCUGUGUUUGCAGCAACAAACAUGUGGACGCUCUGAUUCACCUCAAGCCAGCUGUAACCAGGAACUUUCUGCACUCCUCUUUCCUUCAUCAUAUUUCUUACUUUGUUAACCCCUUCCCACUUUCCAGCAUCAGCUUGCACAUGUGAUAGGAGCAUAUAAUAUCCAGAAUUUUGCGGGUCCAAGUCAAAAAGAUGAUUUGAAGCCAAUUCAGCUAGUUCAACGUUGCCAUGGAGACGGCAGGCUCCGAGUAGCGUGCCCCAAAUGCCAGCAUCUGCAGUAAAUGGCAUGCUCCUAAUCACUUGAUGUGCUUCUUCAAGGCGACCAACUCGGCCAAACAAAUCUAUUAAGCAUGCAUAGCGUUCCAUUCGAGCUGUAAUUCCAAAUUCUUGGGUCAUGCAUUCAAAAAGUUGCUUGCCCAGUAUGGCCACAAGCAGAUAUUAUGGUGAGGAAAGUGACAUGGUCAAGCUGUAAUCCAUUUUCCCUCAUUUCAUUCAGUAGAGCCAAAGCAUCCUCAAGGUGUCCAUGGUUCCCAUAAGCAGCAAUUAUGCUAUUCCAAGAAACUUCGUUCUUGCACUCCAUCAAGUCAAAAGCAGUACGUGCUAAUUCCAAAUGUCCAGAUUUAGCAUACAUGUCUAUCAAAGCGCUCUCAGCAAAAAGAUCUGAGCUAAAUGCUCCUCGAAUCAUGAAUCCAUGUAUUACUUUGCCAUAAUGCAGUGCUUGUAAGUCUGCACAUGCACAAAGAGCUGCAGAUAUGCUAACAGAGUCAUAUUUGGCUCCUUCUAAACCCAUCUGAUAGAAAAGAUCAAUUGCUUUGUCCGGCUUUGCAUUCUGGCAACACCUAGUAAUCAUCGAGUUCCAAGAAACCGUGUCUUUUUUGGAAAUUCUGAAGAAAACUAGACGUGCUAGGUCCAACCUUCCACAUUUUGCAUACAUAUCUGAAAUUGAACUUCCUACAUAACACCUGUCUUCAAACCCAUUUCUGAGAACACUACCAUGCAACUCCCUACCCAAUUUCAGAGCAGCCAAACCCGCACAAGCUGGUAAGAGACUUGCUAGAGUUACUGCAUUGGGCCUCAUUUUCUUAUCCAGCACCCAUCUAAACAUUUCUAAGGCUUUAAAAUCCAUUCCGUUGAGCACAAACCCCGAAAUCAUAGCAGUGCAAAUGAUGAUAUCUAUAGCAGGGCAAGAGUUGAAGGUUUUAGAUGCCAUCUCCACAGCCCUGCACUUAAAGUAAAUAUCAAUAAGUGCAUUCUUCAAGAACACGUCCAUAUUGACAUUGUUUCUUAAUAUGUAACCAUGAAUUUCCUUGGCUUGAUUCAGGGACUGCAAGUCAGAAAACAAUGAAAGUAUACUUGUAAAUGUGGUUGAGUCUGGUCUAGCACCCACAGAUAACAUUUGGCAAAACAAAUCUAAAGCUUCAGGCAUACGCCCACUUUGGACGUAGCCCCCAAUCAUUGCAUUCCAAGUUACAAAAUCAGCCUGCGUUAUCAAAUCAAAUAACUUUCACGCAUCAGACAAGCAUUGGCAUUUUGCAUACAUAGCAAUCAAAGCGUUAGCAACCGAAGAUUCCAUCUCCAACCCACAUCUGACAACAUUACCAUGCACCUGAGCACCAAAAUAAACCAUCUGUUCCAAACCACAAACUGAAAGAAUACAAGCAUAACUAAUUGAAUUAGGUUUAGUUUCAGUCAUCCUCAUUUCUCUGUACAACCCAAUCACAUCAUCCACCAAGUUCCCAUCUUGCGCGUAAGCAUUAAGCAUUACAUUCCACAUAACACUAUCCUUUUCAGGCAUUUUAUCAAACAAACGUCGCGCUUCAUCUAUACAAUCAUUCUCCUCAUACAAUUUAAUCAAAGCACUACCCACAAACACAUCCAACUCAAAACCCAAAUCUCUAAUCGACCCAUGUAUUAAUCUACCUAAUCUCAAUGAUUGCAAACCACAACAAGCCUUGAUUACAUAAGGAAAAGUGUACUUAUCAGGAGAAGUACCAAAACCCAACAUCUUAUAGUAAAACAUUAAUGCAAAAUCAAACCAACCCACCAAAGUAAAUCUCCUAAUCAUCCAACUCCAAGGAGAGGCAUAGUACAACUCAAGUUGAAAAAAUAAGUUCUUGGCAUCAAAAAACUUCCCACAAAGUAUGUAAAUUCCCAAAACCCUUGUUCCCAAUAAACCCAAGCUAUUAAGUCCAUUGGCAGUGAUUUGGGCAUGGAUUUGCUGACCCUUUUGGAUAAUGGAAGGGUUAGAGUGGCCAGGACAAGAGGGAUUGCAGGAUUUUAAUACUUGUGCAAGUUUAGAAGCUAAAGCUUCUUCUGCUUUCAUUGUGUUUGUGUGAAUGCAAUGGCUUGUGGUGCAUAGUUUUUGGACAGUUUUUAAGGCCCUGAAUUUUUUCGUGAUUGAAAAUGGAAGUGUUCGAUACGUUUAAGGUCGAUUUUCACAUGGCUUUGGUACUCAUUUUCUUGGCCGGUUCGGAACAUAUUUGCAAGAAGUUUGAACUGGAUCAAAGCACGAGGGAAAAAAGAAGAUAUGCAAAGUGAAAGGGUGAAAAACAAAAAAACCUUCGUGUGGUAAACUUAAUAUACAAAAAAAUCCCCCAUGAUUUCAAAACGUACAACACGACACUCCAUACUUUGAACUAAAUUAUAAAGGUGACAGAAUCUGUUAAACCCAGAAAUAGACGAAAUGACCAAAAUACCCUUAUAUAAUUAAGCAAAAGACAUGUCAAAAAAAUCAUUUGUUUUAUUCUCUAGAUAGAGAGAAUUGAGGGUUAAGGAGUAGAAUAGGCAUAUCUGUUAAAAAUUAAGUAUAAAUUUUUUUUAGGUUCCAAUAAGUCAUUUCCGUUAAGUUUAACAGAUUCCGUUACCUUUACAAUUUAGUUCAAAAGCAUGAGGUGUCAUGUUGUACGUUUUGAAACCAUGGGGGUUUUUCUGUGUAUUAGAUUUAUCACAGGAAUAUUUUUGUUUUUCACCCAAAGUGAAAUUAAAUGUCAAAAAAUAAGUAAAUAUCCAGAAAACGUAAUACGUCUUCUUUUUUUCUUUAUUGUUUUAUAGCUAUAACGGGCUUUAUAUUCAUUUUUUCACUACUUUUUUUUAUUUUUUGUUAUUUUCUGCUAAUAUAAAAUUUCACAAAUACAAUAAAAAAUAGUAUCAUUUUUCUUCUGUUCAAAUUUCUCAAGGAAGUUGAAAAAUAGAAGGUUAUUAGUUGCAUUGUUGAUUAACUGAGAAGGGGGACUAAGAGCCUAGGAGACAUAGUUAGUAUAUUUUUGAAAUAAUAUGAUUAUGUUGACCUAAAGCUAUGGUAUUAAAGUAUGGAAAAAUCGUUCAAAAUAUCUCUCACAUUUAACCAAAUGAAUUUUUUACCAUUCAUUUUUAAAAUGUUCACUUUAUGUCCAUUACAAAUUUAUCUUGCCAAAAUUUAAUGCCAAUCUAAGUUUUUGACCACUUUCAGGAUGAAAUCACCACGUGAUCUACAUAUAGUCAUUUUUUCAAUGUACAAAAAGAUUAGAUCCCACUUUUUAGUGAUAAAAAUGGAUAUGGAUUGGGUUCGAUUCCUUUUUUUUUUUGAGAAAAAUGAAUAUAGUUUGAAUUAGAUUCUGCUUUUUUAGGGUAAAAAUGAAUGUGGAUCAGAUAAUUUAUUUAUAAUGAGGUUCAAACUUGCACUCGAAAGUUAUAACCAACUAUCUUGUUUGUUAGCAAAUAUACAAGUCACUUUUGUAGCAUGCGAGGUGUUAAAUCCCACGAGGAACACUAACCAACUACUAAGGCCGAAAAUUCCCUCUAUUAUUUAGACUAUCAAGAAUUUUUAACAAAAGUAAAGCAAUAACAUUACUAUAACAAUGCACUUGAAAGUAGUGAAAUUAGAGCAUCUCAAUUAAACACAAGCAUCCUAGGGUGUGGAAUCCACUAAAUGUACCAAACUAUCAAUGAAGUGGUUAAUUAUCACUAACUACUCUUGUCUUGCCAAAGAUACAUUUUCCUCAAGGAAUCAAGACUCACUUUUGCUGAUGAACUGCUUAUUCCCAACACUAGAGUUUCCCUAAUUUAAUUAGGGGUGUGCAUCGGAUUCGAAAUCGGUAAUUCGGAACUUUGAAUUUCGAAUUUUUUGAAAUUUUGGCAUCAGAGAAUUCGAUCGAAUUUGAUUUCGAAUUCACCAAUUCCGAAUUCAAAUUCAUACCGAAUUCAAUUCCAAAUUCAGUAAAUUCCGAUUUCACCCAAUUCGGGAAAUUUUAUAUAUUAUUAUAUAUAAAAUUUAUUAGAUAACAUAAAUUUUAUAAUAUUAUAUAAUAUUAUAUAAUUUUUAUAUUACAUAUAUAAAAUAUAUAUAUAACGAAUUUGAAAUUGAAAUCAGUAUUCAAUUUUCGAUUUUGAAUUGUGAAUUCGAAAUCGAAAAUUCUGAUUUGAAAAACUCCAUUAUUGAAUUCGAACCAAAUUCGAAAUAUAUGAAUUAGGAAAACCCGCAUUCAAUUCCGAUUUCUGAUUUACCGAUUUCAAAAAUUCCGAAUUCAAUUCAAAUUCGGUCGGUAAAUAGAAAUUUUUUGAUUUUGCAUACUCAUAAUUUUAAUUGUGAAAUCACAGGUGAAGGUUUCAUUAAGACGAAGAAAUGUGAAGAAAAUCCAUCCAAGUGUACCAUUACUUUCGUGUUCUUUGGGUUAUGCUUAUUCUAUUUCCAUCAUUGUUAACCACUCACAUAUAUUAAUAAUAACUAACAUGAAUUGUAAAUUAUGAUUAAGCAUUCAUAAAUGUUCAUGCACAAAGUAAGUGAAUUAGCAAAUACAAGAUAUGGCAAUUGGUAACCACAAUUAAUCCAUAAUCAAGGUACAAAUAGAUUUAUCUACCCUAAAACAAUAAUAUUUAGCUUAGCUAGACAUAGUAGAUAGAAUAGAAAAGCUUAAGGAUUUAAUGCAAUUGAUAGGUGUCGAGUCUGUGCAAUAAUAAAUAUAGGUGUUGAGUCUAUGUAAUAAUAAAUAUCAACUCAAAUAAAAUACAAAUUUUUUUAUAUAGCAGUGAGUAAGGUCAAAUCCACAGGAAUUGGGGAAAUUGUCUCUUUUUAGAGCCUAAAGUAAGGGAAAUUUUUAGACAAUUUAGAAAUAACUCACUAACCAAUUAAAGAAACAAUUAAUGAAAUAAAUAAGAAUUAAAUCAACGAUAAAUAUGACUCUAAUCAUAGGUACAACUUUUCAGAUACGAUUCACACAACUGAUCAUUGAUGCAAGGAUGAUUUAAUCACUCAUUAAUAGAUUGGUUAUAACCCAACAAGUUUUGACAGCCAACUUUUCCUUAGUUUAUCGAUAGUGAAGGUACAACCGUUAACUAUUUUCUUAACCAAGAAACAACUUUAGGUACGACUAUAGGAUUUAAUUUUCAAUUGCAUUAAAAAUUAGAAAAGCCUAAUCCUAAAUAACAAACAUAUUACGAAGGUUCAUUUAAAUUAGAUUAUAUGUUUCCUUAACAUAGAACCAAUCACGCUAGUCGCCACUUAGUAUUAAACAAUCAAACAAUUACGAAUUUAAUUGAUUAAUAUGACAGUAAAUUAUUAGAUUAAUUCAAAUAUAGGGUUCUUGACAUUCAAAUAACAAAAUAAUCAUAAGAAGUUGAAGCAGAAGACGUACGAAUACUAAUGAAUAAAAGAAAUAAAUAAAAAUGAUUCAAUCUCACAUAUAUUUGAAACCGUGUCUUCAAAUUGACCCUUGACUAGAAAAAGAGAUUAGUUGCUUUCCAUUGAAAAUAACUCAGCAAUUUUAUCGACGAAAGUUGCCUGACGUUUGACAACAGAAAGAGCAAAAGAAAAGAAAAGACGAAGAGAAAAACUCUUCGUUCUUCCUUGGUGCUGAGACUAAUCACCCUUUUCACUAAAAGCAACGAUGACUCUUUAAAGCCAACACAAACAAGAAGGCUUCCUUGUUCUCAUGUCUCUUACUUUCCUAAACUACUAAUACUUCCUAAUUUUCUCCAAAGAAAGGGAGAUUCCCUAAAUUGACGAAAGAAAAGCCAUUUGUUUCUUAAUACAAAAUGAAAGACCAAUUAUCUCAAAUAAGGAAACAUGCUUCUAAGAACUUCGACUCGAACUGGGAUACUGUCACGCGUGGCAAAAUUUCGAGCCUCCGAGACUUGACAGCAAGAUUUGAACGAGCCCACAAAGAACUGUUAAAAUUCUUCAUUAAAAAAAACCACUUUUUACUCCUUUUCUCGUCAUAUUCCUACAAUUAACACCAAUUACCAAAUAUGAGUGGAAUUUACCUAUUAAUACAAUAUAUAGCUAAAUCAAGGGGAAAAUAACCAUAAAUUUAAUAAUAAAAAUGCAACAUAUCAAUUUCCCCACACCUAAAUCAUGCUUGUUCUCAAGCAUGAGAAUAACAAAUCAAGUAAUCGAAUUCAAACAAUAGCUACCACUCAAAUCAUCUAUUGUCAAGGUACAAUUAAAACACGUGUCAAAUAUUAGUGGCUAAUCUCCAAGAAAUAUCUCUGUGGUUACCUUCUAAACAAAAUACUUUUCCAAUUUCUGACUAGCCAAUCCAAAGUUAUAAAAUAUUCAACUGGCAUUCGUCAGCAAACGGUUUGACUAUUAAGCCAAAUCUCAACAUUGAAAUCCAUGGAUCAGCAGGCUAACAAUUCAUUGACACACUUCCAUAUUUUUCACUAUUAGCACAUCUUUUUGCUUUUCUAAAAUAUCCCCAUACUUGAGUUUUUUUUUUUAAUUUUUUUAAGGGAAAAUGUUUAGUUUUUAACCAUUCAAACUUUUGACGCGAACUCCGAUAUCUAUCAAAUGAAGGAGUCUGGUUACUCAACUCUUAUCGCUUAAAAACCAUAUACUCAUACCUCUCGCUAUUUUUUGACGCGAAAGUUGACACUUUUGGUGAAAACCCCCAGUUAUUAGGUAACGAUAACUAAUAGAGUAUAACCAAAUAUUAUUUACAAAUAAGUACCAAAACAAAAUUAAAAACCAUACAAGUCCGCUACAUUUUUCAAACAUGGAGAACUAAGAUAUAGUUGAACCAAUUUAUAUAAAAAAUGCCAAAUAAAUAUUUACAAUGUUUAGAGAAGUUAACCAAAAAGUGCAAAAGCCAUAAAAUUUCAAAUAUUCACCAGAGAGACACCCUUAGACCUUUUCACAUCAUACUGAACAUAUUAGCAUAUAAAACCUUAACAAUAGCAAAAUUUACGAAUCUAACUAUCAUUGAUCAGGGAUAACCAAAAAAUUGCAGAAAAUUGACAAAAAAUUGGAUAAAAUUCAAAAUUUUCGAACAAAAACUUCAACAAAAAUGGCUACACACUUUUCCAAUAUACUAUCCCCCACACCUAAAUCUUACAUUAUCCCCAAUGUAAGAAAUAAAGAAUAAAAUAUGAAGCAAAAGAGAGAACAAAACUUCCCUGAACAUUGAGGAGAAUAUUGCACUACUAAGGAUGUGGAGCAAAAAUGAGGAUAAAAUCAAUAGAAUGAAAGUAGUCACCAAAUUCUUCAAUCAUUUUAGACGUGGAUAUGCCUAAAAUAUAAGGAGUCUUCUGGUCAAAAAUUUUCAACUUGCCAAUUCAGCGUGACUUAUAGACGUGGGCACGUCUUAUCGACUAGUAGUCUUUUGAAAUUUCUGAACAUAUCUUUAGAACCAAUCAGCUAAUUAGGUGCGGGCGCGGCUUGUCUGGUAGUAGUCUUUUGUCCACGAAAAAAACAAAAUAAGAGUUGGGAGAAUGUUGACCAUGGAAUGGAGGAGAUGUCACCACAUUUGGUAAUUGUUCACUGGAUUCGUUCACUUGAGCGAUUUGAGGUUGGGGUUUCAGUUCUUCCUUUUCAGCUUUUUUUUCAACUGCAUCUGUAGAUCUUUCUUCUUGAGAAUCUUGCAAGUCCUUAAUAUUUGUCAGGGUAAUUGCACUCUCAUCUUUCUUAAGAUCGAUAAUAGUCUAUGAGUGCAAUUCUUCACAAAUUGGAGAAAGUAAUUGCUCAUUAUAGAUGCAAACAGACGCAUUUGAUCCUCCAUCCUUCUAAUUCUCAUUUGUGUCUCUUGUUGAAAUUGAUAUGCGUUAGUAAUUAUUAAUUCCACCAUUUUUUCAAAAGACAUGCAUGACAUUGAUAUGGUUGUUGCUGUUGAUAUUGAUAUUGAGAACAUGUUGGCCUUGCUGCAUAAUUAAAGUUAAAGUUGUCCCACUAUUCUUGAUCACAUACGUUUGAAUAAGGGUCAUCCCAUAUUUGAUACAGGGUUGGAAAACUCCAAAAGUAUUAAUUGGGGCACUCAGGUCAUCUUGUCUUGAAAUAUGGGAUACAUGUCGGUUGAAUGACCCAAACAUAACAAAUUUCACAAAAUGCAACAGCUAAUUUUUCUACAUGAGAGGCAUCUAAAUGUUGAUCAUUAGAAAAAACACGAACCUCAUUACCCUUUUUAGGAAUAAAAUCCAAUCUAUCACCAAAAUAUUGAAUGGUAGCAACCAUAAACUAGAAAAAAAAGAGAAAAAUAAAAAUAAAAAUAAGAUUAACUCAAAAAAAAUAAAUUAAUCAAACGCCACUCUUCGGUAAUGGCGCCAAAACUUGAUAAGUGUCAAACCUGUGUAAUAAUAAAAACUUACUCAAAUAAAAUACAAAGUUUUGUAUAUAACGGUGAGUAGGGUCGAAUUCACAGGGAAUGAAAAAAUUUGUCUUUUUUUAGAGCCUAAAGCAAGGAGAAUUUUAGACAAUUUAGAAAUAACUCACUAACCAAUUAAAGAAACAAUUAAAAAAAUAAAUAAGAAUUAAAUCAAUAAUAAAUAUGACUCUAGUCAAAGGUACAAUUUUUUAGAUAUGAUCCACAUAACUAAUCAUUGAUGCAAGGAUGAUUCAAUCACUUAUUAAUAGAUUAGUUAUAACCAUCAAAAAAUUCUGACAGCCAACUUUUCCUUAGUUUAUCGAUAGUCAAGGUACGACCGUUAAUUAUUUUCCUAAUCAAGAAAUAACUCUAAGUACGACCAUAAGAUUUAAUUUCCUAAUUGUAUUAAGAAUUAGAAAAACUCAAUCCUAACUGACAAAAAUGCUACGAGGGUUCAUUUAAGUUAGAUCAUAUGUUUCCCUAAUAUGAGACCAAUCACGCUAGUAGCCAUUAGUAUUAAUCAAUCAAAUAAUAACAGAUUUAAUUGAUUAAUAUGGCAAUAGAUUAUUAGAUUAAUUCAAAUAUCGGACUUUUGACAUUCGAAUAACAAAAUAAUCAUAAGAAGUUAUAGCAGAAGACGUACAAACAUCAAUGAAUAAAAGAAUAAAUAAAAAUGAUUCAAUUUAACAGAUGUUUGGAACCGUGUCUUCAAAUUGACCCUUGACUAGAAAAAGGGAUUAAUUGCUUUCCAUUAAAAAUAACUCAAGCAAUUUCAUUGAUGAAAGUUGCCUGAGGUUCAACAACAGAAAGAGCAAAAGAAAAGAAAAGACGAAGAGAAAAACUCUUUGUUCUUCCUUGGUGCCGAGACUAAUCUAACUAAUCUUUAAAGCCAACACAAACAAGAAGACUUCCUUGUUCUCACGUCUCUUACUUUCCUAAACUACUAAUACUUCCUAAUUUUCUCCAAAGAAAAGAAGAUUCCCUAAAUUGAUAAAAGAUAACCUAUUUGUUUCUUAAUACAAAAUGAAAGACCAAUUAUCUCAGAUAAGGAAACAUGUUUCUAAGAACUUCGACUCGAACUAGGAUACUACCACGCGUAUUAAAAUCUCAAUCCUCCGAGACUUGACAGUAGGAUUUGAUCGCACCCGCAAAGAACUGUAAAAAUUUUCAUUAAACCAUUUUUUACUUCUUUUCUCGUCAUAGUCCUACAAUUAGUACCAAUUACCAAAUAUGAGUAGAAUUUAUCCAUUAAUACAAUAUUUGGCUAAAAUCAAGGGAGAAAUAAUCAUAAAUUUAAUAACAAAAUUGCAACCUAUCAGCAACCAAACAUAAAUCCAACAAUAAAGAAUGAAGGAGUGAAAAAAUUACUCAUUCAAUUGAAGAAACAAGAGUUUUCAAUUUCCAUUAUCUUCAUUGUCUUCAAAAUAUUGAGCACAUCAAGAGUUCUCCAAGAAUUCUCCAACAAAAUGAAAGACUAAGCUAACUAAAAAAGCUAGAAAAAAAUGUUCAAGAAGAAAACUAAGUCUUGACUCCUAUAUUUCUAGUUGUUUCUUGUUGCCAGAGAAUCAAGAAAAAGCAGUCUUUGAGCUCCCAAAAUGCUGCUGCAACAUCCCCUCAAAUGUCCCUAAAAAAGUGUGAAAAUGAUGUAAGUGGUAGGUGCUAGGACCGAAGCCGUGAUCGGUUCGCGAUCUAAUCGGUUGAACCGUCCAAUUCAACUCGGGUUUCAAAACACUACCUAUUAGUGCUCUACGCUACUAACACGUUUUCAUUUCAGCUUGACGUUAUGUGUCAUGUUUCACAUGGACAAAACAUGUUGUCCCUACAUUUUACAUAUAAUUCUUUGAAUUAUGCUUCCUCCGAAAUGUUUGUCUUCUUUUUUUUUUUCCGAAAACGUUAACUUUUCAUUGAUGAUAUUUAAGAACUAUACACUUAGUGAGCAAAAGACUCUCAAAGAGCUAUACAAGUGCAUUGAAGCACUGAGGGUUGAUCCACUCCUCAUCAAAAGGUAUGCUUAGAGCAUAGUUGCUUAUAUGACUAUUGUAUCACUAUUUUCAUUGGUAGACAGAAUAAAUGAGCAUUCCACAAACAUAGAGCUUAAACUACUAAUGUCUUCUAGAUGAGAAAACAAGCUCACACCCUUGGCCCUGUUGCUUUUGAUCAUCUUCAACAAGUGUUGCUGUGGAACUCGAACUUGGAUUUUAGCCCAUUGACAUUCACUAGCUUUGCAUAAGGCAAGUUUUAGUGCCAUCAAUUGGUCUUCAAGUGUGUUCCCUGAGCUAUACUCUUGCAUGGCCCAUUGAGCUACCACUUGUCUGUCAUAAUGUUCUGCCUAAUGUUUUAAAACUCGGACCGUCAAUUGAACUGGUGAAGUGAAAUGAUCGAUGUUCAACCGAUCGGACCGAUUCAACCUCGGUUCAAUGAAUUUUUAAAAAAAAUAAUUUAUAUAAAUAUAUAUAUAUGCACAAAAUAAGACAUGCAAUAGACUAAUUUAAAACUUUAUAUGAUGAAAAGUUUACUAUUUUUGAAUAACUUGAAUUUUCAAAAAUAAAUUUUUUUAAUUAUAAGUUAAAACAAAUAAAUUUCAUUUCAAUUUCAAUUAUAUCUACCAAAAUAAUCUUAAAUCUAACCCAAAAAUAUCACAAUAUUUUGAAAUUAUACAAAAUUCACAUCUAUGAGAAUUUGACAUUGUGAACUUAAAUUUUAAUUUACGUCUUUUGGAUUUAGAGAUUGCAAUUUAAAAAGAAAGUUUGGAAUUCGAAAGAAGUCAAGAGAAUCGAAAAUAGAAAUGCAAACUUGAUAAGAAACAAAAAAUAAGAUAAAAGUGAAUGGUUGUAGCAUUAAAUAAUUUGGGUUAAAAAAAUAAUUCUUUUUUAACUUUUUUUCAAUUUAAUGGACAAAAAUAAAAUUAAAAAGAUGGAAGAAAACAUCAAUAAAUUAAAACUAAAGAGGUUUGAUUAAAAAGGGAAUGACAAAAAAAAGAGGAGAGAGAGAGAGAGAGAGUUGAAGAUUAAAAAAAAAGAGUCAUGAGAGAAUGAGAUUUUGUAAGAAAAAUGAAAAAAAGAAAUAUGGAUAUUUGUCUUAUAUAUAUAAGUUAUUAAAAAAAAAGAUAUGAUGAUGCAAUGAUUAUUAUAUUAGUCUUCUGUUACAAAAAUCUUGAGUUCGAAUCUUGAUAGAAACAUUUUGCAAAACUUAAAAAAAAAAAAAGGAGAACCUUGAAAAUCGGUUCAAUCCGGUUCGAUCCGGUUCAGCAAUUUUCACGGUUUUGAUCGGGUUUGACCAAUUUUCUGACAAAGUCAAACUACCAUAGAACCGGACCGGUGCCAUGGCCGGUUCACGGUUCAACCGGUCAAACCGGCCGGUCCGGUCCGAUUUUCAAAACACUGGUUCUGCCACGAUGCCAAGUCCCAGCUUCUUGGUUCCCACUUGUUGUUUAAUCGCUAAAUUGAUAUAUAUUCUAUCAUGUCCACCCCCUUCCUCUUGCUGGUUCAUCUCUGCUCUUAUUGUUUCUGGUAUGCUCAUCUCUCUUUCCUUCUCUUUAGUUUUAUUGUAUUCCAUCCAUUCCUUGUGAGCUUUCUCUAUGGUCUUCAAUGGAUAUCUAUCCAUUGAAUUGAAGACCCUAUCAUUUCUAGCUUUCCACAGUUGCCACAAAAUAUUUACUAUGAGUGCUAUAUGAUCCAUCCCUGCUUACCUGUACCUUGCUUCAAUCAAAAUGCUCCACCAUCUACUGAAGUUUCCCGUAUAUUCCUCCAAUCCAUCCCAUUGAAGUGGUGACAGUCGCCACACUUCCUUAGUUAACCUACAAUGGAAGAAUAGGUGUUCCACUGUUUCUAUGUCUUCCCCACAUCUCUUGCAAAUCAGGUCUCCCAUUCUGGUUCUGGUAUAGAUUUUUUCAUUGACAGGUAAAGCCGAGUUCAUACAUUUCCAUAUAAACAGCUUCAACUUCCACAAAUGCUUCCACAGCUUUUCCUUCCCCCAGCUUGGCCCUUCUCCUAUUACCUCUCUUUGUUGUUGUUGUAAGCUUCUUUGUCUACUGAUCUCUUUAUAUGCAAAAGCAACAGUGUACUGUCCAUUUCCACUAUAUGGCCAAAAGAAACAAUCAUCUCUAUUUGCCAGGCUGAUUGGAAUCCUUAGCAUCUUCUUUGCUUCCUCUUCCUGGAACAGUUUAAAGAUAAGCGGCCUUUUCCUUUUGAAAUUGUGAAUCAGGUCUCCUACUUUUUGGACUACGCAUUUCUGAGGUUUCACUAUUAUCAAUUUCCCUUGUGGAUUCUCAGGUAUCCAUCUGUCCUCCCACACUCUUGUAUUUUUGCCAUUUCCAAUUUUCUUAAUAGUUCCCUUUUCCACCAUUUCCCUCACCCCUACUAGGCUCUGCCAGAUCCAUGAAGCAUUGUGUGGUACCUUGCAUCUGAAAAUGGACUGUCUGGGAUAGUACUUGGCUUUCAAGACUUUCGCCACCAGUGAGUCAUGAUCUGUCACUAAUUUCCACACUUGUUUCCCAAGCAUGGCUCUAUUAAAAUUUUGCAAGUCCCUGAACCCCAAUCCACCUAGUUCUUUCUCCUGUGUAAGCUUGUGCCAUGAGCACCAAUGUAUUUUCUUCUUCCCAUUCUUCUCUCCCCACCAAAAAUUUGACAUCAUUGAGCUCAGCUCCUUGCACAAUCUGACUGGUAGUUUGAAACAAGACAUAGCAUAUGCUGGAAGAGCCAUUGUCAUAGCUUUGAGUAGUACUUCCUUUCCAGCAUCACUGAGCAGCUUAUUUUGCCAUUGUUUCAUCCUCCUCCCACAGUUAUCUCUAAUGAAGCCAAAAAACUGUUGUUUGGUCCUUGUAAUCACCAUUGGUAAUCCCAAGUAUUUGCCUUGGGAUACAGCUUGGAUAUUCUCAAAAUGCUAGCAAACCUUCUUCUGAACUGCCUGUGACACAUUUUUGCUAAAAAACACUGAGGAUUUUCUAGAUUUAUCAUUUGUCCCGAACCCCACUCAUAUUUCCUGAGGAUCUCUUUCAAUUCAGCUGCUUCCUUAGGGUCUGCUUUGCUGAAAAUCAAAAAAUCAUCAACAAAGAACAAGUGUGUUACUGAUGGUCCUCUUCUACUUACUCGCAUUCCUAUUAUCCUUUUUUCCUCCUCUGCCUUCCGCAGUAAAUUGGUGAAUCCUUCUGAGCAGAGUAGAAAUAGAUAAGAGGAUCCCCUUGCCUAAUCCCUCUUUCAGGAGUUACAAAACCUUUUAGCUGCCCACUAACAUUGAAAGAAUAUGUUACUGUGGAGAUGCAGCUCAUAAUCCAGCUAAUCCACCUGUCAGAGAAUCCCAUCUUUUACAUGAUUUCCUGCAAAAACUUCCACUCCACCCUAUCAUAUGCCUUAGACAUGUCAAGUUUCAGAGCAAAAUACUCAUUCUUUCCUUGCCUUUUAUUUUUUAAGUGAUGCAGAAACUCAUGAGAGAUAAUGACAUUUUCAAGAAUUUGUCUACCUGGUACAAAGGCAGCCUGGUUCAUGCUAAUACAGACAUUUAAGACCCUUUCAAUCCUAUUAGCCAAGAUUUUGGAAAUGAUUUUGUAGAUGACUUUACAAAGACUAAUGUCCCUAUAAUGCUUCAAACUUGUUGGAUUGUCUGUUUUAGGAAUAAGGGUGAUCACUGUAUGGUUCACAGACUUUAGCAUAAACCCAGUGUGAAAAAAAGUUUGAAUGGCAUUGAUAAUGUCUUCUUUGAUAAUGAGCCAAAAAUGCUGGAAAAAAAGGGGACUCAUGCCAUCCAUACCUGGGGAUUUAUUUGGGUUCAUGGAAAAAACAGCAUCCCUAAUCUCUUUUUCCUCCACCUUUUUGGUCAAGCUAUCAUUCAUCUGCUGAGUAAUUGUGUGUGGUAUUCCAUUUAAAAUCUCCUCCAAAUCUUUGACCCCUGAGGAUCUAUGUUAUUAGGACCAAUUUUCUAAAACCCCAAGGAUUUGCAAAAAGUCUAAGAAAAAAAUAAGCAACUCUUCAGAUGAGCUUGCAACUACCAACUAUUUAAGACAUAUUUGACUAACCACGCAGUUCAUCAUUAGAUACAGCCAAUGUUAGAUUAUGAGAGUAGUAAAGCAAACAAAAAGGAGAUGCGGAUUGAAGCAGAUUACAAGAGAAUGACAGCUGUGAAAUAAAUCUAUCUAUCGUACAGAUACAUGAUAAGACCAAGAGACGGUCAAUCAAUACAAUAAUGUACCAUGAAUGAGUAAAAUCAACAGCACCCUGAAAUAAACUCAGUAUACUCUUUCAAGACAAAAUACAAAAGGUGAAACAGGCAAAAGAUGUUUUGAGCUGAAAUCUAGAAAAAAAAAAUAAAGAUUCUAUCCAACCUGUUCAGGAUUCUGCGAUGGCAGAGAUUUCCAACUGGUUCAGCAAGUAUUAAUUCCAUCCUUGCAAUCGUUUGUCAAGUUAUAGAACGUUUCAACCCUUGUCUUUGCCCUGUAAAGGACUUCAGUGUCCACCUCAACUCUCAUAUAUCCAUCAAACUCAACUAGGUGCCCGCCAUUCAAAAGCCUUGUGUCAUUGUACCAUUCACUCAUAUUUCCCCACAUUUCCUUGUAAUCAUCAAGCAAAUGAACCUUGUAAUGAGAUCUCAGCUUAUCAAAGUAAUUGUAAAAUGGUUCAUUAGUAGCAACAUACAAAUGCCUCCAAGGCAUAACUGCUGUUUGCAGAUUUUGAACAAGCGCCUCCGGAGAUGUGUCAGCAUCAAGAUGAGGCCAUAGUUCCUUAUUCUGUGCCUUCUCUCCUCGAACCCCAUGAACUGCAUCAUAGUCCCAGUCCAUGCUUCCACUAAUUGCCAUAACUAUAUUCAUUAGUCUAUUUGAUUUCAAAGUGCAUGCCAGGGCCUCUGGAUGUAUUUACUUGCUGGACCUUCACAGACCUGAUACCAGUAGUUUCCAGCUCAGGAGCAUCAAAUUGGCGCCAUAUAAUAGUGCUCUUAUCUUUUUUCAACUGCAUUGGUGUAACUUUAUAAUCUGCAACCUUUCUCACAGGGAUUUUCUUUUUAUGUGUUUUAUCCCAUCUCUUCCAAUCUUUAUGGAACUCCUCCUCAUCCACAACUGACGUGUCUCCUUCAAAUGCUCAAAAUCAAAGUAGAACCAAAAAUCUUUUCCCUCCUCAUCCCUAUGACUCUGAGUGUAAGAGGAGGACAAACAAAUACUCAAAUCCAUCACAAAUGUCCUAUUCAGAUACUGAGCCUCACCUAAAGAGCACAAAAAGCUCCAUAGGUAAUGAUUCAUUCCUUUACAAUAAUCCCCGCCACGUGAAUAAUACAGGUAUCUCCCAUUUCUAAAUGCCAAAUCUGAUCCUACCACCGGAAGCGUAUCAUUUAUUUCAUCAUCUCUAACAACAGGGGCAGUUUUGUUUCUCAGACCACUUCUAGUGGCAUUUGUUCGAAUCCUAGUACAGCGGGCAUUCAAACCUGAGUGCCAACGCCCUGCAUGGAUCACCUUAUAACUGCAAUCAUCCUUGAACCCAAUCAUAAACCUUCUGACAACCCUAUACUUUCUCCAAGAUUUCUCCUUCUUAUUUCUAAACCUCCACGCUACAUCACACUCAUUAGGCGCCGAACCGUUAACAGGAUGUUGAUAAUCUAAAAAUGCAAGGGACCUAAAGGCCCUCAAGUUGAACCUCUCUAUAGUUAUCAACACCUGUACCUUCACAACCAGAUUUCAAGCUCACAUUUUUAAGAUCCGCUUCAGUUCUCUCAAUCACAUCUUCAGUAAUAGAUACACUUGCCCCUGCAGGAGCUAAUCUUGGAGACUCAGCAAUAUCCUCACCAGUUUUAAGUACAGAAGUAUCAGUUUUAAAAGCGGCAUUUUCAACUUGUGUAAAAACCUUAGUGAGGGCUUUGGAGGACUCCCAUGGAUCAGGGGGCUGGUAUGUUAUUGCAAUUACGGUAACUAUGAGAACUGAGAAUACAAAAAUUGAAAAACACACAUUGCUUAUGAAUUUUAUUAGGUUUUGUCCAAUUGGGUCACUUACUGAAUUUAAUUCCUUCAUUGGAGCAAAACCCUUUUUCCAAAAUGAAUCAAAUUGAAGUCAUAAAUCAAAAAAGGCAGCAAAAUUCAACAAAAGACUAGAUCUUGACAGAAAAUAGAUAAAGGGUCUGCAAAAACAGAGGAAAGAGGCGACGGAGAAAUUAAACAAUUAGCUUAACUAACCUCUGAUCUGAGAAUGAUUCUUUACCGCAGACACUGAAUUAACAAGAAAAAAUGAAUCUUGACAAUUAUAGUGAGCAACAAGACGAAUAAUUUUGCAGAAUGCAGAAAGAGAGGAACUGAGGAAGGGAGGGAGAAAGGGCAAGGUUUUCUGUUAAUCUGAUAUUUCAAGCUCUUUUUUUUUUGGAGAUUUGAGUAACAUGAAGGAAAGGACUGGGAACUUGAAGUUGAGAUGAGCUUUGUGAUGGGUACUGAGAGAGGAGGAGAUGUGAAGGAAAACAGAGGAAGCUAGAUUGAGGUAUGAUUAGCACUAAUCAGGAACUAAACUUCCAGAGUUGGUGUGAAGAUGGGAUCUUGAAAAUUAAAUUAACGAUAACCUUCUCUGAUCUAACCCAGAGAAUACUUCAAAAAGCGUUUAUGGCAGUGGGACCUUUCCUUCAGUAAAGAGUAAGUAACUAGGAAAAGUGUAGAACUGUCAGACACGGGUGUCAAAACUAGUAGAGGGAGAGAUCUUAUACUAAAUACUAGAAACUUUUUCGGCUGUGCCAAUGCCCAAUGUGUUGGCCUAAAUAUGCAGGAGAGGUAUUUGGUUUUCCUAUAUAGAUGUAUGGAGAUGCAUAUCAUAAAUUUUAAACAUAAAAAAAUUAAACUACUCGUUUGGAACCUUAAAAAAUACUGAUCUGAUUAGAUGAUGAUUCAUUUAAGUUGAAUAGAACGUCUAACGAUGAAAUUGUUGUGCAGAGAAUAUAGUUGACAGCAUACAGAAUGUAAACCAUCCUCAUUGGACCAUUUACUCAUUGCAAUACUUGCACCAUUUUAUAUGUGCUAGCAUUUCUGGUUGUAGUUACCAGCUAAACUUCUAUUUUUGCAUGAGCACAAAAAAAAUUUGAUUCGUACAAUGGCUCAUUCACUCAACGCAUAACCCAUUAACAUGUUUGAACUGAUUAUAUCUUCCCAAUUUAGAGCAAAAACUAAAAUAUCUGUCCCCUGGAAAUCAUUUCACUCUAGCAAGUGAAGGACCUCAAGAGUAACAACAGCAACUUCUGAUUUCAACCACUCAAAGCAUGGGCACAGGCCCCAACAGAACCUAGCCGGAUAGUCCUUGAGAUAAACCUCUCUACCGUUUCCGAUAAUAUAGAAACUAAAAGAGCAAUUAUGAUGGGCCAUAGUCACACGAGUGACUGGGACAACAGAGAUGAUAUGUCUCUCACUAUAACCCUUGCAGUAUGAGGGACCGAAGCCCUUUCUGCAGUUACUUCAGAGGAAAACUUGUUGAGGAAGAAUGAAUCGGCAAAAAAGGCAGGAGUGCAUUGGUAGGCUUGGGUAUUGCACAACUGGAUGCCUUGCACUCUGUGGAAAACAUCGUCAGGAACUGUAGCAGCUCUACUUGUUGCACUCACUUUCCGAGUUGAAAGUGUCUUCCUGGACAGCCAAAAACACAGACAAAAUGCAUAAUCGGUACUUAAAACACUUAUGUUUUCCUUUAUUUCUCCAUCAUGGCACAACUAUGCGGCAGAUUGAAAUAGGCAAACAACAUAACUUGAAGGAAUGCCAUGCAAGAAACAACAAAACUGAAACAAUAAAUCUUGUGGACAAAGUGAUUUCACAUUUUCUGGUCGGGUUCACUAAAGCUCUUUUAGCUUUGGUAGGGAUCUCAACAUAGCAUCCAAACGCAUAAAUCACAAGCCAAAGUUGUUGUAGGCUUAAGUGGCCUAGUACGCAUGUCCACAGGGUAUACUUGGCCAUCCAUGACAAUUACUUCAAAGGAGGGUUUCAAGCCUAGCACAUUUAAGUUUGUCCAAUGAAGAUUCUGUGAAUACUUGACUUGCCAUUCUUGAAUGAUCUUGAAUGAACCAACAUACUUGCCAUUCUUGAAUGAACCAACAAACUGAAAAAGUAGUUAUAAAAUUAUUCAAAAGAAAUCAGAUGGCACUGCUUCAAUAUCUGGCCCUGAACUGACUGUCCAAUGGAUCAUGGACUAAAUGGCCCUUACCUGUGAGGAAUAUGCAUAGGGACCAACUUUUAAUGACAAACUGAACCCCAACUUUUACUUAGUUAUGUUCUUUUAGCAUUUUAACAAUUUUUCUCCCAAAAUGCUUCAGGCUAGAUUCAAAAUCAAUUUACCUGUCAUGAUAACAAGUUCAUUUAGUUAUGUUCUUUUAAACUAAAUCCAAAAUGUUCUUUUAGUUAUGUCCUAAAGUCUGUAAGAGAUAUGGCAUGCCAAAUAUAUUGUGCAAAACAACAUAGGCCAUACCAUCUCAUAACAGCCACUUUGCAAGUCAAAAGAGAACCACCACCCAUGCACGUCACACAUUUGAUAGGCCCACAAGAACCACAAGUUACUCAAGGCACCAUACACUUCCCAUUACAUUUUAAGCAUCUGCAUGGAGAUUUUUCGACAAGCUACCAGCUAAAUAGAAAAACUUAUAUCCGAUAACAAUAAUUGCAGAGAGAAAGCUGCUAACGAUCAAGAUGGGCCUAACAUAGCUAAACUGUGAAGUGUGUAACUUUCAGUUUAUGGUAUGAACUCUUCCUACAGAUACAACAAAGUCAGAGUAUGGAAUACAACUUUACAUUGUAUCAAACCCAUCUCUGAGCAAUUAGACCUCUCCCAUAGCACGCAGGACAAUGCAUCAUUUUAUUUUCUUAUUUAUCUCCCAAAGGCAGAGCAUUAUUCUUUUCAGAACUUUCCAUUGCAGGAACCUCUGAUAAGCCUAUGUAAUCAUGUUCCUCAAAAGGCAUAGACAUCAAAGUUAUUUUUAAGAAAUCUUAGCUCAGCCACAAAAAAGAUUCUGGAAAAGUAACGAAAAGAUGAAGAGUUGAAAGUAUACAUGGACCAAAUUGAACUUGAAAGGCAUAUAAAGGUUGAAAGAAUGAACAAAAUUUUUCAAAAAUCAAACUGAAAGAUCAAAAUUAAACUUCCAUCUGACAUCUAUCACCAGCAAAAAUAUAGCGAACGUCAACAUAGAAUGAGCAACAUGAGAUCAAGAUCAGAACCAAAAAAGGUCGAAAAGGAAAGAUAAAGUGCCCUAGAAAACACAAAAAAAAUUGGCCGUAGAAGAAAAAAAGGAUAUAGAGCAAAAUAGAAUUUUCCUGUGUAAUCUUUCUCUCCACGUUUUCUCUGCUAAUUAUCCCAAGUUUCAUAUAGACAUUUCAUCAAACGCUUGAUAGUCAUUAGUCUAUGAGAUUUCACAUACUUGACUUGUUUGAACAUCUGUAUUUGCUUGCAACCAAAACAAACACCACCAACCAAAAAAAAAACUCAAACAUCAAAACAUCAUUUAAUAAAAAAGAUGAGAAAAAGAAAUAACAAAAUGAAGAACAUCUAAUCAAAAACUUAAAAAAAUGAAACAAACCUUGUCAACAAAGAUAAAAUCCAAAAAGAGACUAUGAUCAAUAAUGUGUAUACAUUAGUUUCUUUAUUUAUCUACUAUUGUUAUUUGUUAUGUAAAGAAAUUAACAAAAAGUAAAGAAAAAAUCUGUCUUACCCAAGAAGGCACCAGAGAAAAAGCAGCGAAGAGCAAGGUGGGAUUUUUUGCUGCUCCUAUUUCCUUCCAAUAGUAAAAGCUCAGAUUGCAAGACAAAAUAAGGAGUGAUAAAUAUGUCUGUUCCCUUUCUGAUUCCAUAUUUCCCCAAAACGUAAAGACCUAAAUUGCUAAGAAGCCUAUCUGUCAUCAUAACUGGAAAAUCGAUCAAAUCUGCAAAAAUGUCUUUUUUGCAAUAAUCACAUGAUUGAGAGAUGAGAAGAAUAGUCCAAGAAACGGGAACAAUGAAAAGGAAAGGAGGAUUAUCAUCUUUUGUGGAACAAUCCCACAGUUCGGAUAUGGAUGGGCAGCCAUAAUUGACUCUUUGUGGGAGAAAAGAAAGCUGAAAGAAAAAUUAACGGGAAACAACGAGAGACAGAAAGGAAGAAGAAAACAAAAGAUGAUGGGCUAAAGUUGUAAAAUGAAGUAGAAAGGGAGUGUUUUGCUUUCCUGCCAUCGGUGCACUUCCAGAUUUUUAUUUGACUUUUUGACUCCUAUGACUUCUUGUCUUUGAAAACAGAGACAAAGAAGUGAAGAACAACAGAGAUGAUGGCAACUACGUCUGAGAAAAGAUGACAACUGAGAAAUAAAGCAAAAGGCUAUUCACGAGAAGUCAAAAAUAGCCCUCAAUAGUAAGUUACUGUUUUGGGACUAGUUAUUGUUAUCUGGGCAAGAUAGUAAUUUCAUGUGAAAAGACAAAAAUAACCUCAACAGUGAUACACUGUUCGGAGAACUAAUCAAGAUUCUCAAGGCAUAAACGGAAGAAAAUUUUUAUCCCUUCCCUCAGCCUACCACGUGGCUAAACCUGGGAGUAGAAGUCUUAGCUUUUUAUAUAUAUGUAAGACAAGAGAUAGUUAUACAGUAUGUUAAGAGUGGUCUUUACCACAAAAAUGUCAUUAGACUGACAAAACCGCUUGGAAAAACAGGAACUUGUCAAAUUAAUUUCGUACAACAUCAGGAGAAAAUAAAGAACGAAAAAACGGGGUAGAAAAAAUGGGCAAUUGGCUCACGUGCGGAGAUAUAAGGGCAAAUUUCUCACGUGGCAGCAAUUUAAAUGGAUAUAUUUAUCCACUUGGAUAAGGUUAAUUGAAACAUGGAUAAUUACUCAUAUAUCUUCGACCCAAUGAAUAAUAACCCAUUUGGUACUAAAGCAUGAACUGGUUAUUGCAAUUCGAUAGAAGAAAGCAAAAUUUUAUGGCAAAUGCCUCGAGACAUGUGCAAUUUGCUGGCUCCCAUUCUUCGAUGAAUGACUAUGCUUGCAAUUAAGGCUCUCGGUGGUGAUGUUUUAUCAUUUAUUGCAUAAUUACAUUCUAUAUAAGCCAUGAGUAUUGGUGGACACACAUUGAGUUUAGCAGUAAUUAUUUAGUGUCAAAGUGGGCAGCAUGUUAUCAACUAAAGUUGGCCAUUUGGUAUAUGUUAAGUGAUCAAGUCCGGCAACGUUUUAUUUGUUCUCUUAAGAAGUGUAAGCACUUGAUUUGGUAAUCAACAUUCUAGGAUGGCUUUAUCAUUCAAAUUUUGAUGUAAAACAAGUAAAAUUAGAUACCCAAAAAUCAAAUAGACAAAUCGUACUUGUACUUGUCAUUAGAAGUAUAACUAGUGGGCCGAAUUUGAUACUAUGUAAUGGCCAAAAUCAAAAUGGAGUUAGUCAAACAAUUUGAAUUUUAUAUUUGUUUACCCUAAUUGUUUGAAUUUUGGAUCAAUAUGGUUGACAGGCUAAUUAAAAUAGGGUAACUCAAAAUAGGGUUAUCAAUCUUGGAUUGAGUCAUUUCCGGAUUAACAAUCCAACUUAUCUAGUGCUUGGUUGGGAAUUAGGUAAAAUAGGAUUGCUAUUAUAAUGACCAAAGUCCCCCGUAUUUUGCAGUUUCUUCCUAAUAAGGUUAAUUUUCCAUUGUUAAUAUUUAUAACCUUUAUUAAAAUUAUAAAUCAAAUCACGGAUUUUAAUAUAUACAAGCUGGUAAUCAAGGAUCAUUUCUCUCCCUUCUUUCAACACCGCGCAUGCUAAAAGCGUACUGCACGACCCUACCGCUAAUACAAAUAAUGUGCGCGGACUAGCCAAUCACCUUGGUCCGUGCACAUUGUUUGUAUUAGCGGUAGGGUCGUGCGGUACGUUUUUAGCAUGUGCGGUGUUAAAAGAAGGUCCUCGCACAUUGUUUGUAUUAGCGGUAGGGCCGUGCAGUACGCUUUUAGCAUGCGUGAUGUUGAAAAAAGGAAGGCUGGUCCAUGCACAUUGUUUGUAUUAGCGGUAGGGUCGUGCAGUAUGUUUUUAGCAUGCGUGGUGUUGAAAGAAGGGAGAGAAAUGACAGGACGGCACCAUGUGGUCUGCACACAUUGAUUGUAUUAGUUAGUACAAUUAUCUCAAAUAAUAUUUCGCUUGCAUCAUAAACACAUUUUUCAACCCACCUUUUUAUAUUUCUAAUUACCUUUAUAUCUCACAUACAUCACAUCACAAAAAGUGCUACAGUAAUUAUUCCAAAUAAUAUUUCAAAUAAUACUCUAUCCAAACAACCUAUUUCUUGGCUUCACCAAACCCACAUACUCAGUAUUUUUUUUUUCCUUGGUUUGCUAUUAGACUGCACCAAAUUACGAUAUUAGUCUAAUUUUUUUUGGUCAACUAAACCCCUAUCCAAUCAUACUUUUAUUUAAAGUAAAAUGACAUUUUUCCUCCUUGCGGAUCAUUCAUAUUUUUUUCCCUUGGUUUGCUAUUAGACUACCUCAAAUAAAUAAAUAUUUCUUAUUUUAACGAAUGUGUCACAGGCUUUAUGAUUGUAUUGCAAUUGAUAUAAAUUUUUCCUCAACCUCAUUUGUUUACGCUCAAUUGCUCUACAAAUCUCCCACUUUAAUGUCAAACUUGUCCUAAUACUUUGGAUGUCCCCUUCUGUUUGCUAGUGCACCAAACCGAUUUUAUGACUCUAUACAUGUACAACAUUAAUCUAAACUAGCAUUAUUUUGCCUGUGCCUUGGCAUGGUUUAUUUUUUUAAAAUUUAUUAUGAAUUCGUGCAAGCAUGAAUAAUUUAAAUAAAAAAUUAAUGAUGAUCUUACAAGCUCAUUCAUAUUAAUUUUAUAAAAUUAAUGUAAUAAUUAUACUUAACUGUCAUACUAAUUUUUAAAAACUUCGUUAGAUACUUUUAUUAUAAUAUAAUAAUAUUCAUCAAAUAUUAUAACACAUAUAAAAAAAUCAAUAGAUAUUCUACCAUUUUGUGUAUGGAUAUUUUUUUAGAUGAUAACAAUUUUUAUAAUAACCAUAGACAUAGUUACAUAUUCCUACUUAAUUAAGUACAAAAAAAUUUAGCAAUUUAUUUAUGCAUCAACAAAUAUUCAAUUUCCAGCAAUAUUGAUAAAUCUAUCAGUUAAUAGUUAAAGUUUUUAAACACUAAGUUAGUCCAUAUGGAUAAAAAAAAAAUUAUACAAAUUUAUCGUAUUGUUAGAAGAGAGAAGAACCAUAAGAAUAAAUAAUUCAAAUUUAUGUAAAAACUAUAAGAAAAACUAAUUAUAAAACAAUCGGAUACAAAAAUAGGUAAAACUCAAGUAUCCAAAUAACUAGUUAAUUCCCCAUCAAUUUCCACUCAUUUUCAAUUGCCACCUUUCAAAGUCUUCUUUCGAGAAUCUUCUAUUAUCGCAACUACAUUUAAGUUAAACUUGUGAUCAUAUCAUAGGCAAAUAAUUCAAUUGUAAAAAUUGAAAUCUACAAGAACAUGCCCAUUUCCCCCUUCCUAAAACAUCCAAAUUCAGUCAAAGUUUAUAAUUAUAUUGUGAACUAAAGGUCGAUUUCACUUCUAACUCCAGUUGAUUGUAUAUUGUACUCUCAAGAAAAGGGAAUAAUAAUAAAGAAACUCCUCAAACUUUCACCACUUAAAUUUUGUAUAUUUUUCAUAAACAAGACAUUUUGACACUUAAAAUGUCUGAAGUUUUUAAGUGCUAGAAAACUUGUGGCACUCCGAGUGACUAUAUUGGCAAUUUCACAAGCGUAAAUGCUAAGAAAGCACUCAAUCACUUAUCACUACAUGCCAAACCUGAUUACUAAGGGGGUGCUUGGUUUGAGGGUAUGGGAUUCAAGAUUUGGAAUGAUGUCCAUUUUAAAUGCUUGGAUAAUAGGUGUGAGAUUGUAGAUUUUGGAAUGAGUUCUAAAAAGUUAGCAACUCUCCGUUCCUGAGUGAUUUGGUGGAUUUUAUUAAUUCCUAUAUUUGAUUCCAAGAUAAUUUUUAUAAAACAUUUCUUUUAUCCACUCACCCCUUCACCUUCAUCCCGUCAUCCUCCUUCUAGUCUUCCCCAUCACCUCCCACCACUUGUCUCCUCCUCCAUGGCAUCUAAAAAUUUUUCUUGUUGCCAUCACUCAACAUCUCAAAAACUUCCCUCUCACUAGUGUCACUCCUUUCUCUCCCUCAUAAUCCAAACGCUAGACCUCCGAAAUUUCAUCCAUCACAACAAGUUCCUGCACAACCUCACCUCUGAGUUUGAAUCAGUACCAAAAUUUACAGCCGCAAUCUCAAAGGAAUUCAGCUGCAACUUGAGAAGGAAACCACGUCAACUUGAGUCUGGUGUCACUGUGACAGCCCCACCUUCCCCUAAGGCGAACCAAAAGGGUUAGCGGAUUGCCUGCCCAACUCUCGCCAGGACUAACGGUACAGUUUAGAGUGAUCUAUUGCGUUCCGAAACUUACAGACGUGCGUAAACAAGUCAAAAUGUCAAAAUAAAAAAAAAUGAAAUCCGGAGUCGGCCAUGAAUAGUAACCGACCCGUCAGAACCCAACCAAAUAUCAAGCAAACAUUCACAUCUUGAAACUUAGCAUUUACAAGCCAAAGUGGCAUACAAAGUAUUCAAAAGUGGAUACAUGUCUGGUUUGCCAAAUCAAAAGAGAAACGGUCCCAAAAGUACAUUUAGGGUUUCAAUAAAUGAGCUAUACAAAAGAUAUGUCCAACUAGCUCAAUUCGGCAACCAAAUAUCAAUCAAUUGCAGUCCAAAAGCAUUUAUUUUCCUGUAAGGAAAAUAAAAGGAAUAGGGUGAGCUAAUUGCCCAGUGAGAUAAUAUUACUCAAGCAACCAAGUUCAUAUAAGCAUCAAGCUUUUCAUUUCAAUACAUCGAAAGUAAAUAAAGGCACACAUUAAUGGUGGUGAUAAAAGGAUACGGGCGGCUCUCAAAAGCCCUUUUCCUCGUUUGCAUUCUUGAUCGAAACUCAUUGACCCUCCGUCAAUGUUUAAGAGUAACCAACUGUAGACUCCACUUUACUUCCAUUCCUUCCACCCAACAUACCCUUACCGGGCCUGAACUCCAAACACUUGCACUGUGGUAUUACUCGAGUAUACCGGAAUUGAGAGUCUCUCAUACUACAAGAUUCCAUAUAACAUUUCCCCAAGGAUCAUUAAUUGGCACGACCAAUCCCUCGCCGGCUUGAUUCAAUCAACUACCAAUGGGGUUGAGCUCAAUGAUAACAAUUGUAGUCGUUGGAUACUCGUCCAAUCGACACCAAGUCAAGUACUUUCAUUUCAUGUAACAUUUCAUGUAACAUUCCAAUAACAUGAUAAACAAUAAGUGAGAGUGAUAAAGUACGCUCUCACUUCAAUCAAUUAACAGUCAACGCGUCAAGUUCAAGUAUCAAAGCCAUAUAGUAACAGACAAGUGAGUAGUACACUCACCAAGCUUGCAAAUGGUGUUUCAUGCACUUCCGUCAAAAGAACGUCGUGAACCACCGUCACGCCCUAAAACAUGCAAACAAGUACAAUGAAACUCGAUAACGAGUCAUAAACCAAUGCCAAAUAUUCCCAAAAUAGGGUUCCAUAAGCAUAUACAAGCAUUAGGGGAAACCAGAAAAUCCGGAAAUGAAACUAGAUUUAACCCUGAAAAAAAUAGUUUUCGACCUCAUUUUGCGGUAAUGGCACCAAAGGCACUACGAUUAUCGGAUGAAGGUGCAAGACUCACCGUUUCGAAACUAAGAGAUAGGGUUACAAUAUUACAGAAGGUCACUCAACCCAGUUUCGAGUGUAACUAGGUAAAAAAUGCAAGAUACUACACCAGAACCGGAAAAACAGAUUCACAAAACACAUUCUGGUGUAAACAUCAUAAAUCAGCCUACCUAAGUCCAAAUCCAGAAAUUCCAAAGCCAUCCGAAAGCUUAGAAACAGGGCUACAUUUCAUCAGAAGACCUCAACAACCAAUUCGGAAGCAUUGCUAACCAAAACAACCCAUGAUAGAAGCAAUUCUCAAAUUUGGGUAAAACCAGGACAGAAAGGGUAAUUUCGACUUUUCUCAAGUUACGCUACUCCGAUUGACUUGAAAUUUUGCAGGCACCUCUAAAAUAUCAUUCCCUACAACUUUUAUGUUUUAAGCCAAGGCCAAUUCGGCCUCUAACUAUGAGCUACAAAACCGGGCAGAAUGUAAUUUCAUAAACCCUAACUUUCCAAAAUUUCUUCCAAAACAGAAAUUGCUUGCAAUUAUCCACUUUUUCCACCUCCUAGGUCCCUUACACACCAUUUCCAAUCAUCAUACAUAGCCACACAAUCAUAUUCAUAUUAAAACAGAAAAAUCCCCAAUAAUUACAAAACUUCAUCAAUUUAACCAAAAAUCACAAUAUAAUCCAUAAAGUUGCAUCUUAUACCACCACUAAGCAUAAAUUAAGCAUCAUUAGAGGGAGGAGAGUGGUUCUUCAUAACUCACCUUAGAAACAAGAGAGAGAGAGCAACAAGUCCUCUUAGCUUCCCAAACAACUCCACCAAACCCCACACAAACACUCACUUAAGGUUUUCUAUGGAACAAAAGUAAGAUUAAGUGGUUGUUUUGAUGAUUUGGAACAAGAUGGAAUCAAGAACUUGGAGAGUUUCUUUCUUUCUUCUUGAGAGAGAGGGCCGGCCAAGAUGAAGAGAAAAAUGGUGAAUUUUUGGUGAUUUUUGUGAUUUAUUUGGUCAAUUGGACAAAAGGUGAAUAGUGGUCUUACUUAAAACCAAAUCCCAUGGUGACACUUGUCACCUUCAUUAAUGCUUGCCUAACUUUUGUCUCUCUUAUACCAAUUCACUUAGCAUCCUCUACUUCUCUCUUAACACCCGGUAAAUUAAAUCCAGUAUCCAAAACUUAACCUAGUUGACCGAAUUUUUCCGAACUUUUCACACUAGUGGGUCCCACGUCCGGUAUACACUCUUAAUUUCUCAAAACCUAUUCGAUACUAGAAAAAUCAUCUAAAAACUAUAUUUACUCAUAAAAAUUAUCUAGAAAAUUUUCCUAAUAAAGAAAAUGCAGAAAACAAGCCAUUAACCCGAAUAAAACCUAAAAAUGGAAAAAUUACGGGUUCUCACAGUCACUCCACUCAAAGUUCAAAAAAUCUGUUUGCAAGCCAUUGACAAGUUCUGAAUUUGGAUUGUAUCAAUUGACAAGAAAAAAGAAAAGGUGGCGUUGCUUCAUCAUAUGAGUUAUGUCUGAACAAAAAAUUUAAAAAAAAAAAGGUCUUGAUUGGGGAUGGUCUGACGAUGGCUGGCGAUUGCUGCUAAAGGCCAGUAUGAUUGAACCCAACAAAAAAAAAAAAUAGGGCAAAAUGCAAUAAUAAUUUUGAUACCCAUUCCACUAAAAAUUGUAGCAAGCAGUAGUGAUUUCAAUGAUACCAGGAGCUUAUACGCAUACUGAUUUUUAUAAUUCAUUCUGUAUUCUAUUCCAAUUCCAGAGCAUGAACCAAGCACCCCCUAAGUCCACUCCAUGUUUUUGAUAAGUGAACCAGCGGUUAUUUUUUCAGUUUUUUCCCUACAAAAUAACUUUUUAGUCUAUUUCCCAAGGACUAAUGACUGAAGUAAUUGAUGUUGCAAAGUCACCAGCUAUGGUUGUUAUUUCCUUUUCUCUUUUACAUUUUGAUCGUUGACCUUUUUUUUGGGUGGGUGCUGGGUUUGGGGACAUUGGUUUGUGUUGUUCGGGGUGGGGGAGGAGGACCUAUUCACAACUCCGACAAAUCAUUGAGAUAUUUUCCACAACCUUGGACUUUGUUUGGAUAGAGUAUUAUUCUAAAUAAUUAUUUAAAAUAAUCAUUAUAGCACUUUUUGUGAUGUGAUGUAUAUAAGUUAAAAAAACGAUUGAGAAUAUAAAGAGAUGGAUUAGGAAAUGUGUUUCUGAUGCGUACAAAAAAAAUUUUUGAAAAAAUUUGCUAUCCAAACGUAAGUAACUAGGUAAAGUGUAGAACUGUCAGGCACUAGUGUCAAAAACUAGACAAACAUUUUUGUGGGUGCCCUCUUAUGAUAUAAUUUUAGGGACAAUUGCAGAAACCUCCCCUAAGAUUUCUGAUAUUAGCACUCACCUCCCUUAUAGUUUAGAAAAUAGCACUUACCACCCUUGAACUUAAGGUUUGUGUUGCAAAUUCAGUCCAUGGCAGGAAAGUUAACAUUAAAAAUUUUUUUUAAGGAGUGAGAUGAGAUAUUUAUACCAAAUUUGCCUUUCAUGCUGCUUUCCAAGUUAUAUUAAUAGAGGAAUGACAAAAUAUGAAAAACUAUUAAGAAUUAACAAAAUUCAAGGGGUGUAAGUUCAAUUGAAUAAAGUUUACCAAGAAUACAUGAAGCAACGGUGGAUACUAACGGCUAGUUAAAUGAUUAUAUAUCCAGGUUCUUGCAGCAAAGUUUAUAAAUAAUACACAUCACUUUUAAAAUUCUCUAUUAGUAAUAUGAAUAGCUAUUUCUGGGAGUAACACACCUGCUUAUGUUGUCAGCACCAAUCAUAUACAAAAAAGAUAUAUAUCACUGAAUAAUCAGCUAAUUAACAGCAUACUUAAGCAUCACUAAAAGUUAUUGAGUAUGAGAUAAGUCUAGUUACAAGUAAUUAGAAGUGCCUACUAAUAAGAUAAACUUAUUUUUAGUAAAUGAAAACUGCAGUAAGUGCAUUAAAACCACGUAUUAAAACUACUGCUGUUGUUGAUAUUUCCAGAUUAUAGGAUUAUAAUUGUAUUAAUGGAAAGAGAUGUAGCAACUUGCGAAGUAGUAAUAGGUUGAACUGGAAGAGGUUUGGAAAUAGAAAUGACUUGAGCAGAUAUAUUUGUGCAAGUUCUCUUUAUACUUACUUUAGUAGAACCUCUAGAAUUGCUUACUGGCCUUCCUCUCUGCAGUUGUAUAAAAUUAGACUUAAAUUGACUGGUUUGAAAAGCAUAAUAUAGAAACAUUUACGCCGUUUUCUCCCCUCAAUUGGCACCAUUCCUUAGGUUUGCUUACAAUGGCUAAUGAUGCCAAAACUUGCAAGGAAUUUAGUUUAAUUAGUCACUCAAUUUGUUGACAAAAAUUUAUUUUUCUUUUCUAAAAUCCUUUCAUUAAGUGUCUGCAAUUAGUUAGGGUAUAAAAGUAAAUCAUACAAUUUAUUGUUAGUAAUAGGUCCAAUUUCCUUCUAGGGGAGGUUAGUGCAAUUUUAGAAAUCAUAGAGAAGGUGAAUGCUGGUGUCAAAAACCUCAAAGGAGGUUUCUGCAAUUAUCCUAUAAUGUUAAGUAACAUGAUGAAAUGACCAAGAACAAUAGGUGGUGAGUAUUUUUCAAUCUUUCCAUUGCACUUUAAUGUGAAUUGGGCAUUUAAUUAAUUUAUCACUAUGCUUUUGUCUCGGUAUUGUUAGAACUUAUUGGCAGCUUCUUUCUCAAUUUAGGAAAACCUGUAGAAAUGGUCCCAGAAUUUUAAAGUAAAUUGUAACUUAUAGUAGUAUAAAAUAUACCUUUUUAGUAACUUAUAGCUUUUUAAAGUAAAUUGUAACUUAUAGCAUUUGUAACUUAUACAUUUUUAGUCUCCCAGAAUUUUAAAGUAAAUUGUUUUGGUUUUUAACAUAUAGUAUAAAAUAUACCAGUUUGCCGGUAAAUUAUCCUUUGCUAUUCGUGAAAAUGUCAUCCUAUCACAGUCUAUUUAUUAUUAGUAAUUUAAGUGAAUAAAAGAGUACAUACAUAACUUUCUGCAUUUUUCCACUUUUUUUUUCAACAUUUUCACCAAUACCAUAAGCUUCUUCACUCAUCCUACAUAUAUGGCCACCAAUUCCAACUUUAUACUCUGCGUUCCAACAUUAUAGACUGCAUAAAUGGCAAUGCACGUUAUUAUUAUUAGUGAUGUCUGUGUUAAUGUUGAACUAAAGUUUAUAAUCUUUAGUGAUUUUGUCUAAGCAAGUUCAAGACGCCUUGUGUCUGUGACUAGAACGGUACGCAAUGUCCCAAAAACCCCCACAUUUGGGGCUAGAGAAAUAUGAACAUAGUUAAAAUGACAAGUGAUGUUGAUUUUUGAGUAAAAGAUUAAGACAUACUAAAAAGUUAAGUGAGACAAGUCAUAGUUCUAAUCUAUGCCUUGUGUGCUAGAUUACCUGCUAAACCAUGACAUACUUGAACAAAAAAAAAGGUUUGCAAGCUUUUAUAGCUUAUUAUGUUUGGAAGAAAAUCAUGCAUGUAUGGUAAUGUUCCAAGAAAUCUAUCUUAUCCAAUGUCAUACUAAUGAAAACAAGAUUAUCUUCUUGAUGGAUAGCAUAACUCCCAUUAUGGAAAUUGCAUAUUCCAACUACGGUUCUAUUCCAUUUUAACUCAGUAUUAUGCACAUCCAUUAUAUGCAUAAUACUCAUAAUGUUUGGACCAUCGUCCUUUCCUUGUUCUGUUGCAUGAUUCUGGUAGAGGAAAUUCUGCACAACGUAUAGCCAUAUAAUUUAGAAAUUAAAUUACAGGAUGAUAUAAAAACCUUUAGUCUUUCUUAUUAAUGUCUGUACCAGACUCUAUGUGAAUGUGUGUACAUAGAAUUAUGUAUCUAAAUGCUUCUAAGUGAUAUAUGUACAAAGACACUGAUGAAUAUUUUUCCUGUCAUCUCUUUCAUCUAAAACUCUGGUUAAGUAGCUGACAGAUGUAUCUCAGCGCGAUGCGUGAUCGUAGUCAUGAAAAUGGAAGUUCUUGUAAACAAAGUGGGAUAACCACUUGGAAACCAAAAAGCUGAUAAUAGCUACUGAGACCAGAGUGCUUCUUGCUGCUGCGGAUAGUGCACCCUGUUUUGCAGCAGCAACAAUUCCAAUUGAAGCAAGAGAGAAGACUUGCAACACAAUCUCUAGUGCAUUGAGCCCUUUAUAUGCUAGAUUGCAACUACUGCAGCUGACUGUAUGACUCCAGUACCUGAAGGAAUAGGUCAACAUGUAAUCAUGAAAAAUAUUCCUUGUUGGGUAAACUUUUCUAAGUCUAUUGUACGUCACAUAUUCUGAAGAGAACAUGAAGAUAAGAACAAUGUCUCAGGUUGAUAAAGAACAUGCAUGUUAUCUAGUAAAUAAAGAAACGAAGAACACUUGGUCUUUCAACCAAGCAAUCGAAAGCAUUCUUGAUUCCUGACCAAUUGGUCUUAAGAUUGGCUCCAUAGUUCCUUUCAACAUAUAGUUCCUUUCCGUCUUACAACCAUCCUAGCUGCCAAACUUUGGUCCUCCAGAGAGACAGUACAGGGGUUUUUUUUUUUGGUGUGUGGGUUGUUGGGGGGGGGGGGGUGAACAGAUCAAAGACUGGAUUAGGAAUGAAAUAAAGUUGAAAUUUAAGAAUUUCUUAGAGCUUUUUACCUAUAUAAGCUUGUAUUUUGCAUGUAGCACGACAUGGAACGUUGGGUUACAGAAACUUAUUUUGAAGUUUCUGUAUGGAAGAGUGAUCAUCUCUACUGUUUCUAUCAACACAAAUAAAAAGAAGAAAAGGCCAAUAUUUCACUGAAACUGGAAGUGAUGUACCUGUCCAUAAGCUGCUCUCUUGGCGGAGUGGGUGGGAGAGAUCCAGUGUACUUUGUUCCCCAGUCAAUUUGACCAUUGCUAUACUUGUUUAACCACCUUCUGAAGCCCACCACAAGGGCAUCUGCCUUUGUGGGAACAAAGCAAGCUUUAUGCCAGUUUAAGGACCCAAAUUCCUUUAUCUUCCGCUCCUAAAGAAUAGAAUGAACACAAUAAUUAGUAAAUCAGGCUACUACUUUUCGCGAAGAUUUACAAAGUUUGACAUGUUUCCAGAUAGAAAUAUGAUAGAGGACAUGAUACCCAAGCUUAGGAAACCUUAAAUGGUGGAUGGUCUGCACAGAAACCCUAGCUAUGAACUCUAUCAUAUUUUCCUUUUCUUUUCAAUUCUGGAUAUGUUUUAUUUGUGUCGUUGCAAAGGCUAAUGUUUGUGGCCAUCCAAUUUAUUAUCACCGUUCAAGUCCUGCAGUUCUGGCCUUGCAGCCUCAUGCUUGAAAAAAAAGACACCAAGUGAAUAUUAUGCAGUAUCACACUACAGUUGUUUGAUCAAAAUUUGUGUUUGGCUAUCAUCUCUUAAUUACAGUUCUUUGAAUACGCUAACACCAAAAUGAUAAUUUAAUUUUUUGUUUUUGGUGCUUAAACUGGUUAAGUUGGUGUGCAUUUAAAAGUUCACAUUGAACACAAAGGUAAUUUUCUAGAGAAUGAGUUCCUUUAGUUGUUAAUAUUGUCCAGCAUAAUUGUUAAGACUGUUCAGCAUAAUAUGUCAAAAGUAGGAUCAUUGGUCCUAAAAGCUUCUGAUAGUGCUAUGCAGCCUCAAAACUCUUCCAAUAUGACUAAAACGUAAUAUUCUAGUAAUCAUGUACUCCAGAAUACACAGCUCAUAUGUAUUUGCCACCAUGCACGUUCUCAUUUCAUCAUAAUGGCCCUUAUGCUCUAGAUUUUCUUUGGAGAAUUGAAAAUUUCAAUAUAGAGUUGCAACCAUGACAUUCUGAUGUUCAAAUUACCAUGACUGAAGAUUUGGACAUGUACAUGGACCCCUGUUGUAGAAAAGAGAAGAGGAAAAGUUCCAGGGAGUACCUCCACAUGGAGAAGAUAUAAAUCUGAAUCUAGAACUAGAUUUUGGUUCAGAUGAAAUAUCCAGCGCGGAACAAUACGAUCUAUCCAGACGCCAAAAUUCCUUGGUGAGGUAAAUAUCAAUCUGCUAUUGCCUGGGCUAACUGGAAUACACAGGAACACCAAAAGUAUCUUCUUCACCGGCUUAGGUGUGGAUGGAUUCUGCAUAUAGUUAUCCCUUAUAUGAAUGCUAUAAAUGGACAAUUAUACAACGAUAGGUAGAUAUUAUAGAAAAGAAAUAAUUAAGAAACAAGGUAGAUAUUAUAGAAAAGAAAUAAUUAAGAAACAAUGACUAACUUCAAUAUUACCAAUCAAUUACCUCUGUGGUUCCAGCUGGUGAAGCAGAUAUAUUAUCUGGAUUGCCUCCUAAUGACCCGGAGGAAUAAAAAACACAAGGUGGAAUAAAUAUGUUAUCUGAAAUUGUCGAUGAUUUUGCAGUGAAACCCUUUUUGUCUAAUGUCUUUACCCUUAUCUCAAGUGGUCUGCCUCCUUCCCUGUCAACCUUAACAGUGCAGGAAAAUGCAGAAAAGAAACUAUUAGUAAUUUGGAACCCAUAAAAAAGGUUAGGAACAGCAAACAUUCUCAAAUUAUAAGGUAAAGGCUCUUAUCUCUUUGAGGGCUGUGGGGCUCUCAUUAUGCCAUAAUGUGCAUACGGAACAUGAGAAGGGUCCAUAAGAUUUUCAAUCAGAACCUCGUACCUGUAAAUGCUUGGCUAUCAGAAGCAACUUAAGAAUAAAACAAACAUUAUUUGACAUAACUUUUCAAUCACUUUUUCUGUUUUUCUUAUUACACUUCAUAACAUGAACACAAGAACCAAAACCUUUUAGUUUUACCAUCUUUUGAGUUUUACCUAUUUCUCUUUAUUGAUUUUUCCCGCAUUUUUCUCACCCUUCUUGAAGGAAGCUAAUGAAUUUCUUUCUUUUUCCUUUGCAUUACCCAGAGCAUGUAUUGAAUACCGACACAAGUAACAGUGAAAGCAAUUUAGUUUAGCAUUCCAUAGAGAUAGCAGCCUUUUCAAUGUGAUUAGAGUGCAAAUGAAGAUUUGCCUAGUAUGAGCGUGGAACAACAACAACCACAAAAACUAUAAUAAAGGGGGCAACUAAUUGCUUACCCAUAUUGUAUAUCUCUAGUGAUCAUCCGACUGGUAAAGGAUGGAUCAUCAAUUUCCGGGAUGUAUGGAGGCUUUUCCUUCGAAAAUAUGUCUUUGUACCGGUUAUCAGCAUUAGGCCAAAACCAAAGAAUGCCAUUUUGCACACAACUUGGAUAUGCAGCUACACAUGCUUUGCUAGAAGUAUGGAUCUGAACUUCCAAGCAAAAUGUCAAUCCAUCAUGCUUUGGUUUAGGUACAUUGGAAAUGGCAAGGUUUGCAUGCUUAGACAUGAUUUAUCUGCUAUGUACAACAAAGUAAGCAAAUGCAUUUCCAUAGCAUCAAGUAUCAGAAUGAAGCUCCAAACUGUCAUACUUAAACAGUAGAAAGCUAUUGGCAAUAUUCAAAAUUUCUAAAUUUAGUAUUGCAUAAAAGAUGUUCACAACAACUGGAAACAAUAUUCAUUGAAUAACUGUCCAACAUAGAGGUAAUUCAAGUUUUGAACCAAGCCAAGCUUGAUUGGUAGAUAAAGAAAAAUCGCUUAUCAGAAUAUUAUGCAUCUUCUCAUAGAGCCUUGGUGGAGAAUUAAUUGAAAAAAAAAUGGAAAAAGAGAAGUGGCAAAAUUUUUUGUAGAUUUCAAGUUCAUAAUGGCUGAUGAACACUUAAAGUUCUUUUUACUCUUUAAACGAGAUAAUGGCUGAUGAACACUUAAAGUUCUUUUACUCUUUAAACGAGGAGAUUUUGAGUACGAAAAGGUAAAAACAAGCGGAAAUGUCGUAUUGAAAUAACCAGACAGUAGGCAGACUACUAAAACCUGAAAAUUUUCAGUGAGUUUGGUCAAAUGAGUUCUGCUUCUUUCCCCCAGCUAUUCUUGAUUCCCUAUCUACAAAGGGCCUCGAGUUCAGAGUAGAUAUGUAUGUAUGUGAAAGCUUACAAGUGUAUUAGAUGUGGAAGUUAUUAAAUAUUUUAAAUUGGAUUCCAUCAUCUAAUCCUAAGGUAUAAAAGACACUAUGGCCAUUCUAUCAUAAAGAUCAAGCCUACAUCAAAUAAAAAUUUCACCAAUCCAAUUUCACUGAAUUCUCAUCCACUUCCUCUGCUAGAUUCAGAUUUGUAGCUCAUGGUUUGCAUAUAAAGUUUCUGGGUAAUUUCUGGUGGAGGAAUCCGAAAUUCAUAUGACUAAUUGUCAGUUAAAAUUGAAUAUCCCCAUUCAAUGAUCCUCGCCUUAAAUGCCACCAACAAGUUAUCGUUGUAUCCGAAUAAGACACAAAUAACUUCUUGCAAUGGCUAGGUAAAGUGUGCAUUAUACUUGAGAAGUUUCCAUCAUAUCUAGAGUGUUUUGCCUGCUUCAGUGCUAGUGAUGAAUAUCUGCCUAUGUACAAAUUCAAAGUCAAUCUUGUGCUAUUCAAAUAGGCAUAUAAAACUUUGGAGCUUUCUUCCAAACUUGAUUAUAUAUGUCAAAAAAUUGGCUUUCCACAGCUAGUCUGCUAUUGAUAACGGUCCUACCUUCACUA
rnacentral:lncRNA from 1 species